rnacentral:lncRNA from 1 species
AUGCACCACAUACCUGAUAGCGCGCCUGCUCCUGUAGACUGAGGACCAGGACUGCCGGUUGUCAGACCCAACCCGUAGCCAGCACCAAGCGUUGUUGUGCUUGAGUUCCGGGAUAGCAUGCCUGGCGAUGCCAUCAUCACCGUGGCCGUCUGUCGUAAAUGCAUGCAGAGAAAGGGGACAAUCAUCAAAUGGCUACGUAUAGCUGAGCCUGCAAGCGGCAGGUUGCUGUGAGCCAUGACUCAGCGCACCUCCUCUUGCGUCGCCAGCUGCCGCUCGCGUGCCGCAGCGUCCUGCCCUACCACUGCGCCCACGUCGAAGCCGCGCUGCUGCAGCUCUGCCUGCAGCCGCUCCGCGGCCCGCUCGACGGUCUGCAGGCCCUGCACCAGCACGCGUUGCUGCUCAUGUGCAUCGCUGGCCGCCUUUUCGCGGGCAUGCAGCGCCGCCCUGGCACGGUCAGCUUCCACACGCAGCUGAUCCGCCGUGCGAUGCAACUCCUCUGCCUGAGCCAUAGUAGCAGCAGCCUGCAAGCAGGUUACAGAAGCGACAAGGCGUUGUUAGCAAUUGCUGAUAGCAGAGCUGUUCCAGCCACCAGCAACUAACGCACCUCUUCCGGCUGACCAGCAUCGUGCAGCCGCAGUGCCUGCUCCUCCAGCCGCACUGCCUCGUCCUCCUGCGCGCUGGCUGCCUGCUCGAUGUCCUGCCACGCGCGGCGCAGGUCUACUGCGCCGGCGCUGGCCUGCAUCACAGACGGACAUACGCACGGGUAAGGUUGACAGCCUGCACAAGAGUCGGUGCUCAAUGGGGCUUAACCGACUUGCCUGCUCGGAGCGCUGCUUCCAAAGCUGCAGCAGCCUCGAGGCCUCCAAAGCUCCCACCAGGUGAGACACUGCCAUGCUGUCCAAGAGCGCCUCAGCUUGUUGCUGGUGUGUAUGAAUACAACAAGUGCAGGAAGGUAGCGUCAGCGGACAUCAACGUGAAGCCCAAAAGAGCCCGAGCAGCAGCGUAACGGACGGAAGCACUGACCCCACCUGGCUUUCACCGGUGGCAUCAGAACCGGGCAGCCUGUGCCGCUCUGCUUGGAGCUGCUUGGCAAGCCUGCAGGAAUGACAUGACUUCAGUUUCGCAAUCAAGGUGUGGCUACUGGCAAAAGAGCUUAACACCGUCCUUCUUACUUUGCCGUGCGGUGGCGAUGCAGAUCAGUUUGCAGCAUGAGGGCGUCAGCACCGCUGUCGGCCUCCUCAAGAGGCAAGUCUGGUGCAGGGGCGGCGUUCAGGUCGCGGGCAAGCACGCGCGCCGCGUGCCUCGCCCGCUCAGCGCGGUCGGAAGCCCCUAUCCGGGCAGCAGGGCGAAUGUAAUGUGGCACAGCAACCGUCUGAGGAAAGGUUCCACCAGGCGAAGGGAACUACUUAUUCAAGCGUUCUCUCAGUGCAAGGAUGCCUGCCCGCCGUACCUCUCAGUUCCUCGAAGCCCUGCGUGGAAGACUCGAUGGCUAGCGCCGCGGGGCUUUCACCCAUGAGCGCCUGAGUGCUGAGGUCCUGUAACCGAGUGCGCAUGCUGGCAGCUUCUGUGCGACUCGUGUCGCGGUUUUGCCGCGCGACAUUCAGUAGCUCAUGCCAGGUGUCGAUAUGCACCGCCAGGCCCUCAGCCUCGGCCGUCUUGCCUUGGCUGUGGUUGCGCAAUGGAGGGUUGGUGGCGUCAAGUCGUGCUCAGGCCAAAGCACUACGCCGCACGAUGCCAUAUGACACCACCAGCCCUACCUCAUGAACAAGUCGUACUGUUGCUGGUCCUGAGCCAAACGCUCCUCAUACACAGCCACCAGCUGCUCAUGCAAGGCAGUGGCACCCUCUGCGCUCUGGCACAGCGCUGCCAGACCAGUGGCCUCCUCAUGUAACCUGUACGCAGACGUUCAUAAAUAACGAAAGGGUCACAACUUGUCCAGCAUCGUUGGCGUGCUCUCGGCUAUACGGUUACUCAAUGCGUGCGGACCUACCUCUCCUGGCGCUGCUUUGUGCUCGCCUCCUGCAGCUGGGCGUGCCGUUGGCGCAAGUCCGCCACGACCUGCUCCGCAGAGUCCAGCCGCUCUUGUGCUGUCCGCACGUCUGACUGGAGCCGCUGAGCCGCAUCACGGGCUACUGACGCCUGCUGGCGUGCGUAGCCAGCGUGCUCUUGAGCCCUACAUGCACCCAGUGCGGAGGGUGAAUGCCCAGAAAGGCCAGAGACGCUCAUUUGGGUUUGAGGUAAACACUCACCGCACAGCCUCCUGCAUCAGUGCAUUCCCAAGCUCGUAGUUGCCAGCUGCUAUCUGGGCGUCGGCCUCCUGCUGCGCCUGCUCCGCACGGCCGAUCGCGGCCUCCGCCUCUGCAUCCCACUGUGCUGCCUGACCCUGCAGGCCAUCAGCUUGCCGGAGCAGCCCGUCGAAACGCUCGUGGAGCCUGUGCGGUCAAGCCCAAGCAGACAGUCAGUGGCGUGGAGCCGAGUGUGACGAAGGCUGUGGUCCAACCACUUACUGGUCACGGUCGCGUGUGGCCGUGGCAAGGCCCGCUGCAAGCGCGUCAUGUUCGAGGCUGUAUGCGUGGCGCAUGGCGGCAUCGGCCUGCGCGUGUGCUUCCUGUGCCUCUUUGCGCUGCCGCAGGUACUCCUGCUGCAGCUGCCGGCUCUUGCGAGCAGCCUCCACGGACUCCUCCCGCAGCCUGCGAUGCAAGCCAUCUUGCUCAGGGAAUGCGACCGGAGCGCAGCUGAGGACGUGAAUACGUCGUACCCGCUCCUUACCGGUUCGCCUCGCGAAUAUCCUCAAGCGCCUGCGGCAGGUUGCCUUCCGCCGAGUGCUGCUCCGCCGAGGCCUGCAGCUCCAGCGCCCGAGUGGUCGCCUGAGCCGCUGCGGCCGCCUGCGUUCCCGGUCACAGCAGUAAGGUCAGGCAAGGUCGAUACAGCACUAUCUGCCAUAGGGCGUGUGUAAAGCUCUCACCUGCUUUGCAGCUGCGUCGUAGAGCUGCAGUGCCUUCUGCGCAGCCUCUGCCGCGCGCACCCUGAAGCGUGCAGCGGCCGCAGUCGUGGCAGCGGCCAUCUGCAGCACUUCUUCUGAGGGCUGGCCUGGGCCCGGAUCAUCCCAGGCAUGUCCUACCCAACCCCGGUUUUCAGCAUUGCCCUCCGCUUGCGCUGGAAAUUCCCGCUCGAACGUGGAGAGAAUAUUGUCAAUUUCCGAGUGGAUUUGCGCCACCGCGUCAACAGCCCGUCGUGCCGUGUUUGUACGGCCCUGGACUACGCUGGUGAGCAGCUGCUCUAGCACACCGCCGCCGGUGUGCGGCACGAUUGCGCCUGCCGCGCCCUCCCCGUCGACGCCAGCCACUGCAGGAACAAGCGCCAGUUGCUGGUUGCCGGGGCUGCCGGUCCCUGCGCCAAGUGCCCCGAACUCUUCCAAACCCGUGUGCACAUCAUCCAAGAGCGUCAGAGCUCGCCGGAAGAGCGUUUCGCGGAUGUCCGUCGCAACAACGAGCUCGCCCGCUGGCGACGCGCUCGGCGCACUCAUGUUGCCUUGCACCCGUCGAGUCAAUGCGCAGGUUGACCCCAGCUAGCUGUCUCGCUACAGGUCCCCCAUCGAUUAUGUAUACGUGUGACUGUCAUUAUAGAUAAUGUUUCAGCCGUUCACGCUGUCGGGAGCCUUCCCUUUUGUCCAAAGUCUCUCAUCGGGCAUAAUUAGCGUCCAUGUUAAUGCAACAUAUACAUAUUUGUAAAGUUAGAUACAUCGGAUUUUUACAGAGACUAAACGGGCAUGGUUCGCGGAAACUGGAACAUGAUGGAGCCCUCAUGCACAAUCGAUUUCUCCGUGUUGCGCCGGGACGCAUUGGGUUUGUCGUAGAGCAAGCAUUGCAAUUAUUAACUAGCUCGAGCUGGUCGGGCAUUUGCCCCUUUCCUUAUAAGGACAAGUCUUUUUCGCCGCGUUCGUAGCCUCCUUCCAGUGGUACUUGUAACAAAAACUCUCCAUAUGUUAUAGCAUAUUCGUUUGAGCUUAUAUAGCUGCCAGCGUCGCUCACACCCAAGCCGAAUGCGCAGGGCCAUGGUCCCGCAGCAGGCGAACAAGUGAGCCCUCGCGGACGGAGCCAGCGCGUGCUUUCUGUGGAGCACGCUUAGCAUAGCUAGCGAAGGCAUGGAGGUGCAGGUUCCGAGGUGAGUCGACACGCGUGCACGCACCGGUGUUGUUGGGAAGCGGGGGGGGGCAGCUGCGAGCGCGCCAGCGUAUUCCUGUCUCAGCGCAAGCACCGGCAGUUGCUGAGUGGUUCAGGUUUAUCGUGAGCUGCGGCUCCAGGCAGUGCUGUCGUGUUUAGGCGUGCGGAGCUGCGAAAGCAAGUGCCAUGUUCAGAGGGCUUGACUGGGCGUGGGAAGUGGAGAACAUCCACACAGCACGCACGCACAUCCAUCGCAUUGUGCGGUUGUGUCCUUGACGAGUGUCAUCACGUGGCCUUGUCAGCUGUGGUGUUUGAGCGGCAACCCAUUUGUAUGGCUGGAACCUCACCUCUCCUGCCAUCGCCCUUACCCUCGUACCCCCACAGCACGCUGCCGGUGUCGGCGCUGCAAGGGAGCGCCAGCCCUCGCAACGUAGGGUCGCCCUCCUCCCGCGUGAGGGCGAACCUGCAGGAGUCAAUAUCUGCGAGCAAGCUGUACAAGGACCUGUCACCCACCCGGGUAUACCAAAGCAGCAAUGAUGAGAGCAGGGUGACGCUGCCGGACCUCUUCCGGCAAAAGAAUGGCCUGCUGUCCUUGCGGCCAACAUACUCGAACGAGCCCAUUGGGGGUGAUGAAGACGACGCUGGGCGAACGCCAAAGCUGCUGCAGCGGUAAGCCCACCUUGAAGAGCAUGCAAGUAGCAUGUAGGGGCGUCAGUGCAGUGCGCUGGAACCUCUCAAAUCUCCAUGAAGUCCAUGGGGCGUGUACUGUGCGAGGCUUGAGCUGUAGCUUCGGUGCCUGUGCUCGGCCGUCGUCGCUCAACAAGCUGGCACUCAUUUGCACGUGACGCAGGCUUGAGGCUUUGUUGGAGGAGAAGCUGGGCCUGGUGGAGCGGCUGGGCAACGGCAACAAGGGCUUCGCGGCGGCACAGCUGCGCACGGACGCAUUCCGACAGGUGCGGCUCCAUGUGAUAGGAGCACAGGGCGUGUCCUAGUCAAGCGCUGCCGUUGACGCGCGCAAUCGCCACCGCUGGGCGCCGCUCACUGCACAUGCCACCACCCCUUGCGCUGUCGCACAGGUGUUUGACGCCUUCCUGCACAGCUUCACAACGUACCGCUCGCUGCUGCUGCGCAUCAAGCAAGAGUACGACGUGGCGCUGGACGACGCGCUGGCGUCACUGUAUGAUAACGUGCACAUGAAGGCGGAGCUGGCGGUGGUGGACGAGCGCAUGGUGCGUGGCGCGGUGUGGCGUGGCUGGCUGACAGGACGUAGUUGGGUUCCAUCCUUCGGUGUUUGCUGUUGCAGCCUUGCAGAGCCCCCUGCGUGCGAUGCGACCAGUGGCGUUCUUCGACCCUUACAACCCUCUUGUAACAAAUGCGAUCUACCCGCUCCGUGGUCAACGCUGCGCUCCCUUUGCCUGGACACGCAGGCCACGGCGGUGCAGCAGGCGCGCGCUCGUGCCAUGGAGGACGCCAGCGCCGUGCGCAAGGAACUGCAGGACCAGCUCAACAUGGAGGAGAGCAAGGCCUUACAGGUGAGGGCGCGCUGCCCCAAACUUGGGCACUACCGUAUCUUCCUCGUUACUGCCCAUCCAGAUACUGGGCAUCACACUCCGACCGCAUCACCCAUCCGCGCAUGCAGCUCCACAGCACGGUACUACUAAAAUACCGGGAGCCGCAAGUGCACGCCCCUCUAGACUGGUGGUUUCUGCUUUCAUGUCGUUGCUCGUUCCUGAGCACCACUGUCGCCAUGCGUCACCAACCCUAACAGGCCGAGGCGCGCUGCCAGGCCGCUGAGCAGGAAAUCCAGACGUGCAAGGCCAGCAUCCAAUCACUCAAGCGGGAAGUGGCCGAGCUCCAACGAGCCAACACAGAUAUCAAAAACCAGCUCCUACUCAAAUCCAGCUGGGGCGGGGGAGCCGCCGCCCCGAAAGCUGACGCAUGAGCUUCCCUCAACGCCAGCUGCGCUUGCGCCGUCGGCAACGCGCGUUAAGUACUGCUUGUGUACCGUCAUAUUGUGGGCGUGCCACAAUGGCACUCGCGCAGGCAACUAUUGAGUCCUGUCACCACUUGCGUCAGUCCGUCAGAAGUCAUUAUGUCCUAGGGCAUAAGGCACACAGCAUGUGGCUGUGGCCUAAACCCGAGGCCACCCUAGCGGCAUCCAACGUUACAAAGCUGCACUUGUUUUUAACCACCGCGAGCCUCGCGCCGCGUGGCGUCGUGAAGCACCUCCACGUCCACGGCCCCGGGUGGUAGCUGUAAGAGCAAGGCAGUCAGGGUGUGUGGGUAGCUUAGGAACACGUACACGAUUGUGUGUGUGGAAUUGUGGAGUGAUUCCCGCUCCAGGUGCUAAGCGGUAGGCGUGGUGAAUGCGCCCUAAUGGCCAAGCACAUAUGCUUCUGUAACAUUUGUGCAAAUGUGCGGCACGCUAGGCCACUUGCUUUCAUGAGCAGGGCAGCAACAGCGUCAGCACCAUGCCGCGUGAUGUGCAACGUUUCCUUUGUCAUGCCACCCCACUCACGUGGACGUAACGCACGACGGAGCCACGAAUGAAGCAGUUGCGCACAGACAUCUGCAAGGAUGGGGAAAGGGAGCAACUGAAUGUGAAGGAGUCGACAUCAUUUGCCAGCGCCGCAUGCCCGCAAUGGGCUCUCACCAGCCCAGAGUGUUACACCAGGAAUUCCCGGCUGUAACAGCAUCAAUAUAAUAAAGGCCCCAACUUCCAUCCACGCCUCACCCCGGGGCCACCAUAAAAGACCUCCAGGCCGACUCGCUGUACCAGUGUGCUGCCCCAAGAUACGGUUCACAACAUUCCCCGACUGUCACUGUUACGCCACGCUGUUACGCCCGGCCUUGUCAAGAGGACGCCAAGGCAACCUGUGGACAUCUAUACCCUCUCUGCCAUCAGCCGCCAUCACCUGUCGUGGCUGCCAGUUUAACCGCGCUCGGCCCUGCUGAUUCAUGCUUCUGAGUCGCUACCCGCCACGCCGCGCACCAACCGAAGUACCCAGCACGUGUUCUCAUCCACCUCACCCUGCCUCUGCCGCUAGCGCCUUUCCCCCUGACCUCAACUUGGUUCCCCCGGCAACGUUGAUCGCCCCCGACUGCGCCAGCCUCACCAUGUGCGGGUACUUCUGCUCGUUGUGCACGCGCGUGUUGGUGAGCUUAAUGUUCAGGUACUGGUCCACGCUGUGCAGCGCGCCGCUAAUACACAAGUCAUUCUUGAGCUCCACCGUCACCUGAGCAGUUCCAGAAUGCCACCAGUCAGCUAUCCUGCUGCGGCAAGCGCUGCCGCAGUGCACAGAGUCCUUAGGCUAGUCCGCAUGGCGCGCACCUCCUUGCCCACCAACGUCUUGAACAGUGAGAAGAAUAACAUGGUACUGCUACUUAAGCUUCAACACCAGUGCUAUGAUCUAGAGCUCCGAAAGCACAGCGCUGAACGCAGCAAUCUGAACCGGCAAAGGACAGGCCGCUAACAGAUACAGAACGAGGCAGUGGAGAGACUAGUAGAUAGGAUGCACCUGAAGGACAGCGAAGGGCGAGAGGAUUUUAGGCAGCACCGAUGCAGCCCAAUCCCAGCUGACACGAAACCCUCUCCAAACGCCACGAUUCAAUGUUUAAGCAGUGUCUACACUCUUAAAACCUUUGGAUUUAGCUGACGGGCAAAGCAACGCGUGAAAAACCUGUCGCCGGCUAACUGUCUUUGGCGCUGAGUCGCCCGUUGGUGUAAGAACAAUUUGCAGCCAUGGCGGACACGGUACAAUACCUAAUGGAACAAAUGAUUCCGGAGCUGGAGGACCUAGAGCAAAAAGGCUAUUUUACGCGCGCGGAGGUUAAGAAAAUAGUCCAGAAGCGACAAAACUUUGAGUACCUUCUAAAACGGAGAGCGGCGCUCAAGGAGGACUAUUACAGGUGCGUCUCGAGUGAGCGCCGACCGUGCAUGCGCCGCCGGUCUUUCCUUGAAUAGGCGCCAAUUGGCUGGCAUCUGGUUAUAAAAUUAGGUACGUCGACUUCGAAAUGAAGCUGGAGGAGCUGCGACAGGCGCGGAAGGCGAAGAAGCACAUCAAAGGUGCGAGAAGCGGGGAGGCGGGGUUCUGCACGGGGUUCUGGGUUUCGGCACGCGCACAGUCCGAAAGUACCGUCCACGCCCGCGGGCGUAUUAAAGUUGCCUUAGGUGACAACUAUUUGGGAGCUUCAGGAGUUCCUCUGCCGAACAGACUUGAGGGGGCGCAUGUGCUGUGCUCUGCAGGGAAGAAGGGUCUGGCGGAGGUGGCGAUCGUGCGGCGCAUCCACUUCAUCUUCGAGCGCGCUGGGCGCAAGUUCCGCAGCGACCUGAGCCUGUGGCUGCGGUGGAUUGAGGUCUGCAAGCGGUACAAGAGCAUAAAGCAGCUGUCCAAGGUGUGCUGAAGCAGUUUGCGCGCAUGUUCGGUCCGGGUGAUUUGCGCGCCUGUGAAAAGGAUGCGGGCCAGGGCCCGGAAGGCCGGGCUAGCCAUUCAGAACAAGCCGUGCUCAGCCAUGAACACGUGCCCACUUGCAGGUCAUCACCAAGGCGCUCUCUCGGCAUUCCACGGUCUCUGCACUGUGGAUUGAGGCAGCGCGCUGGUGGGUAGCGGGCAUGCCGCCAACAGCCCGGCGACGUCCGCACAAGCUCUGCCUCGCACAACAGCGGCCCGUCAUGUGUUGCCCCUCUGCCCGGUGUCAUCUCCCGCCUUGUCUGGGUACUGUGAAGCGUGCUUAAACCUAGAACCUGUCACGCCCCACCACCACCACCACCACCACCCAAUCUUCCUCAUAGGGAGUUCGACACCAACAACGACAUGGCGGCGGCGCGCAGCCUGAUGCAGCAGGGCCUGCGCAUGUGCAAGGCGGAUGAGGACAUGUGGCUGCAGUACUACACUCUGGAGCUGCUGUACGCGCUCAAGCUGCGCGUGCGGCGCAAGGUGCUGGGUCUGGACGACCUGGCGGCGGGUGAGCGCGGGAAAAUGAGGGGUGUGGGGCAGGUUGCAUGGAAGGGGGUGGGGAGUACCUGGCCAUGGAGAACAGAUUGAUACAUCAGGCGAGGGAGUGCAUCGUUUGGAUUUCAGACUCCAGCGGACGAAGCGCGGCGCCAGGGAGGGGCACCCUGGAGUGACAGGCCUCACCAUCAUCAGAAACACGAAGGACGCAGCCCAUGACAGCCUUAGGGGGCACGCGGUUGCUGACUGGGUUGCCAGCUGGUCGGCACAGCCGCCACGACACCGCCCACUGCGGAGCGGGAGGCGCUCGGGCAGGCAGGGGACGGGGCAGGCGGGGCGGCGCACCAGCAAGCGCACUCCCCAUCGCGUGUGAACACAGCCGGUAACACCCUCGGCACCCGAUCCGUCUUGACUCUCCCGCGCCGCAGACGUGAGCGGCGAGGCGGGCACGCCCGGUGCGCCUUCCGCGGCGGCGGUGCGGGCGGUGAUGCAGGGCGGCGUGGCGCGCAUCGUGUUCAAGAACGCGGUGGCGGCGCUGCCGGCCCGCCUGGGCUUCCGCAGCCGCUUCCUGGACGUGCUGCGGCGCUUUGAGUACGGCUUCGUGGAGGGGCUGCUGGACCAGGUGUACGACAGCAUCCAGAAGGACUUUGGGCAGGUGGGUGGGGCGGCGGCGGAGGAGGAGGGGGAGAGGGAGGGGGAGGGGGAGGCGCCGGUGGGGGUUGGUGUCUUUGGCUGAUCUGCAGGCGCGGCUGUGGGGCAAUUGUGGACAACCUGGUGGCUGGAACCGAUAGUCAGGCACGCACGCGCACAUCAAUGUCAAGCCGUUACGUUGCGUUGCGGUCGCAGUCGGAGGAGGCCUGGGACCUGCUGGCGCGGCGCAAGGUGGACUUUCCCGCCAGCCGCACGGGAGGCCCGGCGGCGGCGGAGCAGACCGAGGAGGCGGAGGCGGACGCGGCGGAGCGCCAGCUGCAGGCAGGCGGUGCCGAGGGCGACAGCGAGUCGGGACCAGCGGGGCCGUGGGACGCGGACGCGCACGCCGCGGCUUGCCAAGUGUACGAGGCGGCUCUCACAGCGCUGCCCGGGCCGUGCAUGCACCAGUUGUUCGCGGGCUUCCUGUGCGGCACCCUGGAGCAGCUGAUGGAGGCGGGCGCGGGGCCGGGCGCGGAGGCGGCGGUGGCGGCGGCGGUGGGCGUGGCGGCGCGGCUGUUUGGGCUGCUGCAGCGGGCGCACAGCGAGGGGCACAGCACGACGGACACCUACCUGACGUGGGCGGAGUGGGCGGGGCGGGUGGGGCAGCCCAAGAUGGCGCUCAAGGCGGCGCGCAAGGGCUGUGAGCGCUUCCCCGCUGACGUGGCCAUGUGGCGGCGGCGGCUGCAGCUGGAGCAGGCGGCGGCGGCGGGCCGGGAGGAGGAGCAGCUGCUGCCGGUGCUCAAGUCGGCGCUGCAGGCCACGCAGCCAGACCAGGUGCGUUUUGAGGUGUGGAAUGUGGAAUCGUCGCGGUGGUGUCAGCCAGUCGCGUUUCGGGGCAUGGGCAGGUACCGGAACUGUUACUCGCGUGCGUUGGCAUUGUGUGCCUAGAAUUAGAGGCACCGGUCAGUUGUGUGCGCGCGAGGGCCAUGCGCCUGUACCGCCUCUUACGCGACCGCCUCCCCACCCCACCCCGGCGCUGGCUGGUUCCUUCAGGCUGCGGAGCUGUGGCUGAUGGCGGUGGAGGUGAUGCCCGCCUCCAGCCCUGAGUUCGGGCGGCUGGGCGAGAUGCUGGGCAUGGCGUGCGCCAAGGUGGCGAAGAAGGCCGCCAGCGGGGGACUGGGGCAGGCGGCGGCGGCACUGGUGGGCAAGGCCAGGUGAGAGAGUGAGCCCGUCGGGGCGGUGGUUCCCAGCGCAGCGCGGGCCAGGAAGUUGGACACCCAGAACUUCGGGGCGGUGAGGGUGCUGAGUGCUUGGCUACUGGUCGCUUGCGUGAAGCGCUCCCCGCGGUCUGCACGCCUGCCCCUCAGGGACGCACUGGGCCUGGACGCGGCGCGGGCGCUGUACGGCAAGCUGUUGGCGGUGCCGGCGCCGGGCGGGGACCUGUACCGGGUGGCGCUGCGGAUAGAGGAGGCGGCGGCGGGCAUGCCGCCCGCCUCCUCCUCGGGCUCGGGCGCAGCGGCGGUGGUGCCGGCGGUGGUUGCGCUACCCAAGGCGGCGGCCAAGCGCGUGACGGACCUGUAUGAGGCGGCGGUGGCGGCGUAUGGGCGCAGCGAGGCGGACCUGUGGAUUGGGUAUGCGCGCUGGGUGGUGGCGGGCGGCAAGGGCGCAGGGAAGGUGUACUGGCGCGCUACCAAGGAGCUGGCAGAGCCGGACGGCUUUGUGGCGGCGUACCGGGAGGCAAUCGGACAGCAGUGAGCGCGGCUUUGGUUUGGUAGCUUUCGUAGACCCGUUGAUUGUUGGCUGCGACAGCUGGGGCCCGAGUCCAGGCAGAGUUGAGACUGAGCAGAUGGACAGGUUGGGGACCGUGUCGUGGUGACUAUUUCUGUUACUGACCUCCCCUGGCCGCAACUGUGCAACAGUGCGGCUGCGACCUGCUUGAGCUGCGUGUGCACGUCAUUCAUUCCCGCCGCUCGCACCGGCUUUGUUUGUUAUUUUGAAUGGUUGCUGAAGGAAUAGCAGGGGAUAUCUGGACGGCGCCGCUGAUGAUGCAAAAGAUCUCGGUCUGGGUGUGCUGCUUCUUGGUCGGCGGGGCAAGGGGAGGCACGUGGGGCGGUUGGCGGUUGCUUGUGGCUGUGGGGUCUCGGUGGGAGGUGGGGUCUCGGCGGAGGGUGGGAACUUGCUCGGCUCGCUGAAACCUCUGGUCAUAUAGGGGCUGAAACACCCCGGCUUCGGCGAGCCAAGUGGUCGGAGUGGGGGCGCUUCGGCGAGCAAAGUGGUCGAAGCACCUCGACUCAGGCAUCCGGGAUUGCCGAGUCGGCGAACUGGAUUGCCGAACCGCCCCCACCUCGGCACAUUGGGAUUGCCGAGUCGGCACCUCGAGAUUGCCGAGUCGCCCCCGCCCGCGCACACUGGAUUGCCUAGACCACUAACCUGGAUGGCUGGAGCAACCCCGCUCAGCAAGCUGGUGAUGGGAGGUAUGCGGCACAGAUUACACGGAAUCCUGGCACGUCCUGCACGGGAAGGCCCACUUCUUCCGCCCCCACUCCACUCCACUCCGGCCAGUACCAACCAGCUGUAACGGCAUCCAGGCUAACGCGCCUGCUUGCAUCCUUGUACCUUGACACCACGUCUGCGCACUAUGCAGGCCACCCGCCGCUCACCCACCCACCGCACCCAUGGUUCCCCCGUCCCGACCAUUAUCUGCACGGACAAAACUUGCAGGCUCAAGUUGCGUUGUUUAUUCCAUGGGGCAUGGCCCACGCGGUUGCACCUGGUAUGCUGCCAAUGCGGCCAAAGACAGACGCAAACUUCUUAAUGUCCGGGCCCAUAUACACAACCACGCCGUGAGGGUUACCAACUCGUGCGCCCCACGUCAGCUGCUGCCCGUGCGACCCGCCUGCCCAAGCGCCUGCCUGUGUGCUGUCACUGCGCACAAAGGCAAGCCUGUCACGCACGAAACACACUGGCCAUUGCAUCACUGAAUCAACUAGGUUGCCGAGUCAGAUACCUCAGCUUGUUGGAGUGGGGGCGCUUGCACGAGUUGGGUUAGCCGAAAAAUGGUGGAUUGGCGACCGACCCCCCCCUCCGAGUUAGCCGGGUCGGCGGAGCUUCCCACCCUCCUGUCUCGGCCAUGGGUCUCGUGCCGGCUCACACUCUUGCACAGGCAGUGUUGUAGGUCCCGCUGCAGAGUUGGCACGUUCGUUGUCGUGGAUAGAGGAUAUGACAUGGCUAGGCCGAAGAACGUCAGAAGUGUCACAUGUCGCAUGCUGGGGGGUCCUGGGGCAUCUCCCCAGCCACCCGGAGGGCUCUGGACAGGCACGAGAAGCAGCCAUUCUUAUGCAACCAUUCGGGAAGCUUUCGGGUUCACAUGCUCAGUCCUGGUGAGCGCGACUGCGUUAGCCAAUUGACAAAUGCAUGUCCGGCGCGGAACGCUCUGAAUCGGCCCAAAGGCUAAACGUAUGCUAAGGAACAAUAGUGACGUGUGAAUGUGUCUAGGCUGAGUCGGGAUGUAGGGAAUUUGCGCGGUCGCGGCACUGAGUCCGACCGGUUGCAAGGUUUUUCGAAUUUUUGAAAUGCCACAAAUUAAAGGCUCAUAAGACAAACCCACAAGUGCAUUGCGUACCAGAGGUCGGCAUGGGCUCCGGGUCCUCUGGGUCCCUCAGGAAUACCCGCUACCGAAAUCGAAAAUAGUCAACCGCUCUGGGUCCCUACACUACCGAAACCGCUCUAGAAGCCACAUGUGGGGCCCGAAGGGCCCGCGGAAACGGGCCCGAAACAUGAUUGACUACCUCGUUUCGCUGCUAGUAGUUGCCUCCGCACUCGCUGUAAUCCUUCUAUUGAUGGGUAGGCACAAAGCACCAACAUCUAGGGCUGGCAGGGCCAUAGUGGAGAAGGAAAUUGAGGCUCGCAAACAGUCGCGGAUCACUGACUUGCUGAGCGGAGCUACGCGCCCUAGACCUCACACCAUGGACCCGGGGACAAUUAUGCAUACUGGAGCCUACGGAGCUGACGAACCGGCGACAGCGGCUGGUGAUCACGCUGGCGGGCAAAACGUGACGCAAGGUAAGGACACCUCGCCAAGCGCUGAUCGCGCAAUCUGCAGACCUUCAAAUGUUUGUUGAUGUCCCGCAGGUCUCCCCGGGGGGCUUGCAGUCCCCGGUCCGGCGCCUGACCCCGUCCUGGCCCCUUCCCCUCGCGGCACUUCACCCGCAGCUGCCCCGCCCGCACCGACAACAGCGCAACCGCCGGCUGCUGCACCAGCUCCAACUCUGCCAGGUAGAAUAGUGUUUCCUUGUGUUGGGGAAUGUGGGCUUGGGCUGACACGUCCCGGGCUGGCGCGGCUUGCGAGGUUGUGGCCACGUACUUACUCUGCGCGCACGUGGUGGCGCAGGCGUGUCGCCGUCCAACUCGCCCCUCAAGAAGAAGCAGCGACAACGAAAAGCCGCCCCGACUGCUGCCGCCCCGACCGCUGCCGCUCCGACUGCUGCCGCCGCUCCUGCUGCGACAUCCCCGAAGCCAGCUCCGGCCCCGGCAGAGCUCAUCCCUGACGCAGCCGACGCCGCCCUGCCAGAACCGCCGCUUCUCAACCCCGACCCACCACCCACCAACGCAGCCCCCGGCCCGCAGCCUCCACCCCGUCGCCCUCCCGCUCCUGAGAUAGCACCAUCACCGUCACCAGCACAUGUGACGGCUGCUGCUCCCCCACCUCCUCCCCCGCCCCCUCCCGCACCUCCUCUGGCACCUGUGAAGCCGCCAAGGACCCGCCAACCCAAGGCUCCAGUACGUGAGCUACCCCCAGGCUGCCUCCCACGUCCCGAGGUUGAUGGCGAGGACAAGCUGCAGAUUGUCCAGGCUGGUGGUCGCGAGUUCACGAUGUGGGCGUACUGGCCUGGGGGCCAGAAAGCGGUCGCUGCGUGCUGGAUCUGCGAGCACUACAAGGGCGACUAUCCCCACAUCAAGCGCACAUUCUGGGACCGCUCCGCGUUCGUUGGGCAUCAAAAGACCGACAGCCAUCAGUCGGCGUGCCAGCGACGUGCAGAAGACCUUAAGCAGCAAUCUGCGAAUGACGCGCUGAACCUGACCGACUUGGCCGACGAGGCCCUGAUGGCGCUGUUUGGCAACACGUACGUCAUCCACUACUACAGCAUGCCCUUCACUCACGUCACGCCUAUCAACCACCUGAUGCAUUGGCUCAAGGUGCGCGCAUGGGCGGGGUGGGCGGUGUGAUCGUGGGAAGGACGCGCGCGUGCCGCAAGCCGCUGUUCCCUUCAGCCCAUAUCUUAUCCUCUUCCUUGCCCUAUCUCCGCACAUCAGGUUCCCAACAUCACCAACCUGUACAACGAUCCGCGCGCUCUGGGGCGCUUCUCUGCAUGCAUGCUGCAAGUGUACCGGGAGCAGCAGGACGCGCGCCUGCGUGACGCCACCUUCAUCGCCGUGCAGAUGGACGAGGCUACCGACAUUGCGGGUGAGUGGUGACGAGAUGCAUUCUACUGCCUGGGCGGGGCUUGCUCGUGAUGGCUAUGGCUGUGAGCGCGAGCGCUGUGCUAGGGUGGGCCCACUGCAUUGUUGCGCCGUGAAUGCUUGCCGUGAGCGCUUCCCUCACCCGUCCCCAUUCCUCCCCAUCCGCAUGCAUGCAGGUGAAUCACAUGCCGCCAUCUGCGUAUCCUACGACGAGCCCAAAACCGGCAGCAUCAACGAUGAGUUUUUCGGCCUCGUCAAGCUGUCGGGAUGGACGGGCAGCAAGCUGUUCAGCGCUCUGUCGGGUGCUUUCUCCCAGCGCAAUGUCGAUCUGGCCGGCAAGCUGUCGUCCUUCUCUGGCGACGGCUGCGCGGCCAUUGCCUCGGAGAAGAAGGGUGUGUUUGGUCACCUGCGGCGUGAGGUCAACAGCGUGUGCUUCGGUGUGCACUGCACAAGCCACCGGUUCGCGCUCGCCCUGAAGGACGUCGCCUCCCACAAGAACACCAGUGCGACACUCAAGAGCGUGCUGAAGGGUGUUGAUGCGUGCAUCCGCGGUGCGCACUCCCUCUUCUCGAAGUCAGCCAAGCGUGUGGAGGAGUUCAAGGCGCUGGCCGCCACCUACGCCGCGCUGGUCAAGAAGCCCAAGAUCUUCGUAACAUCGCGAUGGUCCAGCCGUUACAACUGCAUCCGCGACGCUGUGCCGCAGCUUGGUCUGUUCUUGGACUACGUGGGCAAGAACGUCUCGGGCACCAAACCCGCCACCGCCCAACCUGUCGCCGCCCAACCCGCCACCAACAACAACACCCGGCCGGCCGCGCCGCCCCCUGCCGCCGCCGCCGCCACCACCAUCCGCACCGUCCAGCCCCAGGCCCUGACCACCGCCAUCCCUGUUGUGCACCCUCCGGCGGUUGCUACUGCUGCACACCGCGCGCGCCAGCAGCAUGUGACCAGCCCCGCUGCCUUCAACCUGACCAACCCUGCCGCCCUGCUACAGCUCAUGGCGAACCAGGCUGCUCCGGCGGGGCAGUACGGCCUUGCCCAGCAGCAGCUACUGCAGGAGCAGCUGGUUCGGCAGCAGCUACUGUACCAGCAGCAACAGCUGCUGCUGCAGCAACAACACCAGCACCAGCUGCAACUGUUGCAGCAGCGGGCGGCGCAGCAGCAACACCAGGCGCUACCGCAGCAGCUGCCCAUGCCCCCACCCCCGCCGGCGCCGCGGCCUCCCCCUGCUCCUCCAGUGCCCAAUGGCGACGACAGCGACGAGGACUACGAGCCCAGCGAGGUGCCAAGCGAUGACGACUACAUUAGUGAAGAUGAGUACGAGUCUGAUUAUGACGAGCGGGAUACCGCAGCGGAGGGCAAGAAGUUUAAGGAGGUGUACACCAACACCAUGCAGUACUACACGCUAGCUUUCUUUCAUUUCAUGUGUGACGCGCUUGCGCAAACCGAUGCAGUUUUUAAGUUGAUGCAGGUAGAGCAAUUCAAAUUUAGCGAUGUGCCGCGCACGCUGGAGAGUGUGCGCAUAAGCCUGCAAAAUGCCUUCGUAAAGGUAAACCCGGGGGCCUACUUCACCCCGGCUUUGAAAGCUUUCUUCGUUGCCAUGCGCGAGUCUGGGUUCACUAGUUAUAAAGGCCACAAGCUCACGGAGGUGCCCACAAAUGAAUCUGCUAGCAUAAGUGUUCACAGGCUUUUUGUCGAGUUCGUAGAGCAAUUACUGUCACACGUGUCACGGCGUUUCCCAGAUGCGCCUUUCCUGGCAGCACUUGCAUUGUUUGAUCCAGUAGAGUAUCCAGCAGAUAUAAAAGAAGUUGCCGCAUGGGCAGCGCCGCACUGGGAUGCCAUUACCGAGUAUUUCAAGAAGCACGCGCCAUCGGGGUGGCAGGGUGUCGAUGUCGAUGCGGCGUUUGUGCAGUGGGCUUCACGGGCGGUAGAGUGGAUGCAUGGAAAGCGUGAAAGUGCCAUAAAAAAUCGUGAGAAGUUCAUUAGGUUCUACGUGAAGCAGCGGGAAUUGCUAGCAUCAUUACUGUCGGAAGGCAUUCAGUUUGCGGGAGAUGAGCCCACCGGCGCGGAGGCGGUGGAAGAGUUAAGCAGAUCGAAGUGCGAGCGGCCUAAGCACCACUUAAAUAUUCUACUGCGGGAGAUUCACACCGGGCUGGGCUCCACAUGUGAUGCUUUCAUCAAGCUCAUGAUCUUUUGCACGCUGAUUAAGCCCACGUCUGUCAUGUGUGAGCGGGUGUUCUCCCUGCGCACGGUGGUUAAAACCAACCGCCGUGCACGCCUGUCGCCCAUUCGCCUAGCUGAGUGCCUGUUUCUAAAGUUCAAUACGUCUGGCAAUUUAUUUACGGAGCAAGGUGUGCUGCAGGCUGCCAUGACUCGGUACAAGGCGAAAACCGACAUGCAACUGUACACAGAUACGGCGAGCAAGGUUGAGAACCAGCUGUGCAAGCCACAAUUUAGCCGUGUGCAGCGCAGUGUGGUGUGAUGGAAGCUGGCGUGGCGUUGUGGGAGUGACAAUAGUCUUGGCCGUUGAUGGUAUAGGGCAAGGGAUGCAAAGGAACCCAAUUUGUUACAUUAGCCUUGGCGGGCUGUGGCUGGCUGUGAGAGAGACAGAGUAGCAGUGCAAGACUGCAGCCUCGAGGGAGAGUGGCUCUCCCCCGUGCAGAGAAUCACAUGUAAGCGUUGAUGCCCUUGAAUGCCCUUGCGAAAUGCUACAAUUUGAGCACCAAUUCGCAAAAUUUUUCCGGGGGCUCCCGCCCCCGGACCCCCGGCUGGGGGGUCACCCCCCAGUCCCCCCGUUUGGGGUUUACCGAAAUCAGUCCGGACCCAGAGCAGAAAAACUGCGUUUGCCGACCUCUGACCCUGGCAGCAUAACGAGUUGGGCACUGGACACGAGCCGGUAAAGCAGGUUGCAGCCAAUCCAGCCAAACCGUAGUAUGUGCUCCCCUUGGCCGUGCACCGCAUUAGUCGGGACUCGGAACUCUCGCAUGGUAAUGGUGCCUGACGUUAACAGUCCUUGAUCCAUCAGUACCCCACCAUGCACGCGCAGAUACACAACACAACACAACCGCCACAAAAUGGGCAAACACGGUCACCGUGUAAACAAAACUACGACCCAACUCGCUGAUCAACCUAGGGCAGCGUGGCGAGCGUCCCAGGAAUCGCCUCAAUCGUCUCUAUCGCACUCAGGACACUCGCCGGAGAUGGCGAGCAGCGGACCCGAGCGUCGGCUGGACACUCACAGCAGUUCCAGCAGCAGUGGAGACAGGCAGGCCUCCGGACAGCACGCUACUUGCAGCCCGAUGAGCAUCGGCACCGUCGACUCGAGCGAGCAGCCCACAUCCAAGCGCGCUGCCGACUGGUUACGGAGCAUCAAACUUCGGCUUCAGUUCUCGACCAGCCUGAUCGUGGACGCACUGGCAAACACUGACACACUCCCAGCAUCCUCAAUUUGUUCUCAGGAGUUCGAGCGUGCGCUGGAGCAGUUCGAGCUACAGGUCGCAGAACUUGUAUUUAGCGCCCCAAGGCAGGCACCGGUGCCACACGCCUCGGCCAACGAGGCACAGACCGCCGCACCCGCGGCGGAGCGGCGGCCCAACGACCUCGCAGUGCUGCGGGUACAGGUGGAGGAGCAACGGGCUGCGCUGGAAGCCGUCAAACGCUCCCUCGCCCGCGUGGGGGAUGCGGCCGCUGUGGACGAGAGCAAGAUCCUGCUGAAGUCUGUCAGCGGCGAGCUGCUAGAGCGCAUCCGGGCGUCCGGGAACCUAGAGGCGGUUGCUAGCACGAGUGGGACGUCGGUGAGCGGGCGCUAUGUCCGUGCGUGGCAAUCGGCAGGGCGGGAGGUGUGGAACGUCGUGGUGAUGGUGACGCCCCAGGAACGCAGCGCAUUGAUCAGGGCCGCACGCCUGGUCCGCAGCACAGGUGUGGUGGUGGCGCCUUACCUGACGUCCGUAGGGUGUGCACUGCGCAAGGAGCAACUCGGAGCUUUCGAAGGGUUUCGAGCAGCAGGGCUGAAGCCCCGAUGGAAGGGAGGGGCGGGCAUUCGGUGCCGAGGCACCUAAUCACCUAGGCUGACGGGCUAGCAGUUGACGUAGUUGGCAUUGAGUAGUACAGUCGAACACGCCUAACUUCGUUGCGCAAAGUAAGUUUCCCGGCGUUAUAAGGGCCCACCGGCCCGGGCCACUGGUACUUACGGGGACAGGAUAGCACGCAUGCUCGUGCACACCACCUUGUAACCAACAACAACAACAACACUUGGCAGGCAGCCCAGGAGCAGGGCUCCUAUCUAAAUGUCUCCAGACAUUAAUUGACCAUUUGGCCGUUUCCUAGACAUUCCUCCCGGGGGCUAAUGUCUGGGGCGAGACUUUGUUGGCCCGGGUUUGGGGCGGGUUUUGUCCAAAUUCCUAUGGAGAAGCCCCCAAACCGCCAUGUGCCCAGACAAAGACGGCGGCCAUCCGGCCGUUUUUGUCUGGAGCUAGACAUUACCCCAAAAACAAGAUACGGCCAGGAGGCAACAGAUGGGUAGCUGUCUGAAAUGCGAAUGAUAUGAUGGGGCAGGGACAGCAUUAGUAAGGCAGGUCAACGUGUUGCCCUCAAGGUUGCGUUCGUCCUGACAGAGGGCAGUACGGAAAGCCACAGGCCCGCGUUGGGGAAGGCAAGAGCAGACGCACUGUCGGACUCAGCUUCCUCACGCUGACGCAAGACAGCAAAGUUCGUUAGCAGUCGUUAGAUGCCAAGGGCGCCGAGGCGGGCGGGGGAUGCGAGUUGGGUGGGCGAGGGUGCGUGAUUGGACCAUGGCCCACUAUUUCUACAAGAGAAGCCUGCAUUUUGUGCUGUAUACAUUUUAAAUCUUGCCUUACAUCAUCUGCUCAAACGCAGCGGUGAACCUGGCUGUAAACAAAAGCAGUGAACGCGAUGGCCAGUAGCAGCAACACCGAGUAACAAAUACAUAAUGAGCUCUAAGGAAAUGAUAUUUAGCGGCGCUAGAUUUUGGCUGCGUGCAGCGGCGGGCGGAAGAUGCACAGGCAGUUUUGGUGCAGUCGCGUUGUGCUCGGAUGCGCAAUCGGCAUGUUUUCCAUUCCCCGUUGCGCCAAGUUUUCACGCCUCAGCUAGCUCGCUGUCGCACGCAAAGCCGGCCGCGCCCAGCUCCGCCGACCGACGGCCCAGCCUCGAAGCGCAGCCCAAGCAGCCUAGCCGACACAGCAGCCCCAGGCGAAGGCGUGACACGGACCGCCAGCGCAGGGAACCCUCAGCUGCCGGCGGCGGCGACACAUUCAUUCGGCGUGGCCCUUCCUCGCCGGCAGCACGCGUUCCGGCGUACCCCAGCGCACCUGUCACGCCCGCCGGCCAGCCACUGCUGCGCCACGCACCUGGUGCGGGCUCAGCGCCGCUGCCUUCGUCCACGUCGUGCCCCAGCUUGGCGGCGCUGAAUGACCACGUGCAGCGUUACGGGCAUCUGUACAAACUUUCACACAUAGCGGCGGGUCUGCAGGUCCUGGCACAGCUGGUACCGGCGGCGGCGCCCCGGCACGGCCUUGCGGUCGUGCCGUCAGCAGCCCCGUCAGCGCCACACCAGGCCGGCUCUGCCGACAGCCCCACCAGCAGCAGCGAACGGGCCAGUGUCAAUACCAGCACCGCCAUUAGCAGUUCUCAAGAUGCCGCUGCCCAGCAGGUUGCUGCGCAGCCGUCAUCAGCAGAGGUGGCCCGGCAGGCCCGGCAGGUGGCUGAGCUGCUGGUUCUUGCAGGCCAGCACCAGCUGCGUCAGGAGGACGACCUCGCCUCAAUCAGUGCCUGCAUCGGCGCACUCGCACGCACCGGACUGCACGAAGAGCCUGCCGCACCCAACUCGAGGCCCGGAGGCGCCGAGGCGCAGGCGUUCAGUACGGCGGGCCGGGCGCAGCCGCAGCUGCAGUCACAGCCCUCACGUGCGCCGGCGGCGGUGCAGCUGGCGAUGCCGUUCGUGGAGCGGCUGCGUGCGCCCGCCUACUACUACCACAUGCGGUCGCAGCCGGCCGAGGUGCUGGCGCAGCUGCUGCACGCGCUGGGCAAGCUGCGGCCGUGGGCGUACCUGCCAGAGGCGGAGCGACACACAUUCGCCAUGGUGAGCUGCUGUGCGGCCUCGCGCAUUCAGCAGGGCGACGUGCGGCUGGGGCCGCCAAGGACAAGAUAGCAUACUUUAAGCGCGGGGCUUCAUGUUAACUGUGCUCUUGGGUUGUGCCGCUGUGGGCCGCAGGUGGUCGGCCGGGUGGUGAGCUCGCUGCACACCGUGCUGCCCGAGCUUGGGCUGCUGGAGGCAGUGGCGGCGGCGCAGGCCAUGGCGCGACUCCACCUGCCGGUGCGCGGCCACGACAGGAACACGGCGUUCCUGCAGGCAAGUCGGGGAUGGCUGCCUGGGCUGGCGCCGUAGCACCUUGCAGCACCGUCAUCUUGGCCUGGCUUUCCUGGCUGGCUUACGCGUAGCGCAAUUUCCGUGGUCCGUCGCAGGCCCUUGCACGCCGCCUGGUGUCUGGCAUACUGCCCAGCUCCAGCCCCUCGCCGGAGGACGCGUUCCGGCUGGUGUGGGCUUACAGCGAGCUGCUGCCAGGGGCCUGCGGCAUGGAUGACAGCGCAUACGCUGCGGCGCCAUCCCCAGCGGAGGCCCCAAGUGCGCCGGCAGCAGAGGCCGCGAUUGGGCUGCCCGGUGCCGAAGCGGGCACCGGGGCGAAGCCGGCGGCGCCGCAGGGUGGCCAUCAGCCGGCACGGUCAGGCGGCGGUGACGCGGAUGUGGCCGCGCUGGUGGCGGCCUGCUGCCGUGUCGUGCGCAAGUCGUUGGGCUCACCGGAGCCGCAAUCGCCGCGGCUGCUGGCCCGGUUGAUACGCGCACUAGGCAGGCUGCAGGCGCAGCGCGAGCUGCAGGCGCUGGUGCCACAGGCUGCCCCUGUCCUGUUGGCACACCUGCCCAGGUGAGUGCUGGUGAGGACACAGAUCAAGUUGGAGAGCAGUGGAGCGCUGGGGCUGGCCGGCUUGUAUUGCGGGUCCCAGGUGCCUUGGAGCUGCAAGCCAGCAGUGGAUUAUCGCACGUGGGCACCAGUGACCCUGAUGAGUGAUGUGCCUGGUGUGCAGCAAAGUUUGCAUGAGUUUGGAAAGCAAGGGGGGUUGAACUGCGCAUGCAUCUCUCUGUCUGCGCUGCAGCCUCGACACAGGCAACCUGGUGGAUGUGACAUUCGCGUGCGCCGGCAACGGAGUGGCGGAGCGGGGACUCACGACUGCUAUCGCGGAUCAGGUGAGGAAGCAGAGCACGGCGUGGGGGCUGUAUGACUUGAAGAAAGGACGCCUGUAGUAAACAAGGCUUGGGGGCUACAAAACUCAGCGGGGACGUCUUGGACUGCUGAUAGCUACUGUUGUGGUAACGCUGUACUGGCAGAAGUAAUGUUGUGCUGUUGGCGCCCACAGAUCGCUGUGUCGGAGGGACCGCUGACCAUGGUUGAAGCGCAGCGCCUGCUCAUGGUGUACGGUGCCCGCGGUGCGGCACCGCAUGCCGGCCUGAGGCAACGGGUGCGCCUUGCUGUGGCGCAGUCACUGGACGACGCCGCCCGAGUUCACGAUCUGCACGGUCUGCUGCGAGUCUUGGACGACCAGGUGGGCCGUGUGUGAGGUAGGGUGAGGUGUGCAUGGUGGCGUGGUGCCGUGUGGAGAGGAUGGCACGAGUGGAUGGGCAGUGAGUGACAUGCGGUUCCGGGUAGGAUGGUAUAACCAACAAUCAAUACAUCAUGAAAGACACCCUGGUGAACGUCCUGCCCCCUGCCCCCUGCAGGACGAGAUAGAGGCGGCGCUUGCUACCCUAGUGCGGGAAAGGCUGAAGACGUUGUCAUUGGGCUAGUGAGGUUGUCUGCUACGCGCCCUGGCGGCGCAUUUCCGUCGCCUGAUAUGCUACUCUGAGCGGCGCAGCCGUCAGAACGUCAUGUACUGUGGAGUGCUCGGAGCCGCUUGAGGAUGUGAGGGGUGUGUGGGGGGGGGGGCACGGAGUGGGGGCACGGUCAACGUCGGCACGUUCCAGGACAGCUCCAUGCCGCAGGCCAUGCCGCAGGCCAUGCCAGUGAGCACCUACCCCUUCUGUUGCUCGCGUACUUUCCAUAAGAUAGUCCUUAUAACUGAAAAAAAACCAAGAUAAAGAUGGAAACGCUAAUUAUGGUGUGCGCUAUCGCGCUGGCGAUUGGUGUAAAGCUUGGCUUCUUUUUUCUAUUCGCGUACAAGACGCAAAAAGACGCACCAUUACCAAAGAACCAGCCGUUUGACAUAGUGCAAAAAGGCGAGGAGAAAGGCGAUGGGCGUAAGCGCAUCCUGGUUACCGGAGGGUGCGGCUUCUUGGGAAGGUGAGAAGCAUAGUCCUUAGGGACUAUAGAUAAAGAGGAUGCCACUAGGACAGCUUAACCGGGAAGGAAUGCACAAUGAGUGCGGCUUAGGGCCGAUCGCCGUUCCCCCGCCACGCCAUGCCGCGUCCUUCCGACUUUCCUGCACCCAAAACCAUCAUGACCCCGGCCAAAACCUAGUCGGGCAUUACUGGGUCAUAGACAUGGGCGGUGGUUGGCGUGGGGUGUCAAACAGACCUGCGUACCCACACCCCUCCACACCUGCGCCCUCCGUGCAGCCACAUCGUGCGGCAGCUCAAGGACCGUGUAGGCAACAAGGCAUCGCUCGUGGUGCUGGACGCGGCUGUGCACGACAAGUUCGGGCCGCUGGUGCCGGGCGUGACGUACAUUAAGGGCGACAUCACUACCUACACACACGUGCACUCCGCUCUGGCCAACUGCGACUGCGUGGUGCACACGGCCGCGCUGGUCGGCGACUCCACCACGCCGCGCUCCACCUUUGCCCGCGUGAACGAGCAGGGUACCAAGAACAUUGUGGAGGCGGCCUUGGAGCGCGACGUGCGGAACAUGGUGUACACCUCCUCAGGUGCGUUGACUGAUAUCCUUAUACGGAGCUUCAACCGCUGUGCGCCGUGGUGGCGACUGUUGGCGGGCGCGGCUGUCAGCUGUGAGGUGCAGGGCGGGGCAACGACGAGUCACAAUCAGCUUUUGCUGGGGGCUCCAAGGAUGCUGACACGCCCCUGGCCUGUCCUCCACACCUGUCCACCUUGCGGUCAUUGCCCGUCCACCCAACAGCGUCCGUGGUCUUCAGCCUGGCCAAUGUGCGGCCGGGAGUCACGGGCGGUGGCUCGCUGGCGCCCAUCCUGGAGACGGAGCCGGCGCGCCCGGAGGCCGAGCUGAACGGCGCAUACGCCAAGUCCAAGGCGGCGGCGGAGCGGCUGGUGCUGGCGGCCAGCAGCCACGCGCUGCGGGUGGUCGUGCUGCGCCCCGGGGGCGUGUACGGCAUGGCGGACUCGGUGGGUACGGUUGUGGGGGCGAAGCCCCUGGACGUGUCACGGGCGUGGCAGGGCUCUGAAGCAGCGACAGGCUGGGUUGAUGCUGUCAGGCUGCUGACGGGGAAGGAAUGUUUGCUCAGCUCACCCUCGACAACGGUUGCUUGUCCCGAACAUGUGUGUUGCUGUGCUGCUACCGCACCCGCGCAGGGCAUGACGCCCCAGAUCCUGGCAGGCCAGCCGUGGGUAGGGCCCGGCAAGGUGCGGGUGCCGUUCGUGUGGGUGGAGGACGCCGCGCGCGCGCACGUACUAGCGGCCGAGCAGCUGCUGUGGCCGCAGCUGGGCCCCGACGGCAGUCCGGCCAAGCGCAUCCAUGGCCGCGCCUACCACAUCACACACGACCCCGUGCGCGAGCCCCUCCUGUACCACGAGUUCGGAGGUGGCGUGCCCACGGCCAUUGAGGAUCUCGCGGCGCUGGGCAUCGCCGACCGGUCGCACCCAGACGUGGUCAAGGCAGAGGAGCAGGCGGGCGUGCACACGACGCGCAACUGCGCGGCGCUGCGCGCCGCGCGCGUCAGUGCCUACGGCUGUGUCGCGAACAGCAGUGUCCCCUUCCCGGUGGUGUGGUUCCUGGCGCGGCUGAACUUCUGGUUGGGUCAGCGCUUUGGGUUCGUGCUGGUGGACGCGCGCUCCACGCCCGAGAACAUGAUCUAUGCGUCCAACCACUGGCCCUGCGACGUGCGCGAUGCGCGGGCGGUGCUGGGCUGGGAGCCCACCCCGUUCCGGGUGGUGGCGGCGGCGCUGGGUGAGGCGGGCGCGGAUGCCGAUCCUAAGGCGGCCAAGCGGUACAAGAGCCUGACGGUGGGCGGUGCCGAGGAGAAGAAGACCAAGUAGAGGAAGGCGACAGUGGCGGUUGGGGCGAGGCGGAGCGGGCGUUAACAGUGAGCGGGUGCAACUGUGCGAGCAGCGUGUGUGCAAGGUUCACGGCGGGCGGUGGACCGGUGAUCACUGAACCUUGGGCUUUGAAGGAAGACUUGUUACAGUCAACUGCGUACGAGGUGACCUGACCUGGGUGCUGGGCACCCUUGCUUGGUCGGACUGUCCCUUCUUGUAAUGUCGCAUUCAUACGAGGGAGUGUGAUUGCAUCCCGGUCCUGGCGUGUUGGCAUCGGGCAGGGCCUGCACUGCGUUGCCGGUGUCAUCAUGGAGGUGAAGGCUUGCAGCUUGAGACUUGCAAAGUGGGCCUAUCUGCUUUGUGAAUUAUCUUGAAAUGUGGACAGCAUCGUGCAUGCGUGAUUGUUUGUGGAUUGCGCGACGGGGGGCGCAAGGAGGCCAGGGGUCGCAGUGCGCGCAGCAUCGGGUCAGGCAUGGUGUUUCGUGCGGUUCGAUAUCCUGAUCCCCGGUUCCCAGAAUCAGAGCAUACUCUUAUUUGGAGCGUAGAGAUGGGCAACCAAAGGCCCGUUAAGAAGAAGGGCCCCAAAAAUGCGGGCGUUGGCGUUGAUUUUAAGCGUGUCAAGCACAAAGUCGGCAAGAAGCUUCCCAAAGCCAGGAAUGAGACUAACACUGACUUUACGAGCAAGAGCAUUAACCUGCCGAGCCAGGCCGUUAAGGAGGAUCGCAGCGGCGUCGCCGUCAACUAUCAAAACCUGACCCUCAAGGUAAUGGUCUCGCUGUGCUAGAAUUACAUUUUGCAUGUAUCGGUAGAUAUUGUUGCAUGUUCGGAAGCUGAAUCCUUGCUGGCGGCUGCGCGACCUUUGGCAUCCGCUUUCAUUUACAGGAGCUGCUGAACCAGACUUCGCACCACAAUGACAAGUCUAGGAAGCAUUCACUUGUCGGGCUGGCGGACCUCUUCGGGCGGCACCCUGAGCACGUCCGGCUCCACGCAGCCCAGGUAAGGGUUUGGGUCGCCUGGUCGCAGACCCCCUUGCCGGACCGGGCCCUUUUCUCCAACCCCUGCUGGGUCAAACAUGCUGUACCUGACACGCGCUUCCCAUGCUCCUCCUCCUGCCUGUCCGAAUCGUUGGGCUCGGGCAUGUCACCCCUACUCCAUCUCCUGACGCCGCCGCAGGUCCUGGCCACGCUGGCUGAGCGUAUCGUGGACGGAGACCCCGGCGUGCGGUCCGAACUGCGCCGGCUGCUGAACGAGGCAGUCCUGCCGGUGCUGGGGGCGGAUACGCUGCGGCCCUUCAUGCCCAUGUUCAUGGCGCACGUGUGCGGGUGAGUGCCGUCACCCCAGGGCGUUGCCUGGCUGAGCGACUGCAACGGCACUUCGGACCUGCACGGCGCUGCAACCUACCUCUGAGAAGCCCCGGAUGCUUGCCCCUACCGUCCUUGCCCAGCUGCCGGUACCCUCGACAACCCCGCGGGUAGAUGCCCUUGCUUCUGAGGCUGACUCCUUUGCGUCGCUGUCCUUCUCCUGCCCGCAGCGCCAUGACGCACCUCAGCCUGGACGUGCGGCAGGACGCGCUGCUGUUCCUGGACAUACUGGUAGGGCAGCCGGCAGGCGGCAGGCGGCAGGGGCUGGGGCAGUGAGUCGGCGUGUUGGUUGGCUAGGCGGCUGGUGGUCUGGCUAUGAGUCUGAGUAUGGGCUGAGUAUGGGCUGCGUCCUACAGGGUGCGCGCGCAGCCGGACGUCAUCCCGUGUUGGUUUACUUUGGGCUGGUAUUUACCCACGCCGUUGCACUCGCCCCACUACACCACUACACGCCUCAAACGGUUCCUGCCCCUGUGCUCUCCUAACAACAGAUGGACCACGUGCCCCGCCUGGUGGUGGACGGCUACCUGGCGCCCUGCCUGGCGCACUUCUGCGACCUCUUCUCAGCCUCCCACCGCAGCCGCAGCAUCCGCGCGCAGUCGCUGGCGGCGCUCACUAAGCUGCUCACCUCGCUGUCCAGCUUCCUGCGCCGCGCCUUCCCUGGUGGCGGCGCCGGCGAGGACGGCGCAGACGCGGCCGGCGCCGGCCCGGGCCCCAGCAGCGCGCGCCAGGCGGCGCUGCAGGCGGCGGCCGCGGCUGCAGGGCCCCUGGGCGCAGACCGCACCCGCUGGCCGGCACGCUCGGGUGCGGAGCUCAUGGCGGGCCUGGAGGGAAUGUUCAGGGCGGCGGCCGCCGCCACACGUGCGGGCCGCGGCAAGAAGGGCUCCAAGCUGGGCGCCACGGACGGCGUGGACAAGAACCGCGGCAAGAAGGGCCGCGGCAGCGUCAGCACCAGUGAGGCUUUCAUGAGCACUGCUGACGCGGCGGCGGCCACCAACGCGGGCAAGAGCAUUGCAGCGGCGGCUGCCGCCCUGGCGGCGGUGGCCGCGCCGUCUUCGGCUGCUGCGGCGGCGGGCAUGGACCUGGCGGCGCCGUCGGGCGCGGCGGCGGCGGCGGGGGGCGUGCUGGGUGCGGGCACGACCAUGGCGGCGGCGCUGGUGGCGGCGUCGGACGCGCGCGCCUCGGCGCUGCGGCUGGUGUCGCUGCUUAUGGACUGCUGGCUGGAGUGCACGCCCGGCCAGCUGGCCACGGCGCCGGAGGCGGAGCAGGCGGCGGCGGUGCUCAUGGUGUUGAGCGCCACCAACACGCUCAUGGACAAGCUGCUGCUGCCGCCAGCCGCCGCCAGCGGCGGCUCGGCGGAGGCGCAGCUGCGGCUGCAGCUGCUGCAGCACCUGCAUGACCUGGUUGCGAAGCGCGUGACCGGCUGCUUCCCGACCACGUCGCCGCCCGUGAAGCCGGCGGCGAUGGUGGCGGACACGCUGGUCCGCAUCAACCUGCAGACCGCGGAGCUGCUCUGUCGCUUCCUGCCGCUGCUGGCGCACCAGCCGCCGCAGCAGCAACACGGCGCGGACGCGAUGGCCAGCGGGCCGCUGCAGUGGGUGCCGUCGCUGGUGGGGUUCUACGUGAGCGUGCUGGAGGACGGCGUGCUGCUGCCGGCGACGGCUGGCACGCUGUCAGAGGCGCCGGCGGCGGCUACGGCAGGGCUGAGCGGCGGCGCGAGCGAGGCUGUGCUGGCGUCGGUGGCGGCGGCGGUGCAGAACCUGGACGCGGCGUCAGCACAGCGGCUGAUGGGUGCGGUGGCGAGCUUUGCAUCGCGGCAGACGGCGCGCUCGACAGCACGUGUGGCGAGCACCCGCAUGCAGCAUGGGCUGCUCAGAGCGGCGCUGGCGGGUGCGUAAUGCAUUUGCGUGCCGUCUCCGUGACCUGCAUUCAGAUCAACAAGCGAUUGGCUAUUGCGUGCGUGCGGCCGAGCCUGCGGUUUGUCUUGGGGGAUUCUACGGAGAGCUGCAUGACUUAUGGACGCGUGGCGUAUAACAUUGCUUGCUGCACAUGCGCUGUGCUCACUCGUUCUCAGGCCGGCUGUACCUGGAGGACGGCGUGGUGGCGGGCUGGCUGGCGCCGCUGCCCAAGCUGCUGUGGGAGGUGGGCGGUAACGCUCCGGACGCCUCGACCGCGGCGCUUCAGCUGAUCAUGGAUGCUGCGCGCUUCGCAGCGCCUGGUGAGCUUAGCGCAACCUCUCUGAGUCUGCGUCCCUAAAAUAAUGCUCAUGCCCCAUCAUACGCUGCCGCGGCUGUAUUCUCAUACGCGCAGUGCUUCCCGCUCUCUCACAACACAUGCACUCUUGCCGACUCGUGCUGUUCGCCCUCUCCCUCAUACCCUCGCUUCCCAGGCUCCUCCAUCGCCCAGUACCUGGCGUCCACGCUGCAGCCGCAGCUGGCCCCGCUGUUUGCGGCGCAGCUGCCGCCCAAGGCCGCCAAGGCCGCGAUCGCCAAGCACAAGGCGGCGGCGGGAGCCGCGGCAGGGCCCGCGGCCGCCGUGGCGGCGGGCGGGGCGCUGGCAGAGGAGCAGGUGAUGGUGCUGCUGCCUGGGGUGGUGGGCAAGCUGCCAGACCACGUGGCGUGCCAGGCAGUGAACCUGCUGUACCACACAGGUGAGCUCCUUGCGGUGCGCGCUUUCGGUGUGCUGUCAUGGUGUUGCGUUUGUUAUCGGGGCACUGCGGUAAACCGCAUGGGGGCGUGGAGGGCGGGAUGCCUAACGAAACGCGGUGCAAAGCCGGCUAGGUGACGGGUGCUGGACCUCCGCCGCACCACGCCAGUAUACGCCUGCCUCCAGCCUUCAGCCCCACACACCCGCUAAGCUUGUGUGUUCCGGUGCCGCACAGGUGCCCUGGGUGCGCCGCUACUGAAGCCGCUGGCCGCGGUGCUGUCCUGCGCCGCGCUGCCGCGCGGCCUGGCGCUGCGGCUGCUGGACGUGGUCCUGUCCCGGCUGCGUGACGCGCCCGACCCCGCUCUGGCUGCCAGCUGGCUGCUGUCGCUGCUGUUCGGGCCGCAGCACGGUCUGGCGGUGCUGACGCCGGACGGCGCUGACCUCACAGCCGACUGGGCGCGGCAGCGCGCGACGCUGGACGCGGCGGUGAUGGGCAUGGGACGGCUGGGCGGCGCGGGCCCGCUGCUGCAGUUGCUGCUGCCGCAGGUGGCGGCGCUGCCGCUGGAGGAGCUGGGCGGGCUGGGCGCGCCAGCGGCUCGGGUGCAGCGCUACAGCCUCGUGUCGCUGGCAGGGGCGGCUGUAGCAGACGCGGCGGGCGCGGGGUCCGCGGGCGCGGCGGCGCUGCCCAAGCAGCUGGCGGCGCGGCUGCCGGCGGUGGCGGCGCUGUGUGGGCUGGAGCUGGCGGCGCAGGCGUCGGCGGAGGUGGGCGAGGAGGGCGCGCUGUCAGGGGUGUUUGGCGGUGGGGCCGCAACUGGCAGCAACGCCGUCGCGGCCGCGGCGGCUGUGGCGGCCUGCGGUCCGGUGCUGCAGCUGCUGCAGGAGCAGCCUGGCAUGGCGUUGCCGCUGCUGCAGAAGCUAUCGGAGGUGGUUGAGGGCGGCGUACAGGCCGCGGGCAAGGUGGGCGCGGAGACGGGCGCGGGUGCGGCGGUGGGCAGGCUGCAGCUACACCUGGUGGCGCUGGCGGCGCUGCGCCUGGCGCAGGCGUCUGUGAAGCUGCAGCCUGUGCGCACGACGUAUGUUGCGGCCAAGGCGGCAGCACAGAGGGAGGCGCUCGUGGCGGCAGUGGCCCAGCUGACCAGCGCGGUCAAGUCAUUACCGGCGUCGGGAGCCGCCAGCGAGCGUGCGGCGGCGUGCGUGAUUGAGAGCCAGCGGCUGUCGCAGACCAUGGCGGACCUGUACGCUUCGUCAUAAGGAUUUCGUGAUACGUAGGCAACGGCGCUGCUGCGCUGGGCUUCCGGGGUCUUGCGCGAGCCUGUAACUGAGAGGUGGAUGAUAUUGCAUGUGCGCGAACCCCGACAAUGAAGUCCUGACUUAAAGGAGGGACUAAGGCAGUACAGCUUGCUGGCUGCCGGACAUAGUGCAGAGCGCUGUACGGGGCGGUCCGGUGUUUGGGCUGGUAAGCAAGGUGUGCUCAUCUGAGGCCCUAGUGCCGGCAUGGGACAGCUUUGGCAACGGGCGAUUACACACAGACACGGAUUGCCAAAAUAGUGUAAAAGCAAUAUGCUCUACCAUAGCUACAUGUUCCCUCGUCGGGCUGCCCUACGCGGCUGUGCGUGGUGAACAAUACCUGCAUGCUGGUCCAGCUCGUCGUCCGUAUUUGUGGUAAAUCGAACCACAUGAUAAAUCCGCUCCCGCGGCAUGCCACCCCUGGCCACAAGUGGUAUGAACCAGCCACUUCAUUUAAUCCAAUCCAUGUAGCACCACCUCAUCACAGCCACUUAAACCCCAGCCGGAUGCGCCUCCCAGCAACCGUGCCGCCCCAAACCUCCCCUCAAAACGUCCCCCCAAAUGCCUGCAUCCAAUGUCCCCCGGCGACAGCCGCCGCGCUUCGCUCGCUGUCCAAACCUUCAGGCUUCAGCACACGCGCGCGUGGAGGCACAUCGGCAGCGGCAACCGCCUCCCGCACUCGCGCCUUGAUCCGCCCUUCUAUCGCCAGAAGCUCAUCUCGCAGAGUGUCGUGGUUGCCUGCCAGCACCGAGCCAGCAUGGAAGCCAGCAUGAAGGAUGUCGCCAGCAGAUACGGUACUCGCACGCCAUUUGAACUACGCUAAGUUGCUCGCUCGCCAGCUUGACGGCGGUUGCGCUCGCUCGAGCGUCUACAAUGUCUACUGCAUUUGUCAUGUACUGUCUGUAUCAUCAGGUUCGCUCUAGGGGCAUCACAAGUCAUCCGAGCUGAGAAUCCGCUGCGCAGUCCCGACCACCACUUCACAUGACAUCAGAGCACGUCGCAGCGCGGCGUUCUUGAGCACACAUCGCAUAACCACACCUCGCCAUCAGGAUGGACAUGCAUCGGCAAUGCGGCAUGCGACCCCUCACACGUCUAUCUAUCGCUGCGCACUCGCUCCUAGCUUCAGGCAACCACUGCGGUGGGUGCGGAUGCCACCUCGGGCGCGCCGCCCCCGCCCUGCAGGUGGGCCUCGUCUGCGUCACUUGGCGCCGGAUCACCCAUGCUUUCGUCAUCUCCCCCGGCAACGGCACCUCCAGCUGCCGCGGCGUUGCCCGCAUCCGAGACUCCCAUGUCGACCGUCGUCGUGGCCGCAGCAGCUGUGGACGACGGCCGGUCCUCAGCCGGCUUCUGCUCCAGCCGCACGGGCGAUCGCACCUCAGCCGGCCGCGGCGGCGUCUGCUGUCCCACCGCCCGCACCGCAGCCGCUUCCUGCUCCUUCAGCAAGGACUGCUGCUCCAGUGGCUGCUGCUUCACCUGCGGCAUCAGCGGCAGCGGCACACCAAGCCCCGCCGGCCCCGCCGACGCCAUCGCCGCGACCGGUCCCGGCAGCAGCCCCUCCUGCGCCAGGAUGGCGUUCAGCUUCUGCCCCGGCGACAUGCCCGCGGGCAGCGCCUGCAGCAGCCGCGUCGCUGGCGACGCCAUCGGUAGCCCGCCGGCGCCGGCGCCCAAGGCCGCGCCUUCACUGCCCGCCGCCUGCAGCCGCAAUUCCGCCUGCGGCUGCUGCUGCUGCUGCGUUGCCAGCUGCAGGUGCGCCUGCAGCAGCAGCACGCGGUCCACCAGCUGCUCGCGGCCGAGCACCUGCAGCGCCUCGCGGCCCAUGGGCUCUAGGCUCAGGGCGGGCGGCACAUGCAGCAGCUCCAGCGGCGGCGGCAGCAACACGCCGCCGGGCUCGGCCAGGCCCAUGCCAGACAGCUCCAGCGCCGCCACCGCCAGGCCGUUCAGUCCAGCCAGGCUGUCCUCAUCCAGCGGCUCCUGCCCCGCAGGCCCCGAGCCGCCGCCCGCAUGCUGGCCGCGGCGCUUGGAAGGGCCGCCUUGCCGGCUGUCACCACCGCCGCCCCGCCAGCUCCCGGCAGCACGGCUCCGCCCGCCGGGCGCCGCAACUUCAACCGAUGGCUCAGCUUCUGUGUGUAACAAGCGGCGAGAGCCGAGCCAGCCUGGUUGUUCUGCGCCGGCUCCGCCAGCGCCCGUCUCAGCACCAUUCGGUCCUUCCCCGCCCAGCGCGGCCGCAGCAGCUGCCGUCCGCUGCCGCUUGCUGGAGCGGGGGCUAAGGGUGCCGUUCUCCGUGCCGCCCGCAUCACCGCAGCCGCGGACGCCGCCCGAAGCCUCCUCCUCUACCGCACCGGUCGCGGCCGCGCGCUGCGAGGCCGCCAGGUUGUGCGCCAGUGCCGCCAGGGCAAACUGCUGUUGCACCGCCGCCGCCUGCAUGGCCAGCCGCUGCAGCAGGUCACCCGGCAGCCCGGCCCCAGCUCCGGCGCCCCCACCUGCGCCGUCGGCCGCCUCCAGCCCCGCUCGAUGCACUGCCAGCAGCGCCGCUGUGGUGGGGCUCAGAAGCGCCGGCGCCGCCAGCAGCUGGUCAAGCGACAUGCCACCUCCCAGCCCGCCCGUGUCGUCGCCGCGGCCCUCGCCCUCGCCGUCGCUGCCGCCGCCCAUGUGGCCUAGCCGCCGGCCGUGACCGUCGUCCCGGCUGGGGCUGGCACUCUGCGCCGCUGCCGCCAGGUUCGCCAGCUGUGUCAGGCCCGCCACUGCAUCGCCGUCCAAGUCGUCGUCAUCCUCAGCAACCGCGUCCUCGUCAUCCUCCGUCAGCCCGGCAGCGCCCCUGGCGCCGCGGCGGCGGCCGCGCUGGCCGCUUCCGCGGCUGCCGCUACGCCCCCGUCCGGGGCGGCGGUGUAGCGCGUAGUCGGGGUCGCCGCCGCCGGCACCGCCGUCGCCGCCGUCGUGCUGGUCCAUCGCGUCGUAGUCCUCGCCUGGGCCCAUGCUCCCGGACUGCAGGAAGCGGGCAUUGCAAGGAAUCAAAAGCGUGCAACGGGCAUGCAUUUGCGCAUGCCGCGGAAUGACAGUGAGCUUGUGUGCUGCAUACGCAUGCCAGUACCAUGCGUCCACCCAGCGACUCACCCUGUCACUGACGGAGCGCUUCCGUGCGCGGUAGCUGCAGGCAGGGCAGCAGUACACGAGGGGCCAGGUGCUCAACACAGAAAAUGCAACGGCGCUCUGUUAAGCUAUGGAGUCAAGCCCUUACACCCCAGGUACAGGCGGUAAGUAAUGAUUUUUUCUGCCAUUUGUUACCCACUUGCGGAAAUAGUCGCGCACAAGCGGCAGGCUGCGGAGGCACCUGUGAACGGGAAUGCCACCGCAACAGCCACUAAGUCACAGUCUGUAAGCCCGCGUGACCAGCCGAUGCCACUAUCGUUAGACACAACUGACAUGCGGCCUGGGAUACAAGACUGCGACCCACUUGGCGUGUAUGCGGGUUUCCUGCAGCGACGGCGCGUCCUCCUUCCACAACGAGGCGGCAUGCUCGUUGUACCACACAGUAAUUUCCUGCGCGUCUGGCCGCCUGCCCUCUUUUUUCUCAAACGUGGACCGCCACCUGCGAACCAAGGCCGGAAGCCGUGUCAGCGGCCAGCGACUACCAGCGACACAACGGCAGUCACAGGUCAGGCUGCACCCCUAGAAGGCUCUGCACGGUGUGUUGUCCACAAAACCCAGCGUGGUUCCAGUGGCUUAGCGCGUUGCCAAGGUCUUAGCGACUUCGAGACAACGUUUCCAACCUUGCAAGCCCCCAGCGCACCAAUCGUUGAAGGGCUGCCAGAAGCGCAAAGGCCGCCGGUCUAAACUAUGCCGUGCCGGCGAACGCGCCUCCUUGGCGUCAUCCGAGCCCUGUGACUUGGUCCGCCCCCGUGAAGACCCGCCUUUUGUCAUUUCUAUGUGCUCCUGUGCCCACAGCUGACGCGGGGGCGCCCGCCCGUGCGGGCGGUGCCUGCGUGUAGCGAAGUGGAGGGCGAUAAUUGGCCGUAAGGUCGAGGGCCCCACUUCGACACUGCAAUGCAAAAGUGUACACGCCCUUAGACUUUCUGUUGCACCGCAGAAAGCGACGGCGAAGCUCGACCUUCAGUGUCAGGUGUUGCUAACCCCGCCGGGCAGUAGCCGGCGAGGGCAAUUGCCACGGGGCUAUGCAUUAUAAGCAAUUGCUGCUGAUUGAAAAGAAGGGUUGUCCUCGUGGCGAGUCUCACGUUUACGUUGCGCUCUCCAAAUUGAGACGACCAGAUGCGCCCCAGGUGAAGGUGAGGGUGAGCGCUGGAGAGGGUUUACAGUAUUGCGAGGUCCCAAAAGCCAGCCUGUUAGUAUUUCUGCCGGGCCGGCAAGAAGCUGUAGCUCGCCAGAAAGCUUUUCUCUCCGUGGACCACAGCAACCAGUCGUGUCACGCUAAGCGACAGCAACUAUACGAGCUGAAAUGUACAAGGCAUCGGACUUGGCCUCUUGGGUGCAAACGAGUAGUUGUUCGCGUCACAGCAGCAGCUAUCUCGCUUUCGAGCUACCUAUGCUCAAAUACAUAAUGGAAACCGCACGUGUUUUGCUGGCAUAGCGUCAAUGCGUGCAAAUGCCGCGAUGGGUACGUGCCAGUAAUGCCGAAACCCGCCGGUACCCCAGGCGGAAAAUCUGCACCCCCCCCCUUAUGCGCCCGUGGACUUGUGACCUCCAACUGCAAGCUUGGACAUUAUCUGAUUUAACUCCUUUCCGCUCCUCCCUCGCUCAUACAACCACGCCGUGCCGCGUCACUUCAAGGUUCAAGGCGUUCAUGACCACGCCUUCUUUUAGUCCUCAGCUUCGGACUGCAUCGCCGCAGAAUACUAGCACGAGCCGACAUCUGGAUUACCGUAGUCUACAACCUGCUCACCCACGCCGGCAAGCACUAGACUCUACCCACGUAUUCGUGCCUCGAAGUUCUCCUGGCGCGCCACACUGCACCAGCUCCUUCGCUCAGGGCCCGGCACCAUGACGGUGUCCACCCCAUCAUGCUACCCCAGCGGCCCCAGUGACCCAGCCUCUUCCGCAUCCGCCUCUUGUCCAGCCGUGGCCCGCGGCCCUGUUGCUGCGACUGGCGACCGCACGAUCCCUGGCUCUGUCCCCUCGCCUGCGUCACCUGUGACCGUCACCGCCGAUUCGGCAGACAGCCCUUGCCCUGCCUCCCCGCCCUCUACUGCACCCUCCAUCGCGCGCUCCGCCGUCAGCCCCAAGUCCUGCCCUGGCUCCUCCGACGGGUCUGCGAAGGCGUACGCGCUGUCAUACCCGUACAACGCCCCGCCCGGGCUUUCCAGCCCCGCCGCCCCCGAGCCGCCCUCCUCUUCCGCCGCCCCCGCCCCGCCUGCGCCCUCCUCGCCGCGCUCCAGCGACAGCCAGCCCACCAGCUCUGUCAGCUGCUCCACCUGCUGCCGCAGCCCCGCGUUCUCCGCAGACAGCGCCGCCUUGUCGCGCAUCAGAGCCUCCACCUGGGCGGGUGGGUGGCGGCGGCAACGGCACAGUUGUAUGUAAGCCUUGAGGUGGCAGUGAAGGGCGGAGCUUGCGGCCAGAGCAGCACAUGCCCAAGUUCAGGUGCGUUUCCAGCCACUGAGCAUAAGCGGAACCAUGCAAUCAGCUUCACCACUUAUCCGUUCCUGACACUGCCACUCUGCCCAGCUGUUGACACCCUCACCUGCGCCAGUAGCAUGUCCACCAUCGCCUGGUCUGUGCCACUGCCUGCCCGCACGCCCGAGUUGAUGUCCAGACCUGUGGGCCCCUCGUCCUCCUGCCGGCCCAUCAGGAAGCCCUCCGGCGCUGGGCUGGUGCCAGCGAAGCUGGAGCCAGCGAGGCUGUAGCCGGUGCUGCUCGGCAGGCUGCCCGCCACAACCGUCCCGGAGGCUGCGGAGGAGGAGCAAGACGUCUUGUGCAGCGGCGGCGCGCACGCACUGCUGGGCGGCAGCGCGCCCAGGGACGUGCUCGCCAUACCCUGCCCCAGGCGCGGCAUCUGCAGGAAACCAGGAGCAGCGCAUUCCUCGUCUACAUGGAAACGCUAGAAUCUUGAGACGCAGCGCAUUGUGUGUUGGCCACAGCUGCGCCUGCAGCCGGGCGGCCCGGCACGGACAGUGCUCACGCAAUAGGCCCGGCCUCACCUCGGUAGGUAAUGUGGCUCUCCCCGUCGCCACCUCCGCCGGCUGUGUGAACACCUGCGAUUGGAGUCGAGAGGUCAACGCCCAGUGCGCUACGGGCCCACUUGCAGGAGCAUGCCAGGUUUGCGUGCGGCAGGGUUACGCUUGGCCCAUGCGGCUUACGGCACCGCACCUUGAACGUCGUGAGUUCCACCGCCGGCGGGGGGGCAGGUGCACCAGGUGCGGCCCCUGCCCCGGAGGCGGCGCUCUUGGCCGCGAGUCCCUUCUGGUGACGAUACUUAUCCAGCGUCCGCCGGCCCGCUGCCCGCAGCCACUCCUUGUACUCAUCCUGCGGGCGCAACCGGUUCAACUACCUCAGCUACGCGGUGCUACCGUAUGGCGCGCCCCGUCUUCGGAAGCGGGAGAGGCGGGCGGACAAUUCGGGUCAAACCCGAAUUGAGCGUCAGCGCGCAUUGUACAGCUAGAAUACACAACUUCAGGUGCACCCUGAGUGUGCUAUACUGGCACGCCGCAUGCCCGUAGUGCCUCCCAAUCGCUAGCGCAGUGCAUAGCGCAGUGGUAUUGCGCAGUAGCACUGCGCAUCCAGCGGGCCUGCGCGGCAUUCACCGCGCCCGUACCCCGCUGACCUGUCCCAGCACCUGCAACCCCAUCACCCGAUCCUUGCGCACCGGUGACAUGUUGUUCGGGGCCUUGGCCUCCCGCUCUCCUGCGGGGAGGCCGACCAUCGCGCUCGCGUCCUGACCCGUUUCUCCCUGCUCUCACUCAGGCUGGUUUGGCGAAGGGCCUGCAGGUCGACGUGCAGACCCCCGGACCCAAGCGCUGAUAAUCCUAGCAGCUAACACUAUGUACCCAGGCCCCCAGGUUGGCGUGCGGCCCUAAAAUUGACAGCUGCAGGAGCUGGACGCGUCAGCUGGACCGCAAGAGUCUUGCGACGUGUUUUGGUCGCGGCAGGCUCCACCCAAGCGCGAGUGUGUCGCUCCGUAUGUGUGAAUGUAUGUGUUAUUGAGAUGAGCCAGUCAAAGAACUUCCCCAGAAUCGAGUGCGCCCAUCCGGCCUGCUUCGCAUUCCGCAUGGGAAGACUGAGGCAAUCGAAAUGUGGCUCAUACGACGUUAGUCUGGUACACGUCUGCCAUUUUCCCUUCAGACACAUUCUUCACCAGAAUAGUCCGCCAAGGAACUGGUCCAGAUUGCCCGCCACUAGGCCCAGCCGGCUGUCUUGACCACUCUCAGCUGCUCAUAGGCCUCAGAUAUGUCUCUAAGACGCAAGCUUAAGGGGAAGAAGCCGCCGGAGGGCUGGGAGCUCAUUGAGGAGGUCAUAGAGGACUUUGAGCAGCAGCUCAAGGAGGCGGUAAACGAGGAGCAUGAGGGAAAGCGUAAGACAGAGCUUACGUGGAAGAUUCACCGGUUACAUUGGGAGAAGAAUCGCUUCAUCUACGACCUCAUGUACCAGCGCAAAGUUAUGUCCAAGGAGCUGGUAAGCUGUCGUCGUCACACAUGCGGUUGUCUGAUGCCUUCGGCGGGUGGGGGGGGGCGGCAGCAGGCAGCGGAGGACGUGCGGGAGCGCGGGGUUAGAGAGGGGAAUCACGGUGCCGUGAAGCGCACGCGCACCGUGGUCAUACUGUGAACAGCGUGCCAGAACACUAGCAGGAGCUGCCUUAGGGUUGGCCUCAGCGUACAGGUGCAUGGUGUUGUGGCCCGCCCUACGGGGCAGAUGAACGCAAGGAUUGACCUUUUCCCUCUCUGGCGCCCACUCACAGUUCGAGUGGUUAGUGCGAGAGAAGGUGGCCGACGGCGCAUUGAUAGCUAAGUGGCGCAAGCCCGGCUACGAGAUUCUCUGCUCAAUGCUGGCCAUCCAGAAAGGCAACCACAAUUUCGGGACCACCAGCCACUGUCGCGUUCCGCUGCGGGCGCGCGCCAAGCAGCAGCGCAUCACACCAGACGUGCAGACUGGCUGCAUCUCGUGCGCUUCGGGAGACGGGAAGUAAGUGGGACCGGGAACUUCAUGGGCCAUUUUAGGUAUGCUGUACCAUAGUGUAUUGCUGGAGAUGCGGGUCCAUGGUGUGGCGUCAGUAGGGGAUGCCAAAGUUGUCCGUUGCGGGCGCCCUCACAUGGGGAGGCGCUAUGCCAGGCUAGACCUUGCUUGCACAAGCACAACAAUGUCGCCCGAGUAAGACUGCACGCGGCCUCCGGCCACUUGGUGUGCCGAUCACCGUAUCGACCCUGCACUCACGCCCUGUGCGUUCACUACUUUUCGCACGCCCACACAGGUUUGGCGGGCCGGUGUGGUGGAACACGCCGCUGGACGAGGAGGACAGCGCCAAGCUGGAGGAGAACCGCACCACCUGGGGGCAGGCCGGGACCGGGGAGCCUGGCGAUGGCAUGGGAGGAGGCGGAGGGGGGCCGGGCCCCAGCCGCAAGCGGCCCGCGUCGACCUUAGACGGCGACGAUGACGACGAGCUGCCGGAUGAGGUGCGGGCGCGCCUGGAGGCGCUCAAGAAGGGCACCAAGGCGCUGGACUGAGGGCGAGGCGCUCGGUGGCGAGGACCUGGGGUCUGGAGGCUUGGCAUGGGUAUGGAGGAUCGGCAUGAGUAUGGGUUAUGGAGGCGUGGCGCGAUGCAAGGGGCAGGCGCGGUGUGUGGAUGUGGGCUGUGAGGCGCGUCGAAGGAGCUGGGGCGACGGCACAAGCGCGAUGACGCUGUGGCCAAUGCAAGCCCGCGCUGGUUGGUUGCUGGGCGUGCUUGCUCUGCUGGCGCUUGUGGAGGCACGGUUAGUGAGGCGGGGCGAUGCAGAUGGGACGCUGGAAUGUGCUUCGGAGCCGUGUUGUCGGGAUGUGUAAACAGGUGUGCGUAGCUGACAACCAGGUGCAGGGACCACGGCCUGUACGAACCGGAGGUGAUGGCCUCAUGGGCGUAGUCUGUGCCCGCGCGCUCUGCAAGGCUGUGUAAUGGCCGCUCGCGCAUGCUCAUGGCCUUUGGCCUUCGACUCGACGGGGUCAGGGGCAGGGUGGCCCCCGGUCAGGGGCAACGCCGCGACGGGGCUGCCCGGCUGGUGCUGGCUGGUGGGCUCGGUUUGCAGCAAGGGGACUGUCCCCUCAUUCCUCCAUGCUAUAACACCUGGCCAGUGUGCUGUGCACUCUAGUUAGAGGCGGGAGUACUUGCCCCUGUCCCACCUGCAUUUGCCUCAGCACAGAAGUCUGUGGAAUCGCCAUGCAGAAACCCUCGCGUCCCAUGCGCCCCGGCCACUUAUGAAAGCGGUCGGUAAUGCAGCAACAUAUGCACCACCACAAAAAUGAUGUUCUUUUUCUUUUCAGGAGGUCAGGGGUCGGUCCAAAUUGCCCCGCUCAUCCUCUUGCUUCCGUUCUUACUCCAGUUUGUGCCACUGCUCUUUGAUGGUAUUUUCAUUACGGAGGCGCCUAGCAGGACCAGGCGCGCUGCUGGGCGCACUGCGAGUCAGGGCACGCUUGAGGCCGCAUCGCCCUUCGGCUCGUUUGUCAACGUGGUGCUGCCUAUCAUUGGCAUCGUUGGCAUGAUAAGAUUUGUUCACUGGGUGAGUGAGCCGGAGCAGAACUGAGGGGAAGGGGGCACGCGUUUUCCAGGUCACGCCUGUCAACCGACCGGCACGAGGUUGUGACCUUGUGUGCAAGUUCUCCCAAUCUUACAGGUUCGCACCAACGGCGGCUGGCGCUUCUUCGUGCGCCUCUUGUUCCAGGGCUACCAGGGCGGGGCCGCUGGCGUGGGCCCGUUCAGGUGGCAGUGGGGCCCAGCAGCGGGACAGCAGGCGGGUCAGCAGGGUGCUGGGCGACCCGGCGCCAGUCGCCGCCGCGUGACACUGGAGGAGGUUGCAGACGCGCUAGCUAAGCUGCCCACGGAGGCAUACAUGACGCCGCAGCAGAUGGCGGCACUGUCCGUGCACGAGCUUAAGGUGGGCUGGUGUGCAAGGCCUGCGAGGGACACGCACGUGCUGGGGGCACUUGUGCUUAGGGCGCGUGCUUGAGAAUGGGCUGUCCCAAUAUGGUCAGCCGCGUGUAGCUGAGUAAGGUCGCAGGCGAUGGCGUACACGCCACCAAACGUGGCUUCUGCUACGCCUGACCCAACGCCCUGGCAUUGCAGGCGCUGCUGCACGGCCGCGGCCUGGAGCCGGUCAAGUGCCUGGAGAAGGGCGAGCUGGUGCGGCAGCUGCUGGAGCACGGCGGCAGCAGCGCCGACUCGUGCAGCAUAUGCUGCGAGGAGUAUGCCCAGCAGGCGUCAGGAGCCGCUGCUGAGACGGCGCAGAUGCCAGCGGCAGGAGGAGCGGCCGCAGCAGGAGCAGGCGCAGGAGCAGUAGAGGCGGCGGCGGAGCUGGGGCAUGGAGGCGCCGGAUCAACUGAGUGGGUGACGGACGUGGCGGAGCGGAAUGAGGCUGGGGCCGAGGACCAUAGAGCGUCCGUGGCUAGCGCGGCAGGGGCAGAGGCUGGGCCCGCGUCCCACUGCGGCGCGGGCGGUGGUGGCGCCAGCGCUGGCGAGCACGCCGUCCCAGCCAAUAGCGGCUGCCGAGCCACUGGGGGCAUCGCAUCUGAUGCUGCAGCGGAGGCGGAGGACGACGCGCCUGUUGUGCUGCGCGUGCUGCGGUGUGGGCACCGUUUCCACGUGGAGUGCGUGGACAAGUGGUUCCUCAGUGCCACUGACUACACGAGGGAACCGGCAUGCCCGCUGUGCAAUGCACCGCUCAUCCUUCCUCUCCGGCAAUAGGCAGCGGCAAGUAGGGCGCGUGUGCAUCUGACGAAGAGAUACGGGUGGUACGCACCGGUUGUACUAUGCCAUGCAAUGAAGGGCGUCAUUGAGACAAUCUUUGCCAGCUUCGGUUUCCUAGCGUUGCGUCGUGUUACAAGUUUUGAGGGCGGCUCGCCGCUGGAGAGGGUAGAGCAGAGAGCGACGGUCUUGGUCCGGGUGUCCGGGUUGGGUCUUGGGAGGGCGAGCCCGAACCGUCGUAACCACGCAGAGGGCGCAGCUAGGAAGAUUACUCAUAAUAAGAUUACUCAUAAUGCCAGAAGACAAGUGUUCCCCGGUCACGGGAAAAGGGGCUGAGCCCCUCCACAGUCUGAGGCCGAACAACCUCAUCGCCCGGACAUAGCCGGGGUCGGUUUCCACAGGCACAUAGCCAAACCAGGUGCCUAGCAAUCACGAUGCCACAGCAGAGCCAACCGCAGCCAGACGUAGCACAGUUGUCAACAGCCGCACUACUUGUCAUGCCGCAACGCAUGCCCUGCCAGCCCCACCGCGGACCGCUACCUAGACACCGCCAGCCGGCUCCUCAGCCUGCGCGCUUGCGCCGCUUCUUGGGCGGCGCUGCGCUCUCCUCCUCCACGUGGCCUUUCCCGCCCCCUCCGCUACCAAGAUGCGCGCACGCGCCGCCGCCGCUGCCGCUGCCGCCGCCGCCGCUGCCGCCGCCGCCGCCGCCGCCGCUGCUGCCGCCGCCGCCGCUGCCGCCGCCGCCGCCAGUCUGCAGCGAUGCAGGUCGCUUGUGCCCCAGCAGCAUUUCCACCAGCGCGUGCCGGAUGUUGGUUGCGGAGUUGACGUCACGUCCCUGCACCGUCGGGAGGGUAGAGUGAGUGAGUCCCACUGAGCCCACGACUGAGCCGUCACCCAGCCGUCACCCAGCCAUCACCCACUGAGCCCCACUGAGCCCACGACUGCGCCCCACUGAGCCCCACUGAGCCCCACUGAGCCGUCACCCAGCCAGCCAUCACCCACUGAGCCCCACUGCCAGAAGAAAACUCGCAAAGGAGCGAGCGCGACCGCGUGCCCCGCUACUUAACCGGGCCCAUCGCCCACGCUGCGCAUGGGCCCCAAGCAACAAACUGCUAGUCUGUUUGGCCUCCUUUCUGCACAGUGGGCACGGCAGAGAAGAGACGCCACAGAAGAGGCACGCUGCUAAAGCCAUGCCGGUAGAAGACUGGAGGGCGGAGGCUUACAGCGAACGACUCUUUGGGGAAACACUAUCCAUCUACGUCAGAUGCUUUCCGGGGCCACAAAUGCACCGGCCCUCACCUUUGGAACCGCCGCCGCCACCAAGAGCUUCUUGUGUGGAACUUGUACGGAACCAUUUGCGAACAAGGACUAACCUAAUUCCACGAGAGGCCCUAAGCCCCGCCCCGGCUGAAGCCGCCAAUCUGCUGGCCAGCACGCCAGCGGUGCGCUACUUUACGGCCCUCCAUAGGCCCACGCCUUCCACGGUGCUCAAAUCAAUCUAUAGCUUGCUAAACCAAUCAAUCCAUACAGCAGUCCACGCUACGUGUCCGCAUCUGCGUACGCGUCCAAACACUCCGUCCGCCCACUAAUCUCUUGUAGGCCCGCGCCUUCCACGGUGCUCAAACCAAUAUGUUGCUUGCUAAACCAAUCAAUCCAUACAGCAGUCCACGCUACGUGUCCGCAUCUACGUACGCGUUCAAACACUCCAUCCGGCCGCUAAUCUCUUAUAGGCCCGCGCCUUCCACGGUGCCCAAAUCAAUCUAUUGCUUGCUGAACCCAUCAAUCCAUAUAGCAGUCCACGCUACGUGUCCGCAUCUACGUACGCGUUUCAAACACUCCAUCCGGCCACUUAUCUCUAAGUACAAAAGUCCUGCUUGGGUCCGAGCUGCGAAUCACUCAUACUUCACUCUAGGGGGCUGGGAGGCACGCCCCACUUCGACAUCCGGCAGCACGCAUUUGCGGCGCGUAGUAAUCGUUUCACCAGUUAGCAGUUGGCACACGGCCAUCCAUACAGCGAGGUAGGCACCGUAACCAAGUCCUAGCAUCCUAACACGUGUACAGCAGCUACUUGUCAAAGUCGCAUGAGAAGUGAUGUAUUGCAUACGAGUUACCGGCUGUGCGCCAGUGUGUGUUGCAGACAACCGUUGCACCGUAUUCAUGUAUGUGUGCGGCGUGAAUCAACGCCGCGGGGAUGGCUUAUUAGUGCACUAGGUGCACUGGUGCAGUAUCGCACCCAGUAGUGUCAAGCGCCCUGCGAAAGCUCCGGUAAAUCGAUGCUGUGAGCUUGCAAGCUCACUCAUCAUUUCGAAUGAGAAACUAACACAGUUGCGGUACUGUUACGUACGGCUGGUUUUCGUUCCGGACCAUCCAUCCAAUGGGAUGGCAGUCAUCUCAUCUCUAGGCUUGGCUAUUUAGCCGUGCGGCCUCAUAUCUUGCUGCGUUCAGGCACGAUUAGUGCCUUUGCUUAAACCUGCGUACCAUACGGUACGCCACUCAUCUUGCCGCUGCUUGUUGCGGCCCUUACUGCAUAGUCCGUAGUCGUUUGCGGUCAGUGCGCGCUCGUCAGGCACGCACAAGGCCGCGCGCCCGCCGGUCAAGCUGCUGCCAGCCGCCGCGCGCAUGGACCGCUGAUCCGUCCUGCCCGGCAGCUGCAUAGCGGCGCAUUGUUAGGCGCUUGCCGCCUUGGGCUGAAUCACAAAGCCCGGUGCCACCGACACCUCCGUGUAGACGGAAGGCACCUUGGACCACUGGUAGCUUAACACAGUGUGCAGCGUCGGGAAGACGGUGCGUGCGGCGUCCUGCGCCGCCGUCUGCUCCAUGUCGGCCCGGCGCCACUCCGCAAACUGGCGCGCCUGAGCCGCCUGCGCCGCAGCGUUCUCCUCAGCCGACAUGACCGGGGUGGGCACCUGCUGCUGCUGCUGCACCGACGACGGCGCUGCCGCAGCGGCGGCGGCGGCAAUGCUGAUGUUGGCAGCCGCGGAGGUGGCGGCGUCGCUGGCCGCCUGCUGCAGCUUCAGGAAGGACGCCUGCAGCUGGCGCGGACCGCUCAGCAUGUUGCCGCCGAGGGCCAUUGGCCGGGGUGAAGACAGCACCGAGUAAGCCACGCAGGCCUCUGCCGGGAUCACGUCGCCGCCAGCAGCGUCACAGCCGCUAGCCACCGGCGCAGCAGCGUGCAGCGCGGCGGCAAUGGACGCGACUGGGAGCAGGAUGCGCGCGGGCUUGGCGGGCUCCUGCUGCUUAGGCGCCGGCGUAGGCGCGAGUGCGGAUUUGGAGGAGCAGCUGUUGGGGUCGCUGCUGACGCACACAACCGCAGGCUCGAAGGCGACUUUGACCUCGCGGACGCGGUCAAAGCUGUUGGCCGAGCGGAGACUGUUGUCGGAAGUGCUCCGCGACAGUGUUGCCGGCGACGCAGCGCAGUCUGCAAAGGAGGACAAAAUGGAAAUUCAGCGACUGGCCCAUUUCGGUAUACGUGAGUACCUCAAGCACCCGCAAUGCCCGCAAAGCCUCGCCAAUUAUGCCGAUGCCGCCACUCACCCGACGGGGUCGCAAUGCCAGUGCUCGCGAGCGAGCAGUGCCGAGCGAAAUGCUUCCACACGCCCUUGACUCCGCGCGCAGCCCUAGCCAGCCAGGCUAGCCACAUCUUGUGAGGGCGCCUCGAAGAGCGAAAGCCCGAGCCAUCAGUGGCGUUGACGAAGCGGUGCGGAGGCACAGUCGCGUGAAUCAUUCUUGUUUGGCUUUCACGUUAAAGUGAGCAGGUAAUAAGUUGAACAAGUCCGCAAUGAACGGCUAGCUAUGUCUUCCUUGCUGGCAAUGUGUAUUGAGGGAAACAGGCAGACGCAGGCCCGAAUUCGGGGCUUUAUUGCCCGAAUUGCGAGGUACGGCGCGCCAUCGGUGCACCGCACUACCUUGCCCAGCCACGCUUGGUUGCGUCUUCACUACAAGCAUGGGCCGGAUGUUGUUGUGCAUGAGCUUGGUGCGACUGUGCGGGCUCGCGGCGAGGGAAGCCCGCGUCGCAGCCAAAGACACUUCGCGCAGCUGCCGACGACUUGCGACAGAUGCCAACAGAUAUCAAGUUUAUGAGGGGUCCAGAUCGGUAGCCGACGGUGACAAUUGGAGACAACACAUGUUUCGCUCCGCUUUGCUUCGCUGCGGUGCUCGCGCAAGCUCGGAACCGCCGAAUCGACCAUCUGUCUGCAAGUAAACAUGUGAAGCGCGAAUUUGCCAGCGGAGGCUCGUUCGUGACCGCCCUUACUGCAAGUUGUCCUUGGACAGCCUCGCGGAAGCUGCGGGCUUUGGCGGAUGCGUAAGAUAUCGAAAUCACAGGCUCGCAACAGCUCGACAGUUCACAGAGCGAGUCUGAGCCCCACCAGACUUUGCACCGCGCAACACUCGUCCGGCCAGCCCGCACAGUCGCACCAAGCUCAUGCACAACAACAUCCGGCCCAUGCUUGUAGUGAAGACGCAACCAAGCGUGGCUGGGCAAGGUAGUGCGGUGCACCGAUGGCGCGCCGUACCUCGCAAUUCGGGCAAGAAAGCCCCGAAUUCGGGCCUGCGUCUGCCUGUUUCCCUCAAUACACAUUGCCAGCAAGGAAGACAUAGCUAGCCGUUCAUUGCGGACUUGUUCAACUUAUUACCUGCUCACUUUAACGUGAAAGCCAAACAAGAAUGAUUCACGCGACUGUGCCUCCGCACCGCUUCGUCAACGCCACUGAUGGCUCGGGCUUUCGCUCUUCGAGGCGCCCUCACAAGAUGUGGCUAGCCUGGCUGGCUAGGGCUGCGCGCGGAGUCAAGGGCGUGUGGAAGCAUUUCGCUCGGCACUGCUCGCUCGCGAGCACUGGCAUUGCGACCCCGUCGGGUGAGUGGCGGCAUCGGCAUAAUUGGCGAGGCUUUGCGGGCAUUGCGGGUGCUUAAGGUACUCACGUAUACCGAAAUGGGCCAGUCGCUGAAUUUCCAUUUUGUCCUCCUUUGCAGACUGCGCUGCGUCGCCGGCAACACUGUCGCGGAGCACUUCCGACAACAGUCUCCGCUCGGCCAACAGCUUUGACCGCGUCCGCGAGGUCAAAGUCGCCUUCGAGCCUGCGGUUGUGUGCGUCAGCAGCGACCCCAACAGCUGCUCCUCCAAAUCCGCACUCGCGCCUACGCCGGCGCCUAAGCAGCAGGAGCCCGCCAAGCCCGCGCGCAUCCUGCUCCCAGUCGCGUCCAUUGCCGCCGCGCUGCACGCUGCUGCGCCGGCGGCUAGCGGCUGUGACGCUGCUGGCGGCGACGUGAUCCCGGCAGAGGCCUGCGCGGCUUACUCGGUGCUGUCUUCACCCCGGCCAAUGGCCCUCGGCGGCAACAUGCUGAGCGGUCCGCGCCAGCUGCAGGCGUCCUUCCUGAAGCUGCAGCAGGCGGCCAGCGACGCCGCCACCUCCGCGGCUGCCAACAUCAGCAUUGCCGCCGCCGCCGCUGCGGCAGCGCCGUCGUCGGUGCAGCAGCAGCAGCAGGUGCCCACCCCGGUCAUGUCGGCUGAGGAGAACGCUGCGGCGCAGGCGGCUCAGGCGCGCCAGUUUGCGGAGUGGCGCCGGGCCGACAUGGAGCAGACGGCGGCGCAGGACGCCGCACGCACCGUCUUCCCGACGCUGCACACUGUGUUAAGCUACCAGUGGUCCAAGGUGCCUUCCGUCUACACGGAGGUGUCGGUGGCACCGGGCUUUGUGAUUCAGCCCAAGGCGGCAAGCGCCUAACAAUGCGCCGCUAUGCAGCUGCCGGGCAGGACGGAUCAGCGGACCACGCGCGCGGCGGCUGGCAGCAGCUUGACCGGCGGGCGCGCGGCCUUGUGCGUGCCUGACGAGCGCGCACUGACCGCAAACGACUACGGACUAGGCAGUAAGGGCCGCAACAAGCAGCGGCAAGAUGAGUGGCGUACCGUAUGGUACGCAGGUUUAAGCAAAGGCACUAAUCGUGCCUGAACGCAGCAAGAUAUGAGGCCGCACGGCUAAAUAGCCAAGCCUAGAGAUGAGAUGACUGCCAUCCCAUUGGAUGGAUGGUCCGGAACGAAAACCAGCCGUACGUAACAGUACCGCAACUGUGUUAGUUUCUCAUUCGAAAUGAUGAGUGAGCUUGCAAGCUCACAGCAUCGAUUUACCGGAGCUUUCGCAGGGCGCUUGACACUACUGGGUGCGAUACUGCACCAGUGCACCUAGUGCACUAAUAAGCCAUCCCCGCAGCGUUGAUUCACGCCGCACACAUACAUGAAUACGGUGCAACGGUUGUCUGCAACACACACUGGCGCACAGCCGGUAACUCGUAUGCAAUACAUCACUUCUCAUGCGACUUUGACAAGUAGCUGCUGUACACGUGUUAGGAUGCUAGGACUUGGUUACGGUGCCUACCUCGCUGUAUGGAUGGCCGUGUGCCAACUGCUAACUGGUGAAACGAUUACUACGCGCCGCAAAUGCGUGCUGCCGGAUGUCGAUGUGGGGCGUGCCUCCCAGCCCCCUAGAGUGAAGUAUGAGUGAUUCGCAGCUCGGACCCAAGCAGGACUUUUGUACUUAGAGAUUAGUGGCCGGAUGGAGUGUUUGAAACGCGUACGUAGAUGCGGACACGUAGCGUGGACUGCUGUAUGGAUUGAUGGGUUUAGCAAGCAAUAGAUUGAUUUGGGCACCGUGGAAGGCGCGGGCCUAUAAGAGGUUAGUGGCCGGAUGGAGUGUUGGAACGCGUACGUAGAUGCGGACACGUAGCGUGGACUGCUGUAUGGAUUGAUGGGUUUAGCAAGCAAUAGAUUGAUUUGAGCACCGUGGAAGGCGCGGGCCUAUGAGAGGUUAGUGGCCGGAUGGAGUGUUGGAACGCGUACGUAGAUGCGGACACGUAGCGUGGACUGCUGUAUGGAUUGAUGGGUUUAGCAAGCAAUAGAUUGAUUUGAGCACCGUGGAAGGCGCGGGCCUAUGGAGGGCCGUAGAGUAGCGCACCGCUGACGUGCUGGCCAGCAGAUUGGCGGCUUCAGCCGGGGCGGGGCUUAGGGCCUCUCGUGGCAUUAGGUUAUUAGUCCUUGUUCGCAAUCUGUUCCGUACAAGUUCCACACAAGAAGCUCUUGGUGGCGGCGGUUCCGAAGGUGAGGGCCGGUGCAUUUGUGGCCCGCCGGGGAAGCAUCUGACGUAGAUGGAUAGCCUUUCCCCAAAGAGUGGGACGAGGUCCCAGUUGAAUGUGUUGCGGCACCGAACAGCCGAUGGCCCGACUGAUGGUGCAUGCGUGAUAGAUGGUGAGCUACGAAUGGUGGCAGUGUCGCAGUGGCCUUGGCAAUGGCCAGGAUACGUACUAUAAAGAGGUUAGAUUAGCGAGUGUGUCCGCGUCAGUGCCCCAGUCUGUUCAUCUUGUGUACUUGGCCCCCACCAGAUCUACCCCCGCGCGACACCCAGCUUGCCAUGAGGGGAUACGUACGUGGCCAGAGUGUGUAACCUUUCGGACCGUUGAGCAGUUUCGCGCUGUCCAGCCAAGGUCCAGUGGGGUUGUGGCCGCAGCCAUUUGGGCCCGAUGCACGUGGUAGUCCCCAGGGGCCAAGGGUCACGCCAGGGGUUGGCAAGUAAGGCUGCCAAGGACAAAAGGUACCGUCGUCUACCACGCAGCAGUGUUGCGUUGUUUCAAGCAUGUCGUGACGUCGAUAGCAUUGUUAUCCGAUUGCACCAGCAGGCGGUAGGGACGUGCGGAUUGUCAUUGCAAGCUUUGCGUGCAAGGUUUACGUGCAGUCCAUCACGCAGACCUCAUUGGGUGAAGUCGUCCACACAAACAGCCAGGGACGCUGUGCUCUGGCUCCGGCCGGACACUGGCUGGAUUUAGCCUGCGCGUUUAUCCAGCCUGUCUACCCAUGCGGGGGGCAUCUACGCUGGAACAGAUGCCGCAGGCCGGUGGACAUCCACACGGUAAAUACCACACACACACACACACACACACACACACACACACACACACACACACACACACACACACACACACACACACACACACACACACACACAAAAUGCAGCUGGCCCGCAUGACAAACAUGCACGGAAGCAGCGACCAGCCCUUAAUAACACGCUUCGCCUCUUCAGUAGGGCACCUAGCGCACGCACGUCGCAACUACCAGGGCGGGGGCGUCGGUCUAAUAAACAGUCCAAGUUAGGGCAGGCGCCCUGGUCCAAAACUGUAUGAAUCCCGAAACAUACAUUACUAGCCGCAGCAGUGACUGGGCAAACAAACGCAAUGCGCCCACAAAACGUCCUGAAGAGAUUGUAGUAUAUAUGCCAAUGCGACAGCGUAGGGUCAAACCCAUCACACAAUGCCACGGUGCACUCGGAAUAGCGAGGGUGCAGGGGUUAUUGGUACAUCCGUACAUCCAAAGGAAUCGGGCCGGGGCCUGGUCGCAACUGGGUGUUGGGGGCGGUUGCCAACCGUUGCCGAUCACAUGGGGCGAGUUGGCCACCCCGCACACGGACAUGGCGUGGGGCUCUCGCUGUUGCAUGACCCCAACUGGUGCGUGGAGUCAUCGUACGAGACGGGUUUGGCCUUAGCAAAAUCAUCAACGGGCAAAAUCUUGUUGCUACUCCCGCUACGCACAAUCAUCGAGGUGGUGGUGGACGUGUCGUCGUUGGGCGGGAUGGGCUUCACGGCCGCAGAAAGCUAAAGCCCACUGCAGCCACAAGCAAUGCGUGAAGCCUUCUAUUCAGGGGUGCCAGGCGCGGCACCAGCGUGUCUGGAGUGUCAGGUUGGUCUCUUUAGCCAUCCCGUUCGCUGAAGGCUCACGCCAAGGUACAAUCAUUACGGUAUUUAUAAGCCCACAAGCGCGAAAGUGCUGCAUUACCUCCGCGAGAGCCACUUGCAUGCAUGCCACAAUGACAUGUUGGGUUCCUUUCCAACACUCCAGCCUGAUCCAUCACACAUCACUGGCCCAUCGCCAGCAAGGUUCCCACUCAAUAGCGCAACCCACCGCCCUCUUGUACAGAAUUGCCGCAUUCAUAACCCCGAACACACACGACAAGUGUUCCCCGGUCACGGGAAAAGGGGCUGAGCCCCUCCACAUACAGUCUGAGGCCGAACAACCUCAUCGCCCGGACAUAGCCGGGGUCAGUUUCCAUAGGCACAUAGCCAAACCCGAUGCCUAGCAAUCGCGAUGCCACAGCAGAGCCAACCGCAGCCAGACGCAGCACAGUUGUCAACAGCCGCACUACUUGUCAUGCCGCUACGCAUGCCCUGCCAGCCCCACCGCGGACCGCUACCAAGACACCAGCCGGCUCCUCAGCCUGCGCGCUUGCGCCGCUUCUAGGGCGGCGCUGCGCUCUCCUCCUCCCAACGUGGCCUUCCCCCCACAAAGAAACAUCAGCUGCACCCUACGGGACUUUACCAACCUGCCUUACCGAAAGCCCGAAAAUCACACGGCGCUUUGCUCUGCUCGCCUGUCGACGCCGUGCAUGCAAUGUGUUUGGCACGCAUGCGCCCCAGCCGUGUCACCCUAGAAACCCGCCGUUUCUCCGGCAACGAACAGAACCCCGCACGCUCCUGCUCAGGGGUAAGGGUUGGGGUUGCUCAUCAUACUAUAUUAUAAGCCCACGACGCGCCCUUGAGCACAUGAGCUUGCAUGGCAUCUACCGUGAUACUCCCACUGGGCACCACACCAAGCCCUCUACGGCAGGCUGGGUUACUGACAUCCAGUCCAAUUGCAAGCGUCAGCAAAGUUGAAUUUCCCCAUACUGGCUAAUGCAUUGGAUCCAGGAGGCUAAUCCAUGACGUCCAAGUCAGCCAGCGGCAGCGGUUUGCAUGUCUGCCAUGGCCGCGUCAUCACGUCAUGGUCAACCAAACAAUCAACAGCAGGAUACAAUGCACUACGCACACCAUGCGUGCUGAACAUCCUACACCACCAGUCCUCAGAGGCGUGUGCCCUGUCGACAUGUCCAUCGGACAUACAACUGAUUGCACAUGCGUGUCCCAAGCCUAUGGUCGUCCGUACCAUGCAAGACCCACACGCGCGUGUGCACGCGACACACCGCCGGGGUGCAAUCAGAACCGAGUCAGUACAACCAUUGAUACUUUGGCAGUACAAAUAAAAUUGCGAGCAAAAGAGGCCUUGACCUUUCGGUUGCUCCUUUUAUUGGGGGGAGACCGAACGCAGCCUCACCAUAAAAGCCUCAUUCAUUUACGGGUUCACCGGAUGGCCAUCCAUAUCGUUUACCCAGGCCAGUACAGAGCCACGAAGCCAGGGCCGCCUACGCGAAGCCAUUGCUGCUGUGUCUCUGCGUGAUGGUCACCACCGGCGGUGGAGCACUGCUGGCCUGUGCCGCGUCUGAGUGGAACGAAGCAUCCUUCCCGUCAUUCUCAGUGCUGACCGAGCUAGCACCUGCGAACGUAGUUGGGUGCACAUACACGGUACAGCCCCUGAGAGCUUAGCCGCACGCAAUUACCCACGUCUACACGCACAAGCGGGGCAUGGUCUGAUCACGGCAGCAGGGGCGCAGAAGGCGUAUUGCCCACCUGGAGAGCAUCUUGUGACUGUAGGAUCGGUCUUGUCCAGCGGUAUGAUGAGGUUGAGGAUGAGCGCCACCACGGCGCCCAGGGUGAAGGAGGUGGAGAUGACCAGGAUGAUGGCGUCACGCAGGCCGCGCAGGCCGGGCGACAUGCCGGGCGUGACGGGCCACAGGUUGAGCGUGGCCCACUGCGGGACCAGCUCCACGCCAAACGCCAGCGCCAAUGAGCACGCCAGGAUGAAGCGCGAGCGGCGCGUGAGGGGAUCGCCGUUGAUGAUAAUCUUAAUGCCCGAGGCAAUGACGUUGGCGAACAGGACUGCGGGUAGGGGCGUCGGGGCAACUGGUACAUGAGGUUUAGACACGUGCAAUCACAUGCUGGCCUGGGCUUUGGCACGCUCCGUUCCGAAAGUCCAAACCCACAGCCAGGCACCCACGCUGUCAGCAGCCGCCCCUCCCUGCAGCCGCUGAGUCCUGCUGUGCCAAUGCCCCUGUCCCGCCCCACUCACAAGUGGUCAUGCCGCCCAGCACACACUCCGGGAUGGUGGUGAUCCAGGCGCCCACCUUGCCUGCAGGGCCAGAAGCGGCGUGGUUUUCGUAAGACAAGACCACAAACUUUGGGUGACACGCAGAUAGAUGCAAAACAACGAUGCGCGGCCCUUUCUCUUGCGCGCGUGUCCCAAAGGUAGCCAUGUAGACCCGGCCCCGUCACUCACCUAGAAUGCCCAGCAGGAACAGCCAGAACGCAGCAGCAAAGCCGGCCUGACGAGCGGCCACGUUGGUCAAAGCUAUGACGCCGUUGUUCUGAGCGAACGUGGUCAGGGGCAGCGAGGUGGCCAGGGCGGAGAAGAUGCCGCUGAUGCCGUCGUUCAGGAGCGCGCCCUUAAUGCGCCGCGUGCCGUCCUCGGUGUCAACAGCCAUACGUGAUGCCUCCAUAGUUGCUGAAGUGUCGCCCACGGUCUCAAUGGAUGUGAUGAUAAACACAAUCAUCAGCGGGAUAAUGGCGGGCGGAUAGAAACCUGUGAUGCCGGGGGCAAGCACGCAGGGCAUGCGGGGUGGUCAGGGCACGCCGCCGCUUGCGACCCAUCCCACCAAUCCCAACACUUCCAACCGUGCCACACCAUGCUCCUUGCCUACCCCACGCGACAUCAAUCGUUUCCAUCCCGUAACGUACCUAGCGGGAAGGUGGUGGUCCACAGGAAGGUGAUGCCGGGCGCCUGGUCAAUCUUGGUGGUGAUCACGUACUUCUUGCCCUGGUAGGUGGUGACAGCGGCGAUGAGGUAGCCGAACAGCAGCGCCAGAAUGACAGAGGCGUUGCGCAUGAAGGGGCUGCCGAAGAUCUCCAAGAAGAUGAUGGUGCUGUGAAUGCGGUAGGGUGGCGCGACAGGGCAACCCUUGAAUGAAGUACGGCAAAGUCGGCCAUACAUGUAAAGCGUGCCUGACCACUGCCCUGGCCGGCUUGCAUGCCCACUCCACUCACAUGAAGACCAAAAAGCCCAGGCCGAGGUACUCCUGAGAGCCGAAAGGAAGGAAUACCUCGGUCUUGGUCUUGUCGCCGCACAUGACGCCGGGGCCCACCCAGCAUUGGUUCAGCUGCAAGUAACUGGUGCCGUUGGGGUACUUGGCGGGCAGGAAGCACGCUCUGGUUGCGGGCGGGUGCUGCCAGUUAUCGGCACAGAAGGCGCCGCCGCCCCAGUUCUUAAACCCAGAACCGAUCAGAUGCACGCCAAUCAUCAUAAUGACAAUGCCGCACACAAGGGGCGGGAAGAUCUUUUUGAUGACACGAAUGGGAAAGAAUGAAAGGAUUACGGGGAUUACCCCGCACAUGGCGAUGGUGCCGAGAAAGUUGCCGUACGCCUCCUCAAAAGUUCGUCCCUGCUCCUUCAUGAGCUGUCCAAUGACGGAGGUCGCAAUGGGCACGGUUGUAAAGGAGAUGCCCAUACAAGAGAGCACACCCGCUCCGUACUGAAACUUGGUUUUGUAAAUGCGCACGCCCAGGACUUGGAAAAAGGUCAUGAUACCGCACACGAUGAGUGCCGCCUGGACCAGGUCUGCAGACAAAAAACCAGAGGUCAACCGUAAGGGCGAAGUUCGCAAAACGAAUCCAGGGGCCGCACAAUAGGGUGCCCGCCGUGGUCCAAAGUCCCCAAUCGCCAAUGCUGCCGACACCCUUGCGCACAUGCGCUCGCACCAACCUAGUCAACAGCAUAACGCAGUCCCAGCAUAUGACUCACAGCGCUGAAUUUCAGCUGGAUCGCCCUGGGCAUAGGGAGUUGUGGUCCCAGGCCGGUUGCCGAAGGCCAGGGUUGACACUAGCAGCGGCGGCGUGAUGAGGCCUCCCACCAUGGCCAGCGCGUGCUGCAGGCCCAUGACCAGGGCCACGAACAGUCCUGCGGAGCGUCACGAUACACACGGCAAAUCCGGUUACCCUUGUGCGAGCCGCAAGCUCUGUCUGGCAACGGGCACGGACGAUGGGACCGACGAUGGCACAGUGUAUGUAGGCCGACAGAUUCCUCACCCAGAAAAUCAUCCUUGCCGAAGAAGCGCGGCGGGGGUACGCCUUUCCCCUUCCGAAAGUAUGGAAAAGCAGGCUGCGAAGCCAGGGCGAGACACGGCUGGUAAAGGACAGUAAAGGACAAAGCGGCCACUAGAACUGCACCGCGCUUACCAGGCAGAGAUAUUUCAGGUCGUAGGUUCCGACCAUAAGCUCCUUAAAGGAGCGUUUCUCGGUAUGGUGAACCUCGACCGCACUCAUGGUUGCCGUGCCUCAGCGCUGCUCUCGCCAGUCGUGCCCUAUGCAGUGUUAUAAACUUUUCUAAAUUCACGUCAAGCACUCGAGGGAGUCGCGCGCCUCGCCAGGCUCGUCCUAGUCACGUGCCGCUCGCUUCACGCUGCUUUCUCAAAAUGCCGAGGUAAGGAGGUAUCAGCAAGUAGGGUGAAAGAGUAAGAGUAGAUACGUUGGCGCCAUGAAGGUAAAUGCCCAAAUCGCCAUCCUGCUCAUGACCUACCCCUCGUCUUCUCUCCGGUCGGUUUCGUCUGCCCUCGUGAUGGAACAUGGCAAGGGGCAGGAAAGCGUAGUCCCGAUGUGUGUGGCUCCCACCCGUGCCCACAUAAAUGCGUAGCAAGAAGGGACAAGGCAUUGGUGCGUUGUUCGCGCGCUGUUACUGUACCGACGGUAGCUGGCAGGUUGUGUCGAUGUUUUGCUGAAACGGUCGGUUUCGUCUGCCAUGUUUCUCUUCUUCUUCUCUUCUGUGAUCUUUGUGCCCAUGGGCCGGGUCAAUGCAGCAGCCAGCAGGUCGCUGUGCCUCCCAUCUAGCAAGGAGGCCAUCCUGAUCCGUUUGGUACCGGUGUGCAACGCUGUCCAUGUGCUCCAUACGGACCCUGAGCCGUGUCCCCUGGCUUGUCGGCGUAAACGCUUGCUCAUUGCCUUACAAUCAUAGCCUUCUAGGCACAGGUGCCCGUAUUGAAUACCUUACGGAGCUUAGCAAGCUCACGGUGGUGAGGCACGCCGCCGUGGCGCAUGAGUUCGAGUGAGAUGAGACAACCAACACAAUCAAUCCGCAGGACAUGCACAACCAUCUCGCCUUCGCCUGCAAAGGCCUCACGCCCCCGGCAACAGCUCGGCCGCCGAUGUGUACUCGCCGUGCGUGGAGAAGUACUCCACCAGGCGCUUCAGGAACCCGUCCUGCGACACCGUCUCGCUGUCACAGAACACGGCGCAGUGCCGCCGCGCCCGCGUGACCGCCACGUUCAUGCGGCGCCGGUCCGACAGGAAGCCUACUCCGCCACCGUCAUUGCUGCGCACCAUUGACACCAAUAUUGCCUCCUUUUCACGUCCCUGAAACCCGUCCACACUGCUGAUCUCCAGUGCACCGCCGACGCUCUGGGCCCGCAGUUCCUUGAGCAAGGCCACCUGCACGAGGCAGACAAGGCAUGAAGGUGGUCAGUCAGGAAGCGGUUGCGCACGUAGGUCAUGCAUAUUGUGCGGUAUGGAAUGCGUGCAAAUGCAGUCAAGCGUGUUCCAACUUGCGGAGCGGGCAUCAUCGGAAGUGUUGUCAGACAGACGCCUGACGCAAAUUACCCAUUUGUGACAAUCAAUCACCUGCCAUCUGCCCCGCAAGCAUGCCAUGCGAAGUAUGAAUGAAACGCGUGGUAGCGCACAGCGCUAGUGAGGACGGUGGCGACAUCAGGAUUAAAAAGCUCGUUUUGUUUAUUCCUCACAGAGGAACUCAGAGAUGGAUUUCGGUUAAUAUCAUCAAGUGCCGCCGUGCCGUGCUCUGCCAUCGUGUCAUGCACUAAUACCCGCUACCGCUCAAGUCAACCCAUAACGCGACAUCAGGAUUAAAAAGCUCGUUUUGUUUAUUCCUCACGGAGGAACUCAGAGAUGGAUUUCGGUUAAUAUCAUCAUUUGCGCGUAUGUGACAUGCGUGCAAUCCUCCUACCACACAAUUGCAUACGCUCCUGUCUCCGCGCCUCCCCAAAUUCCUACCGCGCCCCUGCAAGUGCCUGCGUGCCUACCUGUGCGUUGUAGGGCGUGAUGAUGCCGAUGUGCUGAGGCGGGAUGCCUAUGCGCACCAGCCGCGCCACGUGCGCCAUCACUGCCUUGGCCUCGCCGGGGUUGGCAUAGCUGCUGCCCUCCGCCUCCUGCUGUUCCUCAAAGCCGCAGCCGGCCGUGUCCACUAGCAUCAGCACCGGAAGCGAGGCCAGGGCGUCGGCCGAGCCCGGGUCGGUGCCUUCUGAAGGGGCGGCAGCCGCCUUUGCUGGCGCGGCCUUCUUGCUGCCGGCCGCCUUCUUCCCGCCGCUGCCCGCCGCCUUGGCACUGCCUUUGCAGCCAGCGCCUGGGGCUCCGGCCGCGGCGUCGGGUGGCAUGUCGCGGAGCGUGUGCUCCGCAACCGACGGGUGCGCGGUGAGCUUGCCGUGGUACAGCUCGUCGCUCGACCACUGCAUGAUGGCCUUGUUCAUGCGGUACUGCACAGUCAGCAUGGCGCUGGCGGUCGGGACGGAAGUCUGCAGCCGCUCGAACAGCGUACGCGCCAGGCCCUGCGGUGGGCGACAUGCAGGUAGGUUGGACGGAUGGAGCAAACGCAAUGGUAGACAUGCUGAUAAUUGUGGAAACGGUUGCAGCAAUCACAUGCAGAGAAGAUGCAGCAGGAUGCAAAGUGGGCGACUCGGGGAAUUGUAGUCUAUAAAAGAGCAUCAUGGACAUGCUCAGUUCCUUUUUGUCGUCAUCGUCGCCCAACCAUGCGUUCAGCCACAUGCAUGCGUGCUAUGCAGACUCCACAAGACACCAUACACCCAUCAUCCACUCACCAGGCGUGCGGCCUCGUCGCUGACGACGGUGGGCGGCAGCUGCAGGUGGUCGCCGGCCAGAACUGCGCGGCGCGCCCGCAGCAGCGCGCCCCAGGUCGCGGCCUCAAGCGCCUGCGCCGCCUCGUCCACCACCGCCACGUCAAACAGCUCCUUGUCCAGCUGCCGGUGCGACACGCCCGUCAGCGUGCAGCACACCACCUGCGCGCCCUUGAUCACCUCGGCUACCGCCGCCUCCUGCCGCUGCCGCUCCUCCUUGCCCAGCCGCCGCAGGUCACCGCGCAGCUCGCGGCGCUCCGCGCGGUCACGCGGCCCCAGCUUGAGCAGCCGCGCAUUGAUGGACUUGAUCUCGGCUCGGCAGUCGCGGGCCAGGGCGCUGUUAUCGCUGCGCAGCACGUGCGCCUCCAGGCUGCUGUCCAGCACGGCAGGCAGCAGCCGGGCGGGGUGGCCCAUGCGCACCAGCUUGAGCUUGGGGUUGGCGCGCACCAGUCGCUCCACCAGGUUGUCGACCUGCGGGUGAAGAUGCAGCGAGCCCGGCAAACCAGCGUUCAGGUAUUAUGCCCACACGUGUGCACGAGCAGACAUGAUAUGCAAGCGCGGCAGGAUGGGCGGCCUGCGGGACAGCAGCAAGACCGGCACGAGGUAGCCGCGUGCGCGCACUCACCGCAAUGUUGGAUGCUGAUGCCGCGAGGACGCGGGAGCCGCGGGCCACCUCUUGAAGGAUAAUCUCGACCACCGCAGUUGUCUUGCCCGUGCCUGCGAAAACAUAAUAACAAAUGGUGUUGGUCACUCAGGCAAGCGUAGAAAAGUGUGGCUCCACCACGACACACGGCCGCAACAUGAGGAGCGGUUAUGUCUGGAGGGCAAGCGCUUGGUGGUGUUGCGGAACUUUCUUAAGCGGGCACAGACAGGGAAACUGUACACACUCCAUUACGGCCGCGUGUGCGCAAGCGCUGUGCUGAAACUGUACAUGCGGUUGUGGACGAGAUGUGGAUACUGAAUCCUAACGAGCGCAACACUGGCGCUGGUCACGCCCGCCUCAAACAGCGUACCCUGGUAUGCGCUGUGGCAGCCCUGUAGAGACCGGGCACCACUAGAGAGGUGCAGGGUCUGCUGAGAGCUGCGCGGCACUUCUGCCAUGGUGACAUCCCAUCCUCCAUGCUGUCAUCCCAACUUCCCAACUUCCAACGCCCUCAGCCUCAACGCCCUCAGCCUCAACAAGCCGGAACCCACCCAUGGUCGCGCGGGAAAGACCCACCUGGCGGGCCGUGCACCAGAGCAAGGUCCUUGGCAGACAGCGCCAACGUGACCGCCUGCCGCUGCGAAUCGUCCAGGCCGGUGUUGAGUGGCUUCCACUCGGGCGCCUCCGCGGCAAACUGCGGCUCGCGGCGGCCCCACACCACGUCCAACAGCGCGCCGCCCGGCAGCAGCCGCCCGUCGGGCGUGGCGGCGGUGCCGCUGCGCGCCUUGAGCAGCGAGUCCAGUGUGCCACGCAGCCGCUGGUACGUCACCUCGUUGGCCAGUUUCUCUAGCCGCAGCGGCUGGUCGAGGCCCUCUUCCGGCGCCUCGUCCACCGCGACGGUGAUGGAGUUCUCGCGGAUGCGGUAGAUGACGCCGCUGACGACCGCGGGCCCGUCAGCGGGGCCGCGGCUGGGGCGCAGCGCCACGACGUCGUGCGGGCCGAACUUGUGUGGUGGCAGCUCAGCGGCCGGGCCGCCCGCGCCGUAGCCCUUGUUUGACACCAGGGUGAGCAGCGUGCGGCCCAGCAGGCCGCCCUCCAUGUCGUCCACGCGCAGAUUCAGUAGCGUGCGGCCGCGGGCCUGAGGGCGGCGAUGGGACAGGGCGGGGCGGCGGAAGGAAAGGGUAAGAGACUGAGGGUGCAUACGGUAUUGCACGCGUCGGGAAUGCGUGGUAUGUGGCAUGCAACCCAGAGGCACCAAGGCGGAUUGCUUCCUUCAGUAUCACCGCCUGGGAUGAAGCAUGGUGGGGACUCUCAACACCCCACCUCACCUGUGCAGUUUCAGGGGAGCACAUUGAGGUCUCCUCCGUGGCCUGCGCCACUUCAGCUGCCCGCUCCAUCUCGAUCAGCUUGCGGCUAAGCUCGACGAAAGCCUCCACCGAGGUGGGGUCGCCGCCGCCACCAGCACCACCGCUAGGGCCCGCUCCCGAGCCCUUGCGGUCAUAGGAAGUGCUUGGCAGCCGGUCACGGGCGUCGAGGCCCAGGUGCUCCAGCAGCGCCGCCACGAUGUCGGCGUCGGACGUGGCAUUUGCCGGCACGCUGACCUGCGGAAAGGUUUGAGAGCAGAGGUCAGCAGGAUUGUGCCGAACGUAUGGGACACAUCAUUACAACUCGUGGAAGACCGGCCGGCCCAAGGCUGCGCACGCACCUUGCGAGCGCCUUGCAGCCCAACGACAAUUUGGCGGGCAGCUCCUUCGCCUUCGCUUGCAUGGUACAAGCCAGCCGCACCAGCAACUUCGUGAAUGAAAGCGCGUUGACGUGCACUCAGGGAGGACGGGAAGACGACCUGGCGGAGGUAAAAGCAGAACAAGUAGAUCUGUAAGCCACGAGUAUAAGCGUGUACAGCGAGCACAUAUGCAUUGCAGCUAAUUGAUAAUACAAUGCUGCAAACAAGCCGGCACAAGCGAAAGCGCAAGAGCUUACCAAUGCCGGCGCCGCCCCGUUCCCGGGCCCGGCGCCCGAAGCGGGCUUCUGCGGGAGCCGCAGGCCGACAUGUCGAAGUCAGCAGGACAGUCGCUCCACCAGAGGCAGCUCCUAGCCCUCCUGCCGCCCGCUACCUGCUGCCCAGACUUGGGUGCCAUGCCGGCGCGAGGGGCAAAGCCCGCUCCAGCUCAGUAAGACGAUAAAUGAGGCAUCAACAAUGAUACAAACUUUUGUAUGUACUUGCGCAGGUGAAGACUUAAUGUAGGGGCCUGCACUCCAAUGAAGUCCAGCACAUGUCGCCCCAUUCGGCAAACCGCAUGCAGGCAGGAGUGCAUGGAGGCACAUGCGCCCCGCAGCCUCCCUGCACCGCAACCCCACGCAUGCCCGUUGAAAGGAUCUGCACAUGGCCCCCGCAUCAUGUCUAAACACCUACCGCUACGCAGUACUCCGGCUUGCCCCUCCCCCCUCAGGGCGCUCCAUGCCGUGUGCCCCGGAAUGCGGUGUGGGGAUGGGGUGGGGUGGGAUGGACUGGCGGAUGGUGGAAGUAUCAUAUAGGUCUGCUGGGGGUUGCGAGCAGCCAUACUACCGGUCAUGAUAUUGCCUUCGGUAGCUCAGGGCGCCGCGGGCUGGGGGUGGGUAAGUGAGCGGGGAUGGGGGCUCGGACUCAGCGGGGGCACGGACUCAGGGCGUGGAAGCCAGCGAGAAGCGGGCGAGAGUAACGCCGAUGUGCCGGGUGAUGUGCGAGCAGAAUACAGAACGCGGCAUUCGUCAUUACGGGGAAACUAAAACAGAUAGCGCCAACCUUUUGCGCCUCGCGCUUUCACGCGCAAUUUCCGGGAUCCUCCAACGCGUCGAUUCCUCCGUCUUGCGUCCUUCCAUGCCGGGAGCCUUGAUUAUCGAUACAAUUUGUGAUAUAUUGUAUGUUGCGCUGGAGCUCUAAUGCAAACGCUGCGCUUGUGCGUUUACCCCGCUCUGGCAUAGGGCUUGCGUUUUCAUAAUGUUACGCUUUGCAAUACAUACAUAGACAGGCGCAUUAUUUGCACGACAAAUUUCGCUGCGCUCGGGUUUCAAGGUUAUAACUCAAGUCAAAACUGGAAUAACCGGGAGGGCCCCGCUGCGGGAACUCGAUGCGACCGCAAUGGCUAUUGCCCCUCCCCCUUCGGGGGAAGGGGCACAAGCCAACGAAGGUCUGAAUAUGUGCAGAAUUCGUUGGGCACAUGAUAGUGAAGUACCGCCGGGCGGGCCCGCAUGUGCGUGCGUGUGUGUAUGGGGGACUAGCGUGGGGGACUAGGUGCCAUUCCUGCGCGACACGUUAUGAGAACGCGCGGCAGGGGGGGGGUAGUUUCGACUGGGAAAGGCCCCAUGUUCUAAAACGAAAGAGCUUGACGAGAGGACUCCAAAUCCACUUUCAGAGUUUCAAUCAGGGUAGUAAUUGCAAAGUUAUGGGCCCGCAAAGUUCAGGGUCGGUCGUCGGGUUCGGGGGUCCCCAAGGUUUCGUCACGCGGAUGUGGGUGGGACUGCCAGAUUUCGUCUCCGCGCCCUAAACGCCCCUCUAAACGCUCCGCCCAUUAGCACAAGUACUAGCACACAUUAGCAUGCACAUACUAAAGCAUUUGCAGAACGUUUGGCCUCUGGAAAGCGGCCGCAUGUCCGUCCACAUAGGCAUGGUAGUAGCGUAGAGCCCCACUCGAGCGUCUCUCACUGGUGUCAUGGAGACUAUGCGAUCUGAUGCUAACGUGUAACGGCCAAGGCUUCGUGUGGGUCAUGGCGACAAGGCUGCCGCCGGCCAUCGAACGUGACAUGAAUCCCGGGAUUCUUCACAUGAUCCCGGGAGAAAGUCGACCAAUCUCUUCCGGCACACAAUCCCAAACAUCAUAUGUACAGCGCAAUUGUAAGCUUAAGCGCACGCCCCGGUAGUCUGACAGAAGGGUCGGUGGUCGGCCAUGGACACAUGGACAUGUGUGGCAUGGCUGCCAGUCAAGUUGUGCCUCCAGCUGAACCGGAGGUAUACAAAUGUAGAGCUCGCCGAGAGCAGUCGAUUGACACCGACCUGGCUAAAAACCAAAGGGUUUUGAGGGGGUUUUGAGGGGUUGCAUGGUGGUGGGGGUCGGUCGGUCGGUCCGGAGGGGGGGUCGGGAGGUUUUGGGACAUGGGGUCUGGAGGUUUAGUUCGUACCCCCCCCCCCUGAGAACGGCGCACGUCACAGCGAUGGAUUUGCCGUCAACUGCUGCUCCAGUCAAAAGGUUAGCAUGAAAAAGGAAAGAAGGCGGCGGCAUACACUGUAGAGUCAGCUUAGGCGCCGCACUGCCACUCGCGCGCAAAGGGGGUGGCACACUGGCACGCAGCGAAAGGCCGCAUGCAAAUGCACCAGGUGCUGUUUCAAGAACCACCGCGGUUAAAGGGCUGACAGCCACCGGACAAGGCAUCGUCAGUCCCGCGCAAAGUACACUGAAGCACUGGCCUCGUCUGGCGCUUCGUGGCCUGGGUGAGCUGCACGACAGCUGUGUGCCAGGCCGGGCACUCGCGCGCCGCCCUAUCCGUGCCGCCGCAGGACAACCGGAGCCCGCAAGGCCCCUCCACCGAGCGCAGAUUCAUCCCCAUGGCGUCCAUCAUCUCAGGCAGGCGGCGCAUAGGAAGCAGGAGCCCAGAGGCGGCGCCAGGGUCCCCCCGUGAGCGGUGCCCAGCCAGGCUUGCGGGUGUGCAUUGUGGCAUGAACCGGAGACAACAGACGUCGUCAGGUGAGCUGGUAGCAGGGGUCGUAUCUUGUUUUCGGGGUGAUGUCUAGCUCCAGACAAAAACGGCCGGGUAGCCGCCAUCUUUUGUCUGGGCACAUGGCGGUUUGGGGGCUUCUCCAUAGGAAUUCGGACAAAACCGGCCCCAAACGGGCCAACAAAGUCUCGCCCCAGACAUUAGCCCCUGGAAGGAAUGUCUAGGAAACGGCUAAAAUGGCCGAUUAAUGUCUGGAGACAUUAAGAUAGGAGCCCUGGCUGGUAGAGCCCUGCAGCCUAGCGGCCGCAAGGGUUGCAAAUGAGGGCUAUAGACAGCCUGGCUGACGUACGCACCUCACGCCCUCACCCCUCCAGGCGGCCCUCUCUGGCUCACCCCACCUCACCUCAGCCGCGGACCCCGCGCAUGACAGGCCGUGGCCCUAAGGCCGGCUGCUCCCGACAGGUGCUUGGAGGCCCUGGUUUGCAGUGGAAGCUCUGCGCCGUGCCUGCCCUACUCGCUGUACCAGGCCACACUAGCUGGGAGGCAGGUACCCGGAACGCUAGCGCCAGCACACCACUCGGCCUCCCACAAGCUCGUACCCGCGUUGGGCUUCUGUCGUAUGGGCACGGGCGUGCCGUUGUCGUGCCGGGCGCCCGAAGCAGUGGAGCGGGACUCUAGCGCUCGCUCAGCAAGGCCUGUCGAGCCUUGCUGGUACCGUCGUUUCCAACAGCGUUGGUGUGGAGAUAGGUUAGGGCCUAGCCUCCGGAGCGAAGCGACCUUAGGGGGGCUGUCACGACGAUGACCCGCUGCCGGUGCCUCCGCAGCGCGUGGAGUAUCCAGGCAAGGGCUGGCCUCGCUACGCAGCCGCGCCACGGCCGCCACAGCCGCCGGUUGUAGCGGUCACCACGCUGGCGCAGGCGGGCAUACAUGCGUGCGCUAUUGCCGCCCUGCGCCACCGUCUUUUGCCCUGCGGCCCCCAGCCCAGCGCUUCCGCCCGCAGCCAGCCAGCCUUGGGCAGCCUCGUCCCGGAUGCAGUUUGCGUGCCUAUAUGCCACUCUGCUGCCCAGCUCUCGCACUCAGGUGCCGGAGCCUGGCGAGCUGCUGCUUGACGAGGACGUUGUGCAGCCCCUGCGCACGGCUGCUCUUUCGUUACUUGAUCUGGCGAGCAAGGGAGCCGCGUAACACACUCUGCUGCGGGCGGGCAGCUCUGUCCUCGCGUCGCCUAAAGCGCUGUCCAAGACAUGCAGUGUGAGAAGCGACGCCUGGGCCUGGACCGUAGAGUGACGUUGCUAUGCGCUCGUCAGCGCCUAGACUUGGCUUGCCCUCCGAUGACGCCCACCGAACUACAGAGAGAGAGAAUGCUUCCUGGAACCCAGUGAAUGGUCACUCCACCAGAGUUCGUUACAGCAUGUAGUCUGUUCUGUGUUGGUUCAGUACGAGUACGGGAGCAACGAAAGAGCAGCGCCGGACAAGGCCGGCGCGGCGCCCUUGUAGGCCGGGCAACAGCCUCAUCGCACGGCAUGACACGAUCUAACCGUGACACCAUCCCCUCAACCCGGUCGAAUGGGCCGGGGCUAAAUCCUGCUCUGCCGGUGAAAUGCACUGCCCGCAGAAUGGCGUCAGGGCGACACUGCUGCCCGUGCGUCCGUCCUUACUGCGUCCCCGACUGCGCGCGUUUCGGUUUGACAUGCGACUGUUUGUGCCCUGUCUCUGCAUCGUGCCACCACUGAGGUCUGGAACUGGAGGUGCUGGGCAUGCUGAUGGGCCCGAGGCGCACCUUCCGCGUGACUUCAUGCUGCACUGCACCGCCCUGUCCCUCCUCAUACGGCCACGCGUGGUGCGCAGCACGCGGCCGUUGAUGGUGUGUUGCGCAUCACACACGCUGUAUAAUCGGUGAAGCUAGCUGGCUGGCUUAUGAAUGACCUAUAGGUGUUGUAAUGUACGCAUUUAGCAGGCUUGGAAGGAAUGGCAGCCUGAGGCCUCUAACGAUGACUCAUAGAGUCAUACUAGAAUUGACGGGCGUAGGGUGCUGUGGCCUGGCCUGGCCCAGCCUGGGCUUGGGCCGGGCGUCCGGAGCUGAAGAAGCGCGGCUACGUAUGUCUCUCGGCAGUGCUGGACGUAUGUUCGGGCUGAGCCCUCCGGAGUGAAGCGAUCCCCGGGGGCUACUCGACUGGCUGCCCAUGUGAGCGUGCGUGCCUGGCUGCGUGCGUUGAUAUGCGAUCGAGCCCUAUCUCUUUGACUCUUCACGGCUCAGAUCUGGGACUGAAGGUACUGGGUUUGUAAUGAGGCACAUCUUGUGCGGGAUUUGCGCUGCAUUGCACCUACGUGCCAGACCCUGCCAGACCCGAGCCCGCGGCCCCUGCAUGGUGUUUUGUGCCAUGCAUCAAACACAUGGGAAGCGGCUACGUAAGCCAGCGGGCUUGUGCAAUUUGCGAGUACCUAGCAUAGUUUGGAAGGACGACCGCCUUGCGCCACCAGCGGCUGAUUUCACUAGAAUUGACCGGUUGACUCUCGCUGUGGCUUUUGCUACCACCUACUGUCGUCCAAGCCUUUCCUUUUUGUACUGUUGCUCUGAAAAGUUCGUAGAGCUCGAUAAGCGAUAGGCGAAACCUCGAAGCCGAUUGAGAUCGUCGCGCGGCACCACCAGUUUUCGCGCUGGCGUCUUGAUACGGAGGAACUGCAAUCAUGGCGGCUGCAGACGUGAAGGUCAAUGCGGAGGUCCGCGACCUGACGCGCAUUGAGCGUAUCGGCGCUCACUCCCAUAUUCGUGGACUCGGUCUUGAUGAUGCCCUUGAGGCGCGUGCCGUGUCUCAGGGCAUGGUGGGCCAGGCGAAGGCUCGGAAGGUAUGCAGUCGUGUGCAUCGUGUGCAGCCGCGUCCAGGUCCUGACUGAGGGCGACGCUUAUGUAGGCCGCGGGCAUCAUCCUGCAAAUGAUCAAGGAGGGCAAGAUUGCCGGUCGUGCCAUGUUGCUGGCGGGGCAACCCGGCACGGGCAAGACAGCCAUCGCCAUGGGCAUGGCCAAGGCGCUGGGGGAGGAGACUCCCUUCGCCAUGAUGACUGGCUCGGAAAUUUUCUCGCUGGAGAUGUCGAAAACGGAGGCGCUGACGCAGGUGGGGAAGGGGUGGUCUCUGGGAGGUGGGAUAUGGCCGUGAGUAGCGGCUGGGGCGGCACGCAGCACUACGUGCAGGCUGCAGACGGCGGGAGGCCAACCGGGUGGUGGCAGCUGUCUAUUACACCGGGCUUUUGACACGAUUGGGUGUACGAGGGGUGUGCGUGAUGUGUUUGUGACCGCAUGCUGCCACAGGCCUUCCGUAAGGCCAUUGGCGUGCGCAUCAAGGAGGAAACGGAGAUCAUCGAGGGCGAGGUGGUGGAGAUUGAAAUUGACCGGCCAGAGAGCGGCGGCGUUGCCAAGACGGUAAGGGGUGCGAGGAGGAAGUAGGGUCCAGGCAUACUGGGGCUAUGGGCAUGAUGCUGGGAAGGCACACGAGUUGGGGGCCUUGGCUGGCUCACCUCUUCGGCAGGGGGCGGCAUGCACGGCCUCCUGGGACUGCGUCGGGGAUGCGGCGGCCUGGGCGCUAAACUGUCCCUUCUGUCGGGGAGGGCAGGGUUUUAACUAUUCCCAGUAAGCAACAAGAGACAUGAGAACGCAGAACAGGACAAGCUGAACCAUAAAUGCUGGUUUUGGGGGGCAGGGACCCGCGCACGGCCGCUAUGUGUAUUGGGAAGGGGCCAGCGUUUUUGCGGUGUUGGGGUCCGGGGCCUAAACGCCAGGGGGCAGCAUCAGCGACCUGACGGCCCCCUAGCAUAGUCAACACUGAGUCCUUGACUGCAGCUUAGUAGCUGUUAACCGCAUGCCGCUUGGGGUCUGCAGGGCCGCCUCACGUUGAAAACGACUGAGAUGGAGACCAUCUACGACCUGGGGCAAAAGAUGAUCGAAUCGCUUACGAAGGAGAAGGUCACGUCCGGAGACGUGAUCACCAUUGAUAAGGCGUCAGGUGCGCGCAACUGCACGCUGGAGACUGUGGGACACACGUGCCUGCGGUUGCACCCGCUUGUUGGCGUGCUACCCAUGCUGCACCCAACACUGCCACGCCGUGAAUCGCUAUCUGCAUGACAGGUCGCAUCACCAAGCUGGGCCGCUCCUUCGCGCGGUCACGGGACUAUGACGCCAUGGGUGAGCGCCGCGCCACCGCGUGCUGUGGGGCCCGUCAGCGGCUUGUGCUACACGGCGGGGUGCCGUGUCGGUGUCCUUGCUAGCAACACCCAGUUGGGGCCUUGGGCACUUGGGUUUGGACAGCGGCGUUGAGCGCCUGUGCAUGUGGGCUGCUGCUGCAGGCGCGUCCACCAAGUUCGUGCAGUGCCCGGAGGGCGAGCUGCAGAAGCGCAAGGAGGUGGUGCACGUGGUCACGCUGCACGAGAUUGACGUCAUUAACAGCAGGACGCAGGUGUGUUGUGGGUGGGCGGCUCGGUGGGGCGGCAUCCUGGCACUCACGUUAACGCACCUGGCCGGAGCCGCAUCUCUAGCCGCCAUGCCAGCUUCCGAGCUCUCGCGUGCACGAUCUUGCCACCUAUCCCAGCCGUUCUGAGCUUUGGCCCCCGGCCUGCGGCAGCACCGCUGUCGUUGGCCCUGCUGCGGCCGUGAUGAUGCUCCUGGCUGGUCCUUUUGCUGCUGCUGACGGCGCGGUGCAACUGUCCUAGUUGCCGCUCACGCUGUGGCCUGGCGUGCGCCUCCCGCGCUGCAGGGCUUCCUGGCGCUGUUCUCGGGCGACACGGGCGAGAUCCGCUCCGAGGUGCGCGAGCAGAUCGACGCGAAGGUGGCGGAGUGGCGCGAGGAGGGCAAGGCGGAGAUCGUGCCGGGCGUUCUUUUCAUCGACGAGGUGCACAUGCUGGACAUCGAGUGCUUCUCGUUCCUCAACAGGUGCGCGGCAGGGGCAGUGCGGGAAUGGAGGGAGGGAGCGGUUGCCGGGGCGCGAGGGGUGGGAUGGCCAUUCGAUGACGGGGCUGAGGAGGGUUUGAAGGGUAUCUGCGGGAGCCAACACCUGUUGGAGCAUCUGCCACAGGCCCACAGCGCAGCAGGGUUGGGCAGUGACGGGCGACAGGUCAUACGACACCACACAGGCAGAUCGGCCAGAGUGCAGCAUGCUACACGACUGAAACGGGCACAGCACAGUGCAUCGGCUCCUCAGCACUCGCCCGGCACUUGCCGCUGCUGGUCUGCCGCACCGCUGCUCUUACCACACUUGCGCACAUGGCACCUCCGCCGCCUCGGACCUUGCGUCUUGGACCUUUUGGCUAUGUUUCUGUUCCACUCUUCGUGUUGCUGCAGGGCGCUGGAGAAUGAUAUGGCGCCCAUCCUGGUGACCGCCACCAACCGCGGCAUCACGCGCAUCCGCGGCACGCAGUACCGCUCGCCGCACGGUGUGCCCAUUGACCUGCUGGACCGGCUGCUCAUCAUUUCCACUGAGCCCUACAGCGAGAAGGAGAUCCGCCUCAUCCUGGACAUCAGGUGCGCCCGCAGCCCGCGCGCCGGCUGCCUGAAAUGCGUGCUGCUUCCGCUGCUUGGAGAAUGAUCAGCGUGGCUUUGGCACUGCGUUGCAAAGUCUAUGCUUAUGGGGCGUUCUCCCACGGACGCGGUGUAUCCAGCUCUACGGGCACCAACAUGGCCUGCCAACCUCUGCUCAACGGCACCCUGACCAGACAACACUCACUCCCGCCCUGCUCCGCCCCGGCUGCCGCCUGGCUGCGUUGGCCCCCUGCAGGUGCGAGGAGGAGGACGUGGAGAUGAGCGAGGACGCCAAGGAGCUGCUGACCAAGAUCGGCUUCGAGACCAGCCUGCGCUACUCCAUCCAACUCAUUACGGCGGCGGCCAUCGUGUGCCAGCGGCGCAAGGGCACAGAGGUGGACAUCGAGGACAUCAGCAAGGUGUACAGCAUGUUCGUGGACGUGAAGCGCAGCACGCAGUUCUUGAUAGAGUACCAGGAGCAAUACAUGUUCAACGAGGUGCCAGUGGAGGCGGAGGAGAUGGAGACCUCCACGUGAGGGGGCCUUGCUGCUGGCGCGGAAGCGGGCGUGUGGGCAUGUGCAGAUCACCGGUGUAGGUUUGGGACAGACGGGAGGCAAUGGCAGCUCGUGGGUAGAGCGAAAUGAAGGCUAGGUUGUAUGGGGUUGCAGCGAUGCGGUGUGGUGUACAGGGAUGAGCAAUGGAGCCAGGCGGAGGGUCUGAAGGGCAUGCGAUCUGAGCGGUGCCGUAUCCUAUUCAGAACAUGACCAGCGGCAAGCGGGGCUCUAGGAGAGGAAUCUGGGUUGACGAGCAGUCGCGAAGGAGCGUGCGGAUCAGGGGUGGGGACCCUCUUGGUCGGUGUUGCCCCGUCAUUGGAUUGUCGUACCCGUAUCAGCGACGUGCACAGCGUGUGGGUGCACAAGUGUGUGGGCGGCUGGUUGCACAAGCGGAUGGCGCGGGCAGACCCAUGCGUGGGCUUGUGGGCAGGUUGCACUGGUGGUUGCAGGUAGCUUAAUGCAUGCCACCGGAGCGUCAAGUGCCGCCCCGUUUAAGGAUAUGGAAUGCCGUUACGGAAUUGCAAUAGGGCGUCAAGGGAGGCACGGACCAACACGUGCAGUAACGUGUUUGGUGCGUCCAGGGAGGGAGGCCCCUGCAGCCAGGCUCCAGAGUCCGAGGGUUGUCUUCCCUGCGUCCAGGUGUGUCGGGACUCAAGCCGUCGGCACACCGCCAUGGGCUGAGUGCAACCAGGGGAGCCGCCCUAAAUGCCUCCCUAAAUGCAACCGGGCCAGCUGGCUCGAAGGAAAUAUGGAGACUGGGGAGCCAGGGGGUGGGCCUGUGGGGGGCGGACCAGGCGUAUGGUGAUGUGCCUAGCCAUAUGUGAGACAGACAUAUUACAUCUUGGCUGUGUGAAGAUGAGCGCUUGGGACACAUGCUUUCCAGAUCCAGCCGCGCCGGGUGACAGGCAUUGAGGCAUUGCAAUGAUGCAGCUCAAAAGUAUUUUUACAAAUCAAAGUAUUUUAUCUUUUCUUCGCCAGGCGAAUUGCCCAUAAUUCCCUGUCAAGGCCUGCGAGCAGCACCGCAGGCAGAACUGUGGGCUUAAGGCACAAUAUUUAGCCCUGAAUAUGGAUUUAGGCGUGGGAACGAGCAGUGGCGGCUUACAGGUAGACUUUGCACACGCGACUUCGCUAGCUGUCGCGGUCUUGUCCUAACAGCCACGUUCGCUUGGCGCAAUUAGGAAGACGACGUGGCGCUCGCUAAGCUUCUCCAAGAACAAGAGCGCGCGCUUUACAUUCUGGGUCGAGGCGGAAGGUAGGACAUUCGAUGCUAUCGACUGCAAACUCCUUCACUGACUCCAGGACAUAACGGAACAAAUUGCCGGGUUAUGUCGUUAUAUACCUUCGUCAAUUAAUUGUCAGCGCCUACACUCGCCACGGUUGCCUACACCUCCAUACCGUGGGUACGCCCAUACACAGCGCCCACACAUCGCCGCAAGCACCCACAGGACCAUCGCCCAUAGCUGCCGAUGCCCCUCGUAUGAGCGAAACCACGCAACUUAAGACGGGAGCUGGCUGCCACACGCUCCUGCAAGGUUCCUACUGAAUCCGGGCGCUCCAGCCGAAGCAUGCGUAAUAAGUAGCCGCGCGCGUUUGGGGUUGCAGGGAGGAAACAGCACACGAGGAUCUGACCGAUGAAGAGCUCGCGCGGCGGCUGCAGGAAGAGGCAAGUCUUGGGGUUACCGGGAGUAAAUGUGCUUAGCUCGAUACCUUGGGCUUCCGUUUGUACCUGCAACCAGGGUGCAUCGACACAGCAGUACGGUGGGUUAGGGCUUCCUAUGGUCGGCAUCACGGUCAGGAUGCCGGGAAGCAUCAGUUGACCUCAGUCCCACCGCUGGCGGGCCCUGCCUGUGCAUGAUGUGGACACACGUACAGGAGGACCAGGCCACCUACCAAGCCAUGGCUGGCUAUGGGAGCUACGGUGAGGCGUGUGUGGUGUGCAGACACAGACUGGUUUGCUGCGACAACAUUCUCCGUGUUUUAGGUGAAGCCUGCACCCGUGUGGUGCAUGUGAUCAUGCCACGUAGCCCCGAGCAAUGCGCGCCUGUGUACGGGUUCGCCAGGUCAUUCAGACUCAGGCGAUAUGUGGCACAAAAUGGCAGGCCUGGACGAGGUCCUGCACGAGGGCGAAGGCACAGGCACGGGCUCUGAGCCGGAGCAGAGCGCCAUGGAGCUAACCUAUGGUGCGUGCGUGGCCAGUUCCCCAGCUCUUCGCUUGUCAGUUGUGCAGCUCCAACUGUGUUACUUGUACACUGUCCACAUGCUCUGUGCCACCAUGUGGCGCCGUUUGCAUUUAGCUUCUUAGGGCAUCGCCAAUCAUGUCACUACCACCCUCUUGCCAUUCUACUCACGUAUGCAGAGGACAUGCUGGCCCUUGGAGACCUGGCUGGCAAGGUGGGCGAGGGGUGCAUUGCAACUCGCGCUGACAAUUGCCACACGUGGGGCAUAACUGCAAGGCCUGAUCAGGGCAUGGGUGGGCGGCUGGGAGCUCCAUGAACUUGUUCCUGUUGCUGGCAGGUCAGCAAGGGCCUGCCGCCAGAGGUGCUAGCGCGCCUGCAAGUGGAGGCCGUGGGCAACCUGCGCAGCAGCGCAGGCGCCAUCAUUCUGGACAGGUGUGGCGGGGCACAAGCACGUGGAAUGCGUGGGCAGAGGCAAUGGUCGGUUUGCUGGGAGGUGGGGGCGGGACUGCUUGCAUACGUACACGCUGGACACUGUAAGUGAUUGCUUUGUUGGGCUGCCGGCUGUCUAUUUCAUCCGCAGGUGCUGCAUCUGCCAGGUGGAGUUUGAGGACAGUGACCCUGCCACGACCCUGCCCUGCCGGCAUUGCUACCACAGCGAGUGCGUGCGCCAGUGGCUGCAACAGAGUAAGGCGUGCCCGGUGUGCGGCAAGGAGGUCGAGUGAGUGUUAGGAAGCCGGCGGUCCCACUCUUGGGGCCCUGCAGCUGGCCAUAGUCCACAGCGACAAGGCGAGGAAUUGCGCCGGCAAUGGAGUACGGUAUCGGUAUGCGGAUGCGACUCCUCAUAUGCAUGUCAUGUAGCCUGGUGUUGGUGAGGCAGUGAGGCCAGCCUCAAGGGCUGUGCGGUUUGGGCAUCCCACAUGGAUAGCUGCGCUGAGCGGCCUAAAGAUGCGUGGUGGUGGGGUGACCGCGGCGGCCAGGGUUAUGGUCCACGGUGCGGCGGGUAUGCCGCGAAGGGCCGAGAGAACCCGGACUAACCAUGGCGGCGUCUCCUCCGCGCUGUGUGAGCUUGCUGGUCGGGUUCGAGGCCUUAAUUGGCUGACGUCUAAAAUACCAUCCCCACUUCGGCCGCACGCGUCCUGCACGCGCAUGGUCGGCUGGUGCGACGGCGGAGUGGGCGGGCAACUGCGGUCAGUCGAACAACGCGCGAACAACUCAAAGUUCGACAGCCAAACCCUAGGGCCCAAGAGUAACGCACUAAUGCACACUUGGCAUAAAGCAUAGGCGCUGAAACAUGGUUCACACUUAAAUACUUAACUUAGCACUUUCCAACGGGGGCGCGAAACCCUAGCGGGUUGUGUCAGGUUGAGUCGUGAUUCAACCCGCGCAUUAUCUAAGUCAACCAGGACGUGCUAAGCGUUCUGCGUUAAGGGAUGCAUAUGCUGUCUUACUGUGCGCGCGCGCGGGACGAGACGCAUAAUCGCAUUCCUCCAGUACGUACCAUUCGUUUCAGUGAAACCGCACGUAAUACUUGUGCACCCACGCCUUGCGCAAACACACAACCGCAAGCGAGAUACGUACGCGUGCACUCAUCAAAAUGGUGGCGGACAACGAUCACGUCGAGCCGGCUGAGUGCUCGACAGCAGCAGGUUGGAAGUCCCGAAUGGCUGCACCCUUCCACACCGACCGGUCCGUGAAGGAGUUCUUGGUCGGGACCUAUGACAUGAAGUACCUGUGCAUGGUAAGAUGUGCGCUUCGCAUUGUGCGGCCCAAGAGCAAAGAAGCGCUGACAUGCAUUCACUUUUCGCGCGCGGUUUCGUCGCGCAGCCGUCGUUCCCAUAUUUCAAGAAGUCCUCAGGCGUUGCACCACCGAGGUUUUUCGGCAAGGACGAUUUCCUAGGUCAGUCUUGCAUCUUGGGAGUCCUUCGGUGUUCGCCCUACCUCAAGUGCUGAAUGUCCCGCGCACGUGCGCUGCGUGCCUGGCUCAUUCACGUUGUCGUAUCUUCACGCACUCAUUAUGCAUGUGCUCGUUUGCCUGCCAACUCGGGUGCUAGAACCCUAGCGCGCGCUUCGAUUUCCGUGCGUUUGUCAGCAGCGCGAGUUUCCCAUGUUGCGAGUUGCCAAGUUUCUCCCCACACGCGCACAGGCCUCAUUGUGGCCCUGGUCAUGGGCCUGCAGCACGCGCUGGCCAUGGUGGGAGGCCUCAUCACGCCGCCGCUGCUCAUCUCCAACCUUGGCUUUGGCACACGCCCCGGCACCAGCCCACCCGUGCCCUACUCGUCCGGCAACCCUGCCGAGACCCAGCGCUGUGAGUGUGAUUGUUUGAGAGGCCUGCUGCUGACAUUUGCAUUGCGGGCCUGUGCAUGCUGAAGUUUGCAUUGCGGGUAGCGAGCAUAGCGGUCCGGGCUUUACCGCGCUUUUACUGUAACCAUUAGAGCUCCUCAUGCUACCUGUACACGCACAUACAGACCUCGUCCAGGCGUCGCUCAUUGUCACGGGCAUCAUGACCUUUUUCCAAGUGCUUGGCGUGCGCAUCUGGAAAACCGACUUCCAGUUCGGGGCCGGCAUCCUGUCCUGCAUGGGCGUGUCCUUCACCACCGUGCCCAUCGCCACCUCCGUCAUUGGACAGCUCAUGAAGGAGAAGGGCCACACCUUUGAGGAGGCGUACGGCAUGUUCCUCGGCACCAUCGUUAUGUGCGCUAUCAUCCCCGUCAUCCUGUCCUUCUUCCCCAUCCGCAUCAUCAAGAAAAUCUUCCCGCCCAUCGUGUGCGGCAUCACCAUCAUGAUGAUUGGCGUGCACCUGAUCGGCGCUGGCUUCAAGAACUGGGGCGGUGGCGCUUUCUGCGCCGACAACUGGCAGCACCCGCCCGCCCCCACGACCUGCUUCCUGCCCGCCAAGUACCCCAACGGCACCAGUUACUUGCAGCAAUCGACUGUGUGCUGGGUGGGACCCGGCAUCAAGUGCGGCGACGCCACCAAGACCGAGGUGUUCCUCCCCUUCGGCUCUCAGGAGUACCUCGGCCUGGGCUUCCUGGUGUUCGUGUGAGUGGAGUGGGCUCAUGGGCUGGCCCGGCGGGUGCAGUCAGGGCGGCACGCACGGCACGGGAGGUAGAAGCAAGGGCGUUGGACAGACCGGGUUCAGACUUCAAACUCCUGCCCCUCACGCGCCUUGCAUGCUCACCGGCACCGUCUUCAUUUGCGUGACCCGCCACCUACCGCAUUCACAGCACCAUCAUCUUCUUGGAGAUCUUCGGCAGCCCCUUCAUGCGCAACGCCUCUGUCAUUCUGGCGCUGCUGUUCGGCUACCUCAUCGCCGCUGUCACCACCUACCAGGGCAAGAAGUACGUGAUCACCACCAAAAUUGACCAGGCGCCCGGCAUCACCUUCCUGUGGACCACCACCUUCCCGCUAGGUGCGUGAACGUGAUACGGUAUGCGGAGUAGGUGACUUGCGGUGGUGACUUUAAGCGGGGUUGAUGGAUGUGCGGGAUGGAAAUGAUUGAUGUCGCGUGGGAUAGACAAGGAGCAUGGUGUGGCACGGUUGGAAGUGUUGGGAUUGGUGGGAUGGGUCGCAAGCGGCGGCGUGCCCUGACCACCCCGCAUGCCCUGCGUGCUUGCCCCCGGCAUCACAGGUUUCUAUUCACCUGCCAUUAUUCCGCUCAUGAUUGUGUUCAUUAUCACUUCCAUUGAGACCGUGGGCGACACUGCCGCAACGAUGGAAGCCUCUCGCAUGCUUGUCAACACCGAGGACGGCACGCGGCGCAUUAAGGGCGCGCUCCUGAACGACGGCAUCAGCGGCAUCUUCUCCGCCCUGGCCACCUCGCUGCCCCUGACCACGUUCGCUCAGAACAACGGCGUCAUUUCUCUGACCAAUGUGGCCGCUCGUCAGGCCGGCUUUGCUGCUGCGUUCUGGCUGUUCCUGCUGGGUGUCCUGGGUGAGUGACGGGGCCGGGCCUGCAUGGCUAGCUUUGGGACACGCGCGCAAGAAAGAGGGCCGCGCAUCGUUCUUUUGCAUCUGCGUGUCACCCAAAGUUUGUGGUCUUGUCUUACGAAAGCCACGCCGCUUCUGGCCCCGCAGGCAAGGUGGGCGCCUGGAUCACCACCAUCCCGGAGUGUGUGCUGGGCGGCAUGACCACUUGUGAGCGGGGCGGGACAGGGGCAUUUGCACAGGACCCAGCGGCUGCAGGGAGGGGCGGCUGCUGACAGCGUGAGUGGGUUUGGACUUUCGAAACGGAGCGUGCCAAAGCCCAGAGCAGCCUGAUAUUGUAUGUGUCUAAACCUCAUGUACCAUUUGCCCCGAUGCCCCGUACCCGCAGUCCUGUUCGCCAACGUCAUUGCCUCGGGCAUUAAGAUUAUCAUCAACGGUGAUCCCCUCACGCGCCGCUCGCGCUUCAUCCUGGCGUGCUCAUUGGCGCUGGCGUUUGGCGUGGAGCUGGUCCCGCAGUGGGCCACGCUCAACCUGUGGCCCGUCACGCCCGGCAUGUCGCCCGGCCUGCGCGGCCUGCGUGACGCCAUCAUCCUGGUCAUCUCCACCUCCUUCACCCUGGGCGCGGUGGUGGCGCUCAUCCUCAACCUCAUCAUCCCAAAGGACACGUCCACCGCCACAUGCACCAACAACAGCCUGCAUGUCCCCGAGCUGGAGGGCAAAAUGAUGGCUGCUGACAGUAAGUACCGCAACCAUCACAGCAGACGCGCCGCGCUCGGGUUCUUGCUGCGCCACGAGCGCCCGUGUGUAUACUUAUCUCACCCUCAACAGCGCACAGACGGACAUGCAGAAGGAGCGCCGCGCAGCAGGGUAUGCGUGUGCAUUUUGCGCUUGCACUCCGUACAGCAACAUUGAAGUCACGCCACGAGCUUGCUUCACCGCUCGUUAUGCAUGUGUGCACCACCUGUCUACAGAGAGCGGCAAGGACUCAUCAACCUCCUCCAAAGAUGAGCUGUCGUCAAACGAGGAUGCAGGGCACGGCAUGGUGCCUCCACGUCAGGAAACAGUGGCGAUGGUUGCAGCCGACGCAAGCUGCAAGGUAUGAAGCCACCAGAAAUGCGCAUGGAAAGCGGAGCGACGGAGCAUGUCGACAGUUUGACAUGCCAAUGCACUGAAAGGAAUUCGUGACUCUUGUUUGUAAUUGACUAAGAAAGAUGCAUGUGCAGUAUGGCAGCGUGAUUAGCUGUACAAUAUGAUGAGUCAUGCCAUCCAUGUCCCUCAAGGACGGCUUACCAUUGAACGCCCGCCGUCAGCAGAAGCGGCGAUGGAAGUGGCAAGCUUUCCCUCAAAUUCAACGUCUGGCGCACCGCAGACGGGUGGAAGAGUAGGGUGGUCGUUGUUUGUGGGGUCUGCGGGCGCCAUGCCAUGCGCGCAUGCACCCACCAUGCGGCAUGCAAGUUGCAUUCCCGUUAAUUUGGUCAGGUAACGUGUAGGGGGGGGGGGGGGGGUGGAUUAACUUUGGGGGUUCUGCCAGGCGGCUUUCCCCUCUGCAAGCUUUCCCAGCCGCAGGAUGCAACGAGUUUUAUAUGUCAACUUGUAUUGUUUGUAUUCUUGUGUAUAAUAUGCUACCCCUCUAUUUGCUUCGCGAUGUUGGAUGCUCGAUGCGGCUUGAUGCAUGCAAAGAUGCAAUCUGCUCUGGAUGAGAACGUACGGUAUGUGUUGCGGCUAGCCUAGGCGUAAGCAGCUGCGGAAUCAAAGGGUUGGGUGGCACGGUUGUAAGCCUAUUCCGUACAGUGUGUGUGGGUUUGUACCGUAUGGAUGUCGGGCGGCAUGAGGCAGGUGCUGUGCAUUUCCCCUUCCGUCUCCUUUGUGACCACUGUCUCAGAAAGAGUGUCAGCCACUACCGUACUUGGAGAGCGUGUUCGUGAGCCGUGCUGUGCGGGCAGUGCUGUUGCGCAAACACUGGUGCGGUAAACCCAGACACCUGCCUAUAUGCAUGCCGUCACACGUCCGCCUACUGCGUGGGACGCACUGCUCGCCGCCCUUUGAGACGCCGGCGCGUGACCAGUGCCAAGAGCCCGCGCGCGCACCCUGUGCAGUGGUGCAGGCCCCUACUUCUGGAUGUGGCGCACUGGUGGCACUCGUAUGUGGUUAUGCCCGAGCGGCGGCGCCAGGGUGGCUGAAGAGUGAAGCUGUGAAGGAGACCAGCCCCGACCGUGUGUGCGCUGCUGGCUGGGCUGGCUGCUGACAUGCUUUGGACAGGAUAUUGCGGUCCGUACGCAACACAGCGUUGCCACUUGCAUCCCCAGCGGCGCCAGCAAUGACACGCGCUGAACACGCGGUUGGGAGGACCACAUAAAGCAGCCCCAACAUCGCAUGCCGGAGACGAUGUGGCCGCAUGAGCAUGGUGCAGCAGCACGGAUUACAGCCUGACAGACGUACUCCUGAAUCCACCGCUGCAACAAUCCAAGAUGCACAGGGAGCCGAGUUCUGAUGCCACCGCCUCCAGCGCGUGUGUCAUCACAGCAUCCUCCCACGGCCCACCGAGUCCUGUUACGGACUAUGCACCUCUGGUUGGUAAACCGCGCACGCCAGCAGCAUCCCUUCCUUACCUAGCUAGCCACUCGCCACCCCCGUUUGCUCUGGUAUCUACACCCCCCGCCCCCCGCAUUCAAUCAUGUCGCCAUGCCGCCUCUACAGCUACCUGUAUGCCGCCUUCUCUGCAUCCGACAGCGCGCCCCACGCCGCCCCGAGCAGCUUGGAAAUCUCGCCAAGGCUGGAGUCGGGGUUGGUGGCUUGCAGCAUAGGGCGCUGCUCGCGGCAGAACGCCAUGUAUGGGUUCGGCCUGGCUCUGCUGGUGGCCGUGGCCGCGGCCGCAGCUGACUUCGUAGCUGCCGUCCGCCCUGCAGCAACAGCCGGAGCCCGCUUGCUACUGGUUCGAUUCCCUCCUCGCCCACUGCCCUUGGCCGCGGUCUCGGCGCUUGGAGAAGCCGGUGUGGCCCGCUUUGGCGCUGACAUGCCUGAAGGCACCGCCGCCCCCUUGUCACCUGCUGCCGAUGCUGCUGGGCCCGCUUCCAACUUUGCCGCCGCUGCUUGCACGUAGCGCUCCUGCGCCUCCGGCCCCAGGGCCCGCCACUCCGCCGCAAUGCCCUUGACCGCCUCUCGGUACACCGCGUCCGGGUCUGCGGCCUUGAGCUCGGCCCAGCGCUGCCGCAUGAAUGCCGUGUAGCCGCCGGAGCGGGCGGCACCCGCAGCUACUGACGAGGACUGCUUGCGGAUGAGUGGAAGGAACAGCAACCGGAACAGAAACGAUGUCAGUGUUGAGUUUGGGCUGGUGUAAACAGCAGGGAAUGGACUUCCUACCCGCGGCCCUGGCCCCAGGUACAGAAAACUCAGUCGCGGUUUCACUUCCAACCACAAGCUGCAGCAUGGCCCAAGCCACACGCACCCACCUCCAAGCCUGCUCCUGACGCCUUCCCGGCCACCUUUCUGGUGGCAGUCGCCUUCUUGGCUCCAGCCGCGGGCUUGGCCAAUCGGCGGCCCCGCGGCGGCAGACCCUUGGCUUCCCGCUCCGCCUGGCGCGCCCGCUUUGCAGCAAGCAGCGCCAGCGCCGUCUCCAAGUCCACCUCCUGACAUGUGAACACACGCGAGCGUUUAUUACGCAUUCACGCAUAUGGUAUGCCAAGUACUGCCAGGCGAUGCCGCGAGCGCCGCAUGCACGACCGCGCGUAUGAUGAGAGCAAACUUAGGCAGGGUCCCGGGCACGCAUACAAGCGGGGGCGAGGUGACACACAUGGCCCCCCCCGCACAUGGCCCCCAGCACAGGGCCCCCAGCACAUGUCCCGCGGAACAGCUGCAGCGCGCCGCGGCCAUUCCGCAGGAAGACUCCGAGGCGAUCUGGCGCAGCCUGUACCCACGCCGUGCCCAUACCCAUACGGCCUCCCCACCCAUCCACCCGCCCACACCUGCGGCGUGGCGCGCUUGCCCAAGCUGGCCGACACGCCGUCGUGCGCCACGUACGGCCCAAACGGCCCCGUGUUGGCCACCACCGGCUGCCCGUCCCCAGGGUGCAGCCCCAGCGUGCGCGGCAACGCCAGCAGCGCCAGAGCCGCCUCCAGCGUCACCGACUGGAUGGUAAAGCCCUGUGGCGACACAUGCACACAAGCGCAUAUGGGGGGAUAGCGGCGGCGAGCAUCGGAGGCUGAAGACUUGGUAUGGCCGAGACGGCGGCAACUUAGGCAGGGAUGAAGGACAGCACCUUGCAAGCCCAUACACAAACCCAGCCGGCAGCUGCCGCAGCGCGCUUACCUUGGCCUUGGGGAUCGCGGCGCGCUUCACCGGUGGCCCCGCAAGCGCCUCCACAUCGCUUGUGCUCGUCACCGCCGCCUCCCCUGCAACCUCCAGCUCCGCCUCCGGCACCGCAGCGUCCUCCUCCACGGCCGCUGCCUUCUUCCGCUUCGCGCCCCCCUUGGCUGCCGCGCCCUUGGGCUUGGCCGCCUUCCCACCAACCGUCUUCUUCUUCUUGGGCUCCUUCUUGGGCGCGUCUCCCGCCUGCACGUACAGCCCGUACGGUCCCAGGCGCACGUACACGGGCUGGCCGGUGUCGGGGUGGGAGCCCAGCAGUCGCUCCGUGGCGUUGAAGGGCACGCAGCUGCCGCCGUCCGCGCCCUCCGACUCGCUUCCGGUGGAGCCUGUGUGCAGCGUGCGUGGGCCGCUGUGUGUGUGUGCGGUACCGGUAUGCAGGGGGCGCAGGGGCGUGGGGCUCAUGUGGCGCUGGGUAGCGUAUGUCAACAUCCUCUGGACCCAAUGACUGGCAGCCCAGCAUCCCACCCCGCGGCGGCGGCCGCACACAAAGCAACGCACGCAAGGCAAACAACCAACGCACCCUCAGCGGCGGCCACGGGCAGCAGCGGGCGGGCGAAGUCGCACUGCAGCGCCUCAUCCGCGAAAUUGCUGCAGCCAAUGAAACCGCCGUACCGGGACGGCUUGAGCACCAGCCGCCCCACGCCGCACUUGGGACACCGCCGCGGGUCGCGUUGAGGCGCCGGCCCUGCCGCUGCCCCUGGCGCCCCCGCUGCGUCCGGCGGGGCCGCCAUCCCUGACGAGGACGCAGCGGCGGAUCUAGCGCUGGAGCCCCGCACGCUGACCACGCGGCUGGGGGUCACAUCAAUGGUGGUGGUGGUGGUGGGGGCGGUGGUGGGGGCUGCCGAGGAUGAGGGCGCGGUCAGCAGCGCGGGCGGCUUGGGGAAGAGGUAGGCGUCCAGGGCGGCGUCCAGCAUGUCGUAUACCUGGGUGGUGCGGAUUGCUGCCAUGGAGCCCACCGCGGCCUGGAAGGGGCCCCAGAAGGCGCUCAACACACGCCGCCACGCCGCCUUGCCGCCUGUGUAUGCACCGAGGUGGGCGGGAGUGGGCAGGGGGAGGAGCGGGCAGGGAGGCGGGCGCUCGUGGCCGUGUGCCCUGGCGGGCUGGCCACACGUAGCUGCUGCCGUGCACUCCCAGGUCCGCGGACACAGCGCCGCCGCCGCAACGGCACCGUGCGCAUCCCACCGCCUGACCCGCUGCAUCUUCGUGCCUCCUGCUGGUUACCGCUGUCAUGGCAUCAAGCCCCACACCCCGCCGCCGCUCCCCGGCUCACUCGCGACGUCGUCCAGCCGUCCUUCCAUGUCGGACGUGAAGUCGUAGUCCACCCACGUGGCGAAGUAGUGCUCCAGGAAGGACGUCAGCACGCGGCCCAGGCUGGUGGGCAGCAGCGCCCGCCCCUCGCGACACACGUAGCCGCGGUCCUGUGGCGCCAGCGUGCAGUGGUGGUGGUGGUGGUGGUGGUAGUGGCGUGAGCACGUGCAGUGGCGGUGGUGGCGGUGGUGGUGGCGUGAGCACGUGCAGUGGCGGUGGUGGUGGCGUGAGCACGUGCAGGCGGCUGGUGUGGCUGGUGCGGCGCGUAGUUGAGAGGCAAGAUAAGAGCAUGCAAAGACGGGAGGUUGGGCAGCUCUGGCGGCGGGCCCGCAAACCCGCGGCUGCACGGGCAAGCCGCUGGUCCUGCCUGUACCGCCUGUACUGUUGGUACAGUACAACAGGCACAAACACGUGUGCACCCACGCCACGCCACGCCAUGCCAUGCCACAGCCCGCCACGCCACGCCCCACGCCCCGCGGCACCGUCACCGGGUCCCCCCCCCCCAGCCCCGCGCACCUGCAGCAGCGUCAUGAUGGGCGCGUAGGUGGAGGGCCGCCCGAUGCCGCGCUCCUCCAGCGCCCGCACCAGGCUGGCCUCCGUGAAGCGCGGCGGCGGCCGGGUGGCGUGCUGCAUGGGAGCCACAGAGCUGCACGGCAGCCGCGCCCCGGGCUGCGAGCACAUGGGGGUAAGGCGGAGGAGGGCAGGGCGGCUGAGUAGCAAACAAAAUGCGAGCUGCUGGGUUCUGGCGCGGCGUUGCGCCAACUGUCGCACAUCCACCAGCCCCGGAGCGCCCCCUCUUGCGGGUCCUGCAUGACGCUUUGGGAUGUACCGGUACUUGUUGGGCUGGGGCCGACAACAACCUACCGUGUAUCCGCCCGCCCGCCCAGCCCCACACACCUGCAGCGCCAGCAGCUGCUGUGCCGCCAGCCCCUGGUUCUCCCGCGCCGCCGCGCCCUCAUCCUCGCCGCCGCCUGCCGCCUCCGCCUCCGGCGCCGGCUCCUCGCCCUCCGCCGGCUCGUCGUCGUUGUAGGCGCGCAGGUAGCCCGGGUCGCGCAGCACACGGCCCGAGGCGCGCAGACCCAGCCGCCCGCCGUCCGCCUCAAACUCCACGCUCACCUGCAAGUACACAACACCGUACGUGCCAUUGUGGCAUCUGAAUCGUAUUCCCGGAGGAGGGAAGUCGUUUGGGCACACGAUAGGCGCUAACACGGCGGGCCUGCCGACUUCCAGCAUCCGCACGCGCACCCGCUCCCGCUCCCGCACCACCCACAGCCCCCUUCCCCAGCACCCACCAUCACCGCCACCACCACCACCACCACCACCAGCCCCCUACCCCAGCCACGUGUCACCCCCCCACCACGUCGUACGCCGCGCUGGUCAUCUGCGAGGCCACGGCGCGGCGCCAGAUGAGGUCGUACAGCGCCGCCUGGUCCGGAUCCAGUGCGGCCGGCAGGCUGGAGGGGGUCACGGCGGCGGGGCGCGUGGGCCGGAUGGCCUCGUGCGCCUCCUGCGCGUUCUUGGCGCGGCUCUUGUACUGCCUGCAGCGGGCGGGUGGGGGUGUUGAGGGCAUGGGCGGGCGUGGGGCGGGCGGUGGCGGGUUUGUCGCCAGGGUGAGGCGGAGAUGCGCGCGCCGCUCCUAGACCUAGCUCCACCUUUCCUUGCGCCGCCGCGUGCCGCUCCUGUGCUCAUGCCGCUGCCCGCCCACCCAGUCCGCCACCCACCCAGUCAGCCACUCUCCCAGUCAGCCACCCACCCAGUCAGCCACCCACCUGGGCUGCGGCGGCACGCAGCCGCGCCCGAACAUGGCUGCGUUGGCGGCCCGCAGCUCGGCCACCGCCUCGGCGCUGAUGGACACGCCGUCCGUGCGCAUGUAGGUGAUCAGGCCCUCGCCCGUGCCUGGCCGUGUGCGCGGAUGGGGAGAGGCGUUGGGGGCGUGUGUGUGUGUGUGUGUUAAAAAAACGAAGCCCGCCCAGACGUGUGUGUGUGUGUAUGUGUGUGUGCGUCUGAGCUCACAUAUCCACCCACUUGCAAGCUCCAGUCAUCCAGUGCCCCUGGGCCCUGGCUCCCGUCCUGGCCCUGGCCCAUGCCAACACCCCAAUGCCCCCCCCCCCCACACACACACACACGCACACACCUGCGCCCCCCCACCACCACCACGCGCUGGAGCUGGCCGCCGGACUUCACGGACAUCGGUACCAACACGUCUACUGUGCUACUGUACCUGGCUACGCCUUCACUUCUUGAUUAAUCAUGGAUGUCACCCACACACACACACCUGCGCCCACACCCACCCACACGCACACACACCUGCGCCCUCGUAGAGCUGCUGCGCCACCCGCAUGGUGCGUGCCGCGCUGAAGCCCAGUCGGCGGCUGGCCUCCUGCUGCAGUGUGGAGGUGGUGAAGGGCGCGCCCGGGUGCCGCUGCUGCUGCCGCACCACCACGCGCGCCACAGUCACCGGGCCGGACUGCAGCGCAGUUGACAUAUACACACAUAUCGUACAUAUACACACACAUCGCAUACACUGUCUUUGCGCUAUGUUUUCCUUGUGAUCUUUAAUACACACGCAUACACACAUUCAACAAUGCGGUCCAGCUCGGCAGUGACGGUGUUUGGCCAGACGUUGCACCCGGGAUGCCGGGAUGCACCCGGGAUGCCUUGCCACAACGUGAGUGCACAGCCUUCCUUCCUUCAUGACGGCCGCUGGGCUCGACAGUGCCAUUGACCAGCCCACAAGCGGAGCGGCCCGCAUUGCAUACACCCACACACGCUCACACCCACCUGUAUCCUCCUCGCGAGCUCCUCCGCCUCCGCCUGGCUGCGUAUGUCCAUGCCGCCCAGCCGCCGCCCGUCCGCAUGAGUCAGCCGAGACCGGAUCAGCGCCGCCGUCGGCCCAGCCGCCGCAGCGGCAGCCGCAGCCGCAGCACCGCGGCUCUUGCCGGCGGCGCCCGCCGGAGUAGCCCCGGCUGCCGCCACUGGCGGCGCCAGCAUUGCGGCAAUGGACCAGUAGGCCAGCGGGUUGAAGGCCUCGAUGGCGGCCUCCCGCUCGCACACCAGGCGCAGGGCCACUGACUGCACGCGGCCUGGCGGGGCGGAGGGGAAAGGAAAGGGAGCGUGGAGCAGGCAAGUUGCCGGCGUCAUGGCGCAACUAGUACAGCAUCGACCUGGAGAGCGACCAACUAAACAAGCUAGCACGGCCCUUGCACGUUGCCACCAGCCAGCAGCACCUGCCCGACGGCCCCGAACCCGGCCCCAGCAGUGCCAGCCGCCCUGAGACCACCCAUCCCGCAGCCCCUGGACCCACCCGCGCUGCGCGCCCCCGGCAGCUUCCUCCACAGCACGGGCGACAGCUGGAACCCCACCAGGUAGUCCAGGGCGCGGCGGGCGCGGUAGGCGUCCACCAGCGGCUGGCUGACCUGUGCGGCGUGUGCGGCGUGUGCGGCAUGGUGUGACCAGACUGACGGUGGGCUGGCGGAACACAAGUGUGGCAAUGCUGCGGAGAGUAAGGUCAAGGGAGGGAAGGGCAGCGGCGGCAGUGAAAGAGCCCAGGCACGUGCGCCAAGGCAGGGACGCAAGGCGGGGCGGCGCGCACCUGCCGCCCCGCCGCCAGCGCGUUGGUGACUGCCGACUUGGUGAUCUCGGUGAAGGUGAUGCGCUGCACGCCGCCCACCUUGCGCAGAACACCGCGCUUCUGCAAGCGGCACACGUACACACAUAGUACACACACGCACAGCAACCGCACAGUGAACGCACACGAGGUGAGACGGUAUGGUAUGGUGCGGGUAAGGAUCCCUGAUCGUGCUCCUCUCCUAAAUGCACAGCUGCCGCCCACAGGUCCGCCGCCGCCGCCGCCAACCACCCCCGCCCACCUCCAGCUCCUGGCUGAUGUGCCAGCUGAUGGCCUCGCCCUCGCGGUCCGGGUCUGUGGCCAGCACCAGCAGCGGCGCCCCCGUGGCGGCGCCCGCGAUCUCGGCCAUACGCGGCCGGGCCACAUCCAGCACCUGCCAGUCCAGGUACCAGUCCUCCUCCUCACCCGCAACACCAGCAGCAGCAGCCUCCGAGCCAGCAGCUGCAGGGUCCGUAGCGGAGGCUGCAGGGUCCGCAGUGGAGGCUGAAUCCCCAGGUGUGUCGGCGGCGGGCGGCGGCGGGCGCACGGAGCCGGCCUUGGGCGGCAGGUCGCGCACGUGGCCAUAGCUGGCCAGGACCUGCAGGCCACGUGUGUUGAAGUAUGUGUGUGUGCGUGUGUGUAGGGGUGUGUAGGGGUGUGUAGGGGUGUGUAGGGGUGUGUAGGGGUGUGUAGGGGUGUGUAGGGGUAGAUGGGAUGCGCGAGGCCGUGUGAAGUGCUGGUGCGGGGGCAGGCACACGAGUGGCCGUGGCGGUUGGCAGUGCUGAGCCCUGGCACCGCCAAGGCAGUCCCGCCACAUGAUGACAUGGAGCAUGGGCGGGACCCUUGAAAGCGGGUAGGAGGGGCGACGGACACUCGUGAGACUCCUAGCUACUUGGGGCUACGGCGUCCCUAAGCGCUCCCGACCUCCCGUACUACCGCGCGGACAUCCGACACCAUCCCGCACCGCCGCCCCCCCCCCACACACACACCUUGUACUUGUCCCCCAGAAAGCCCUGGAUCUUCUUGGCCUUGGUGGGAGACUCCACCACCACCACCACCGGCUGCCCGGGGUUGGAAGCCCGACUCCCAGGGCCGCGGUGCGCACGGCCGCUCUCCACGACUGCCCCCGCACCCUUGCCGCCGCCGCUGGCGCUGCGGCUGCUGCUAGCAGCGGCGGCCCACACGACCACCUGCCGCCGACCCCCAACCGCGCCGCCGCUGCUGGCGGCGCUGACGUGCCGCAGCACUGCCACGAGUUGAGAGGGGGACAGCGCGAGGAGCACCGUGCCGCGCACUCGGCCCGCCCGCAGCGUUGCGAGGCCUGGGGCCGCUGCCGCGGCGGCGCCGACGCCGGGUGGGCUGCAGGGCCCGCCGCGGGCGGCGCGGACCGCUGUCCUGCCUAGCAUGGUGGCAGCGAAGUUUUUGGGCUGCUAGGCGCCACCUGCACCCAGAAACCAUGCGAACGGCGUUGAUAAUGACGGGGGCUAUUGGCCAGUCGUCGGGACACGACUUGUCCCCUUGCCCAGCCGACAGUGCCACCGACGGCGCCCAAACUAGAGGCACACGAAGCGUUGGAAGUCCAUCCCAUAAUGGUUGCAUGCAAGCCCACCUGUACGCGUCAUCAAACUACGAAGGGUCCGCUGACUGUUGUCGGCCGCAUGGACACCCGCGUGCUUCGCUGUAAGCAGCAGGUUUUUUUACGUCAUCUGCUUGGGCCACCAGGAGCUGCCGUACCUAUAAUUCAUGAGCAGAAAUAGCAAAACAGCUGCAAAAACAAAGGCCAGGCCUUCUAGCAGCAGCGACCGCUCACUGGUGCGCAUAUGAAUGUUUUAUCAGGAUAUUUGGUAGAAGACGUAGACGCAAACAAGUCCACCGCUCAUUAAAACCUGUCAACCGCAUGGAAUCGGACCCAUGGGGCCUCGAGCGAGACCUGGGCGCGGUGAAAUGACAUCGCCGAACAUCCACUUCCAAUUCCUUCUAAUUCCUUCCAGUGAUACUCAUGGCCGGCCGGCCAUAGGCGAAAAGUUCCAUUUUGAGCAGGCGCGCGCAGCGCAGGAGCGCUUUGACUGGGGACGCGGCCCACGUCUGCCGCCCCGUCGUGUGCUUGAGGCUUGUGGAGAGGCGCCGCUCAGCAGGGACUGCUCGCAAGGUGGGUUAAGGUUAACACCUACCCCCGCCAUCCCUCCGGCAGUUGGGCACUUCCUCGCUUUUCCUCAGCUCCUGUUCAAUUCGCACGCGCACAGGCACUAUCAAAACAACGUUUAAGAGCAUCGCGGACCCGCCAGGCCUGGAGCAGCUGCUGCACGCACAGCAUCCGACAGCAGCAGCAGCCGAUGUCCAGCGCCUCGCCUCGCAACACCGUGACAGCGCGGUGCUGCUGCAGAAGGCGCUGCAGGUGCUGGUGUGGGUGAUGACAGCGGUGCGGCAAGAGGCGUUUGACCUUCUGCUGCUGGUGGUGGCGCUGUGUGCCGAGGACACGCGGCUGCAGGCCGCCGGUCAGCCCCCCAACCCAGAGCGUUUCCGCGGUCAGUCUUCCAUCGCGGAGGGCUUCCGCCGGCAGCGGCAGCGCGCGUGCGGCAGCGACCAGCCCCACCAUGUGACCAACGACGCCGCCCAGCGGGCCCUACGCGGCUUCCCGGACCUGAACCAGCGCGUGAUGGAGGACUGCAUCACAGCCGUGACGACGUCGGAACACCAUCAAGAGGUCCAGCACAGCGACCAGCGCGCCGGCCGUGACCCUCACUCCCACAACCUGGCGCAGUAUGUGUACGGCCACGUGUUCCAAGUGCACCGCAGUGAAGACCGGGUGGGCCCUCCACGCAGCGUGACUGGGCUGACCAGCGUCGUCCACCAGCUGGCGCGUCAGAUGGAGACCAACGUGGGGGUUCACCUCGCCACCAACUUAUUCAGGUGGCUGAAAACCCGGUGCCGCGUGCAGCUACACCGAACUCUGCAUCCAGAGGUGAGUGCUGUUGCGUGCCGGCGACCUGGCCGCCCAUGUCAAAUCCCUACCCCCCUGCCCCAUGCCCCCCUGGUCGACAUCGUCGGUAACGCUUCAUGUUCCGCAAGAUGGUCUACCGUCUACCACUUCCUUAACUAAUCAUGAAUGUAAAGCCCCCCCCCUCAUUACGCAAUGCCCGCACUAACCCCUGCCCCGCCCCCCUUGGUCGCGCCCUCCUCCUCCAUAGGCGGCGGCCGCUGCGCCUGACGCCGGCGCUGGCGGCGGCGGCGGUGGCGGCGGCGCAUACGGUGGUGAUGGCAUGGGGGUGGAUCAGGUAUGUGCAGCUGCUGUUGCGUGCCGGCGACCUGGCCGCCCAUGUCAAUCCCUACCCCCCUGCCCCAUGCCCCCUCCCCCAUUACGCAACGCCCGCACUAACCCCUGCCCCGCUCCCCUUGGUCGCGCCCUCCUCCUCCAUAGGCGGCGGCCGCUGCGCCUGACGCCGGCGCUGGCGGCGGCGCUGGCGUGGAACUACCGCGCCAGCAGCAGACCAUCGUACUCGCACUCGCCGCAGCUAUCGCACGAGACGAGCCGCUGUGCGCCUACCCCGACGCAGCAGCAGCCCUGCAGUCGCAGCCGGAUGUCCUGCAGGAGCUGGAGCUCUGGGUGCAGCAGGAGCAGGACCGCUGGCGGCCCCGGGGGCUGCUGGUGCCGGGGUGCAGCUUCAAGCGCCACUCGCUGCCCCACGGCGAACGCUACCUGGCAUGGGCUGCGGAGGUGCUGCACGAGAUCGAGCAGCACCGGAGCCAACUGCGCGCGCGCGGGGUGCCCGAGGCCGAAGUCGCCAGGCACUUCCCGGUGUUUGGGCUGCUGCCGGAGCCCAGCUACCAGCAGGUGCACAUCGGGCUCGGCCAAGAGGCCGUGAAGGAGCUGCUGGUCCACCGCGACCAUUUCGCCAGCGAGCACCACCUCAUCCCACCGGCUGCCGUGCCCACCGGGUUGCGGCGGGCAGCGCGCAGCGGCGGGCAGCGGCAGCGGCGGCGCCGCGGCAGAGGCGGUAGCGGCGGCGGCAGCACCGCGGCGGGCAGCGGCGGCUCCGCGGCGGGCAGCGGUGGCAGCGGCGGAGGCGCGGCGGGCAGCGGUGGCAGCGGCGGAGGCGCGGCGGGCAGCGGUGGCGGCAGCGGCGGUGGCGGCGCAGAUCAACCGCUCCGCUGGGGCCCCAAGGGCGGCAAGUUCCGCAACAUCCCUGCCUGCUUCAAGGAGUGGGUGGCAGACCACGGGUUGGACCCGGGUGACGUGUGGGCGGCCGCGGGGCUGCGCCUCGGCAUUAGCCAGCACGAGCACAGGGGCUCCAAGUUCGACGGCUUCGUCACCACGGAUGCCUUCGACAUGUGCCUCACCAUGCGCCGCCGCUACCACAGCUCGUGGGACGAGGCCAAGGAGGCAGGCAAGCAGGUGCGGGUGUCUGAGGAGGAGCUGCUGCGGCUGUCCCUGCGCGGCGUCGACCCCGGCUGCAGCCCCAUCUACUGGACGUGCGCGAUGCGGUGGCCGUGGCUGCCCGCGUGGGUGGUGGCGCUGCUGGGCGUGGACCUGGUGCUACGGCUGCCGGAGGUGCGCAACGGCAGCUGCCCCGUGCGAUGGCCCGACGACCUUACCAAGGACCAGCAGGCCGCAGCCGAGGCGCAGCUGGCAGCGCACCUGACAGCCAGCAAGGCGGCAGCCGCACGGGACACGAUCGUGACACGCACGCAGGCAGCAGACCGCGCAACAGCAGCAGCAAGCACCGCAGCUGCACGAUGGGCCAAGGAGGUGCAGGCAGCGCCGCAGCAAGGUCGGCCGGAGCUAGUGCCGCCGCGCCCGCUGGCGCUUAUGGUGGCGCAGUCGGCGGAGCACAGCAAAGCCGCAGCAGUGGCAGCUGCCGAUGCGGCGGCGCGUGAAGCAGCCGACGCUGCCAACGGCGUGGCAAGGGAGGCGACCAUGUCGGCGUUGGUGCAGGGUUUCCGUCGAUACGUGGAGGUGAUGGCCGCUGCGCACUGCGCCAUGCUGCAGCUACACCGGUGCCUGCAGCAGCAGCAACAGCAGCAGCAGCUCGCUGCGCGGGUAUGGGAUAUUGCGUUUACGCACUGCUCAGGGGCGGAGCACCGCACGAACUGUGGAUACGCCCAGCACCAACGGUGGCAGCAGUGGCGUGUGAAGGCGGACCCUGCGCUGUGCGCCUGGCAGUCCAGCCUGCCGACCGCCCGGACUGUGGAUGUGCAGAACGUCCUCGGCCGCCUUGACUACAAGUACGGCGGCAGUACCGGGGCCGGCGGGCAGCAGGGCGAGGCGGUGGUGCGCGAGCUCGGCUUUGUGGACCUGCUGGCGCGGUACGCCGCCCCCGCCUGGCGGCAGAAGCGCCUGCAGGUAUACUGCCAGAAGCAGCGGGUGCUGUGCCGCGAGGCCGUGCGCCUGAUGGGCGGAGAGCCGGAGGUGACACAGCAGAAUGGCGUGGUGGGCUGGGGUGGCGGCAGCGCGGGCUUCCACGGCACAGUCAGCCGAGCGGAUCAGCCGCCGCGCAAGGGAUUCGUGCGGCUGCUGCGUGAGCGGUUCGCGCGCCACGUCAUCAUGAUCAACGAGUACCGCACCAGCAUGGUGAGGGCACAGCGGUACACACCGACAGUACACGCCGACGCCGUCCCUGACCUCGCCCAUGACCUGCCCUUCCAGGUGUGUGCGAACUGCGGGCGCCUCAGCCUGCGCCGCAAGGAGCCGCCGCAGGGUGGCGCGGACUUCCGCGUCCUGGUCUGCAACGAUUGUCACACGACGUGGGUGAGUGGGGAGUGAACAUGAGUGAAAAGUUUCGUGGGCAGGGUAGGAAAGUUUCGUGGGCGACACGCGACGCACUGGGAGCCUUAGGCUUGAUGUCAGUUAGCAGAGCCAUCGGCGCCAUGGCUGAAGAUACCAGCUGCAGCAGCCGUACAUAUGGUGGUGUUGAGAAACACCGGUUUUGUAGCUGUUGCCGUCGUGGUGAAUCAGGGCUUGGGCUUGGGCUUGUCAGUGGACAGGUAGCAGCUCUUGCCGUCCUCCGCCGUGUGGCCGUAGUAGGUCCCUGCGAGGUGCCCCUGCUUGAACUCGAACUUGACGUCUGGGUAGAGCUUGAAGAACUUGGGAAGGAGGACGGUCACGCCCACAACACCGGGGCUGGUCUUCUUCUCCAUAUUGGUCCCGUAUUUGCCCCGGCGCUUCUUCCUUGGUAAACGGCAUCCUUAUAGGGCAUGUACUGUUAGACACUGUUAGUUAUCCUUAAGCUUAAAACUAUAUCUAGGGGGCUUAAGUCCUCCCGACGGUCCGCGAACCGACACAAUGCCGUACUGGCAGUUGGGGAGGCGCGCCCAAGAGGCAUGCGUGUCGCCAAGUUGAGCUCGUACAACAGAUACUCCCUGCAAGUGUUGGUGCACCGUUUUAUAUUUCGGUUGAAAGCAUUGCCACAGGAAGUAAUUGCAGGCCUUAGGUGCCAUCGUUGCACAGUGCUCGCACGCGUUUGCAAAUGCGGGCCAGAGGCCACGGAGCAUUUGGCACUCACCCGCUAGACUCGUUCUUGAAGAUGACGAAACUGAUGAACCCGCCCCCGCCCCCCACCAUGCAGGACCGUGACGAGAACGCGGCCCUCAACAUGCGGCUACUGUUGGUCCUGCAGCUCCUGGGCCGCGACCGGCCGGCGGUCUUCUGCCGGCCGGAGGGCGGUGUUGACUAGUUGAAGUUGACUUGGUUGAUGGAGUUCCCCUGACCCGCUGCCGCCUCCUGACCCCCGGUGUGGGGUCGCGUGCGGUGUCUGAGCGAGGCGCUCUUUGGUUGCAACCAGCCUGUCUAACCAGGUGUGUUUGAGGCGACGCCUUGAGGCGACGCCUUGCAGCAAAUGGCUGUGCGGGAGCGCUGAGGCGGAGGUUGAUGUGUGUGGUCAGGGGUCAGGAGGUUAGUGUACGUGGAGAAAGCGGCCGAAACCAGGAGUGCCGUGCCGUGAAACACGGCUCGCCACCAAAUGAAGGAACCCUUUAGUGGGGGCAAGUGGUGGCCUGCGUAUGCCACUCUGAACGACUCUGAACGGGUGCGGACGAUUCAGAUGCAUCAUUGCCAGCUGGGUGUUCUCUUCAGCCUUCAACAAUAAUUCUAUGGCUAUAACAUACUAAGGGCUUCCGAUAUACAGCAUCGACAUUUGGCAGGUCCAUAUCCACCACCACUGCCAAAACCUCUCCCAAAACCUGUUUCUGUCAAGAGCAUUACAGGUGCUUCCCCUUUAGCACAACGAUCAAUCUUUUCGAAUCUAAGAUGCUAGCUCAAAAGGUAGCCCAUACGCGCUGCUCGGCAAGGUGGGUUUCGAGGGCGUGCACGGACACGGGUCGGUCGGCGAACCUGAAAUUAACACGAUAUUUGAGCUCUCAUACAAUGGAGCAACGUUUAUUCAAGUCGCUGGUUCCAAACCUAACAGUUUGGGCUGGCGAUGGGUUCCCAACGCUCCCAAGCUCGCUCACCACAGCGCCGCCAUGCAAACAGCUUAGCAACUUAUGGUAGUUACACCAUUAAUAGACGACCCUGAUCAGGGAGGCACCAUACCCGAGCCACGCCCGUGGGACCACACGCGUGGGAGUCGCAAACGUGUGCACGCCAGCCAGCACAGCUGCGUUAGCGCCCCCGCGAGACUGAAAUCCGGGUCGUCGGGGCCCGGCUGGGACCGGACUUUAUCUGAAUACAGCUUUACCCUAGUUGCCGGUAAACUCUGCAUCACCGCACAGGCAACGACAGGCCGGGGCGCGGUGCCCCCGAGUGCUGGCUGCUGCCAGCAGCACCGGCAACAGCACCCCCAGCAGCGUGCCUGCGGCUGAGCGCACCCGCACCUCCUUCCAUCAUGGAAUCACCUACAUUAGCUAUGAGGUGGGCGCACGCACGUUAGCGGGCGGAGGAAACGAGCUCUGACCACAAGAAGUCCUGGGAUGCUGGGAUGCAGUUGCGGGAGGUACGAGUGCCAUCGGGCUCAGCUCCGUUUGUCUCUUGCGGGGACAAGGGCCUGCUGGCCUGCCUGACCAGCAACACAUGAAACAUGAUACCGCUGGUUGAACUGAUGCAAUCUGCAUAUCGUGCAGGUUAACACGGCAGUCAUCAAGUUCAACACGUCAGGUAUGGCACGCCGCAGGGCGGGGGCUGGAUCUGAGCUUCGCGUGAGCUGUCACAGCCCGACGCAUGCUUGCGUUCAGUCUUUUUACAACCUUUCCUUUGCCCUCACUUCUCAUCCCUAGCUCCUCAUCCCUAGCUUCUCAUCCUAACUCGCGUACCUACCGCCACCUCCCCUGCCUCCCCUGCUUUGUAAUUCCGCUCGUGUUGCACCAGGCGUGCGCGUGCUGAUUGACCCCUGGUUCGUGGGCGAGCUCACGUUCGGCGGCGCGGACUGGAUGUACGCGGGCCGCAAGCGGGUGAUCGGGCGCGACACGCGGGUGGACAUGCAGCAGGUGCUGGCGGAGGCGGACGUGGUGGUGAUCACGCAGGUGCGGGGCGGGGAAGGCUGGAGGGGUGAGACGUGUGGAGUGUGGCAGGGCGGCGGCCGUGAUUGGCGGCGGUGGAGAUGGAGGAGGUCUGUGGGGUGCAGACAAAUGCAGGGCGGCGGAGAGGAUUGCACAGGCUAGCCGGGUCGGCAGGGCGUUGGCAAGAUGGCUGCAUGUGCCGUCCGUGGACCCCAACCACCAGCACCCGCUUCUGUAGCACCCGCCCCUAACGACUGGUCUGCCGUUGCCGUACCGCCUCCUCGCCCCACUUCCAGGGCCUGGACGACCAUUGCCACAUCCCCACGCUGUCGGCUGUGGCCAACAAGGGCGUGCACGUGGUGGCCAAUGCCGAGGCGGCGGCACGCAUGCGGCCGCUGGGCUUCAACAACAUCACAGUGCUGGCGCCGGGGCAGGCCACGUCCGUGCCGGGGCAGGCGGGCGGCCGGCUGCGGAUAACCGCCACCGCUGGUGAGAGGGGCUCCACGGCGAGCGGGGCCGGGAGGAGGAAAACCGGCAGGAGGGCUGCCAGGCGAGGGUUAGCACAAAUGCCCGCGCGGUGUGAAACCCGGGCUUACUCAGCUGCCUGUCGUCGCAUCCGAGCCGUUAUGCGCGCCGCCCUUCCUCGGCCCCAGGCGCGCUGGUGGGCCCGCCCUGGAGUGCGCGGCAGCUGGGUCUGGUGAUGCGCGAGGAGGUGCCGCCGGGCGAGCGGCCCGCCUCGCUGUACUUCGAGUCCCACUGCGACUUCGACGCCGGCAGUGUGGAGGCGGGGCUGCGCAGCGCGGGCCUGGCGGCGGGCGAGGGCGUGGACGUGUGUGUGAGCCCCGUGGUGACCACGCUGCUGGGCAUGCCGGGCGUGGCGCCGGCGUCCUACGCGCUAGUGCAGGUGGGCGGGGGCGGGGGGUUAGGGAGGGGGGCGUGGAGGCGGGGUCGGGGUGGGGACGGGGGAGAUGGAGAUGGAGAUGGCACGCAGCGCGGGCGUUGGGUGGGCGAAAGCGGGGCCGGUGGGCGCGGUGCGUCCUGUGGCUGGGGCGUGACAGGCUGGGUGUCAGCCAGGCAGGCGUGUGGGUCUUCAGCACGUAUCUCUUCUCGUGCGCGUGUGCUGCUGCGCAGGGUGACCAGAACCUGGCGUCGCUGCUGCGAGUGCUCAAGCCCAAGGUGCUACUGCCGCUGCUGAACCACGACAUCGACCACCGGGGGCCGCUCACCCAGAUCAUGUGGCAGGUCGGUUCGGGGUGGGGGUGCGGUGGGGCGGGAGGAAGCGCGCAGAUGCGUGUACGUAGGCGUGUACGUGAUGGAUUGUUGGGUUUGCAGCUGUCUUUGCGUCAUUGUGCUCAGAGGGAGUGCGGCUGUCCUCAACCGGUAGGUCCUGCAGCUCCUGACCGGGUGCCUACCCUGCCUGCCUUUGCCCUCGACCACUGCAUGCGGCUGCGCAGAAAGGCGAAGAGACGGGCGUGGCGGACCUGCUGCGGCAGGCGGGUCUUGGCGAUGUGCGGGUGGAAUACCCCGCGCCGCCGGGCGAGGCGCUGGCGCUGGCGCUGUGAGCGUGAGGCGGCAUGCUGUCAGCGGCUGCUGCUUAGUUGGCGUUUAUAGUUGGCGUUUGAGUUGGCGUUUGGAGUGGCGUGUGUGCGCUGUUGCCGCUGUCUGUCAGAGCGGUCGGGCUGCCUGCGGGGCGUAGGGAGUGAGGACGCGGGCACGCGGCGCUGAGGCUGUUGGGCGCAGCGGCCCGGUGGUCACGAUGUGGCGGUGGUGGAUACACCUGCAGCGGUGGAGCGGAUGUGUGAGGGCGACAUUGCCCUGGGUGACUGCAGACAUUGAGGCGCGGGACGGGGGCGGGGGCGGGGGACGAUGGGCCAGCAACGGUGCGUGGGUUGGCAACACUGGAUGCUAUGGGACAUGGCAAAGGAAGCAAGCGGCUCGUAUUCCGUAAACAAAUUGCACCCAUCCCAGGUUGGCAACGCUGGGUACGGUACACGGGUGAAGCGUUUGGGGCGAUCGCAUUGAUCCAGAUGGCGCUCAUAUUGCGAAUUCGCAUUGGAGUAACAUUUCUCUCAAUUGGGAUGUCAGGAUGCACUUCAGGGCUGCUUGGCGCAGAUGAUACUUUCGUGGGUAGCCUCAGGUGGUUGCGUAAGGCUGGGUGCUGUUGAUGCAGGGCCUCUACCCUAGGGCGCGGGCGGUCCCGCAGGGCUUGUAUGACCCACCUCGGGCAAUGCGCACCCGGACCGAGCCGGUGUAGCCGUUGCUAAACUGCUGAAGGCGCGAUGGGUCGGGUUUGGCACGGAAUUUGCUUGUGCAACACUUGAGGGCGGCGAAUACCGUGUGCGCUCGCAGACCGGUGCUUGGGGACAUAAACCGCGUGCGUGACUACAUUUCUCCACCCCCAAUGCUCAAUGCACACCAGGGGUCCCCCACGGAGGUCCCCUGCCUCACACCGCCUGACCAUUUCACUGUCCACCGCCCACAUCACCCACACCGGUGCGGCGCAGCACAGUCACUAGUCAGGCCUCAUAAGCGCCGUGGCACGUAGGCCGCACGCACUGACCAGGUCGCGGCCAGCGUGUUCGUGGUAUACACGAGCGCAGCGGCACGCGUACACUUUUUUGCCGGGCCCAUGCUACCUACGAUUCCAAACAACGCGCUUAUGACGCUUUCCAAUGCAUGCCUGCCCGACGGUCAAAGCUACACAGCGCCGUGAGGGCCGGAGCCAGCCAAUCUUCUAGCACCCCCCUCACCCUCCCAAACUGCUGCCCUGCCGUCUUGCGCAACACCUACCCCGUGCACGUGAGACGAGCACCCUCAGCCGCACUGCUGCCCCUGCCGUCCUCCACAACGCUUCACCCCACAGUACGGGGCCGGCGCUCCGCUAUGAGCCCCACCGUGAGUGCCGCACCGCCCAAUGACGGGCACCUGCACGGCAACCUGUCCAUCACCUGUAGACACCUCCCAUCACCUAGACAACCCCUCCAGCCACCUGCUCCGCUUCGCUGUUCCAGUCUGCCUCUGCCCUAUCCGCCUGUUCCAGUCUGCCUCUGUCCUACGGUAUCGGUCGGCUCCAUUCUUCUGCGCCUAAUCGUCUGGUGCGAUGCGCAGGUCCGCCACCGGCGAGAAGUCGGGACUGCGCCGCCGCCCCGCCGGUGAGUCGUAGCCGGUGCCGGGCCGGGCCGCGUCACACGCCUUGGGCGACGACACGCUCUCGGUCGUCAGCACCGCCGCCGCCGCGGCAGCAGCAUUGGCCGAGCGGCCCGCGCCCCUGCCGCCGGCUGGCGAGGGGCCCGCGUCCGCGGCCAGCGGCAUGGCCUGCUGCCCGCUGCUGCUGGAGGCACCUGCGCCGCCGACACUGCCGCGCGACCCGCCGUCACCACUGCCACCACCUCCUCCUCCUCCACCGCCGCCGCCGCCACGCUGCUUCAACCCCGCCGGGCUUCCAGGACCCCCGCGCGCCGCCGCCACCCCACCACCACCACCUCCGCUGGCGUGCGAGGGAGAUGCGCCGGCGCUGCCCCUGCCGCCCUGGCCGCCGCCGGCACCGCCCACCGCCGUGGUGGCGGCCUUACCCAGGGCCUCCCGCAGGAACAGGUCGCGCUGCAGCACCAGCCGCUUCUCCUGCUCCUCGUGCGACAUCAGCAGCGCCCGCGCCGCCGCCGAGCUGAAGGAGCCGCCGGAGGAGCCGGGGAUACCGCCGCCGCCGCCGCUGAAGCCGCCGGGGCUGUCCAAGGCGGGGCUGUUGGGCGCGGGGCUGGUGGUGCUGGGCGCGGCGGCGGCAGGCGGCUGCGGCGGCGAGGGCAGCUGCGGCGGCGGCGCCAGCGGGCUGCUUACGGCCGGGCGCGCGCCGGGCAGCACAGUGGGCGGCAGCGGCGAGCCGAAGGCGUCGCGUGAGGGCGGCGCAGGCUGCAGCAAGGGUGAGCCGGGCGUGUUGGGGCUGAAGGUCUUGGCAGGACUGCCCUUGUCCUUAGCUGGACUGCCCCGGCUGGCAGGCGAGUCGCGGCCGCUGGCGCCACCGCCCACACGCAGUGCGGCCAGCAGCCCCGUCGCGGCGUCGGUCCCGUCCCCGGCGCCGGAGGCUGCUGCCGACGUCGGCGUGUGUGCGCCCAGGUGCGCCACCGCCUCCACCCUCCCGUCCGCCACGCUCGCCAGCUCGUCCACACCCACAUCACUGCCCAGCCGCUCCAGCUGAGGUCGCGACUGCAGCGGCGGCGGCGGCGCCGCCGCCACCGCCGCCUGCUCGGCCGCCGCCGGCUGCGGCGCGGCCGCUGACCGGUGGUAGCCGACGGGGCCGUGCGACAGGACCGAGCCGUUGCCCGACGGCGACUGGGCCAGUUGCGGCUGCGCCGCCGCCACUGCCGCCGCCGCUGCCGUCACCACCGCCGCCAGCUCGGGAAUGGUCGGCGGCAGCACUGGGCUGCCGCCGCCGCCGAGCACGCCCCGGCCCACAUUCAGGCCGCCGCCGCCGCCGCCGCGGCCACCAUAGCUCUCGAUGUCGAUGCCUGCGCUGCCUGCGCUGCGCGCCCGCGGCGGGCCGGAGCCGCCCGAGGCCGCGCGCGAGCCGCCGCCGCCGCCGGGCUUGGUCCGGUCCGGCGAGGCCUCGCCUGCGGGCGUGUCGGCUCCUCCCUCCCGGUCGUCCGGCUCCCGGUCCUCAUACAGCAUCUCAUCCGCCUCGUCCUCCACCAACACACGAGCCCUGGGUCGGGGGCAAAGCCGAGCACAAAGCCAAGCGGGGGCCAAAGGAUGAGGGGGAUACAUUCAUGACUAGUUAAGGAAGUGGUAGACGGUAGACGCGGGGGGACACGAGGCUGUGCGGCUGCAAUUGCGCGUGCGCAGGCACGGUGCAGCAGGCAAGCACCGCGCACCACCAUGCCCAGUGGAAAGGGAAUACCGGUGCGCCCCCAUCCUGCCGCACCAUGCACAAGGCACGGCAAGCCGCGCUGCCCGCACCUGCGCGGUGUGGGGUUGCGGCUGAUGUCGACGCUGUGGUCGCCGCUCUCGCUCAUCUCCUCGCUCAUGAUGGCGCGGCGCAUCAGCCGCGACGGCACACGCGGCAUGCGGCCGGUGGUGCUGGCCGCGCCGCCGCCCGCCGCGGCCGGCGUGCCCGCAACCGGGCUGCCCCGGCCGCCGGCGCUGCCGCCCGCGCCCGCGCCAAUGCCAGCUACGGCGCCGCCGCCGCCGUUGCUCGCCGCGCCGCCCACGGCGAUCCCCAGGCGCGCCGCCGCGGAGGCGCUGGGCUGCGGGUGUGGGUGCGGGUGCAGGUGCGAGGGCGCGUGGUGGUGGGCGGCGUGUAGGCCGUAGGCGCCUGCGGCCGCCGCCACGGCGCUGCGCGGGUAGGGCGGCGGGGCUGCUGCUGACGCCAUGCCAGCGCUGGAGGCGGAGGCGGAGGCGGAGGCCAACAGGAUGGGCGGGUGGCGCUCCAGGGGCACGCCGCCACUGGGGUCGGAGGCACGGCUGGUAAGGCCGCCGCCGCCCGGGCCGCCGGGGACGCCGCCGCUGCCGCCGCCGGGCGCGAGCUGGCCGCCGCCGGUGGAGAGCACGGGCGUGGUGUAGCCGGCUGGGAGGGAGCGUGGAGGGCAGGUAUGCGGAUGUGUGUGAGCUUGUUGUGGAAGUGAAGGGCAGGCAUCGGCCCCCAUACCAAGCUGCCCAGCACGCCUUGCCACCCAUCCAAUCCCAUCCACCCCAUCCUACCUCGCUUGCGCGCCUCCUGCCCCGCCUCCUGCCCCGCCCCUCCCCCCCCCCGCCUCCCGCCCCCCCCCCCCCGCGGUCCCUCCCGCCUCCGCCCCUCCCACCCGUGUCCAGCUGCCUGCUCCACAUGGCCGCGUACAGCCCGCCCUCCUCCAUCAGCUCGCUGUGGCUGCCGCACUGGGCCACCUCGCCGCGGUCCAGCACCUGUGAAGGCAGGAAGCGGGUGGCUUUCAUGAUUAAGCAGGAAAACGCGAGAAAAUGCAGCCAGGAACAUUGGUGCGGUAUCGCAGGCGCGUUUUCAUCGAUGACCGGGGUCGGGGUCGGGUCUCGCAAAACGUGGCAGGUGUUCGAAUUGUGGGGUUUCGGUUUGGGCUCGGGCGGGCGCCCCCACCGUUCCUGAACAGUACACACAGGCACGCACCAGGAUGAGGUCUGCGUCCAUGAUGGUGGACAGGCGGUGCGCCACGAUGACGGUGGUGCAGCGCGACCGCAGCGUCUGCAGCGAGGACUGGAUGGCCAGCUCCUGCAGGAGGGAGGAGGAGGGGAAGGGGGAGCAGGGCUGAUUGCAGGCAUAGUUGGCUAGGUGACGAAGGGAAGUUACAUUCAUGAUUACUUAAGGAAGUGGUAGACGGUAGACCAUCUUGCGGAACAUCAAGCGUUAGGAGGGGGCCUUGGGACAGGGAGGUGAGCAGUGCCGGCAUGUCUAGUUGUCUUCAGGCGGCGGCGGCAGGGGUAAACAAGACCCACACCAAACGCGGUGAGGGCCCAUAGGGCAAGAAAGGAGCGAAGGGCGCGGCACUGGCGGUUGCGGCGGCCGCGCCUGUCAGCUGGCAGUGGUGGCCGACGCGUCGGGGCAAUGGCCGUGCGUGGCCGGCAACACAUGCCCAAUGCACCCCACAGCCCACCUCCAACAACACCAACACCCGGGCCCCACACGCUCCUUACGCCCACAUGCUCAGCGCCCCCCUGCCUCUCCCUCUCCCUCUAACCGUGAGUGAGUCGAGGGCGGAGGUGGCCUCAUCCAGGAUCAGCACCGCCGGCCGCUUCAGCACGGCGCGGGCGAAGGCCACGCGCUGCUUCUCGCCGCCGCUGAGCCGCAGGCCGCGCUCGCCCACACGCGUGGCGUAGCCCUUUUUGAAGUUGCUGACAAUGGAGUUGUGGAUGUGCGCCACGCCCGCAGCCUCAUGCACCUGCGUGGGCAUGUGUGUGUGUGUGUGUGUUUGUGUGUGUGUGUGUGUGUGUGUGUGUGUGCGUAUGUGUGUGUGUGUGUGUGUGUGUGUUUGUAUGAUCAAGAGCACAGGGGAAACGGGCGCGCAUGGCAGUGUGUACGCAAUGCCGUGCGACGCUCUGUGCGACACUGUACCAGAAAAAGACAGAAAAAAACACGACAGCGGUGACGCCAACAUAUAAUGCAACGCCGUUCGGACGUGGCGAGCGGCCGGCUCCCUCUAUAGGAGGCGUCGGGACGCCACUGCUCACACCGCCCACCGCCCCCCACCGCCCCGCCCCGCCCCACUACACCGGCGCUCACCUCCUCGUCUGUGGCGUCUGUGCGGCCGUACCGGAUGUUGUACAGCACCGUGUCGUUGAACAUGACCGUGUCCUGAGGCACCACCGCCACCGCACCCCGCAACGACUCCUGCGCAAGGGCGCAAGAAGGGUGGGGAGUUAUAGCAGGAAACGGCAGGCAUGAGCAGGAGUCAGGGUGUGCAGGCUGGCGGCAGAAACCCGUGUCUAGCAAUGAGGGUCGCCCGACGCCCUCGCCCUACGGUAUUCGCACCAGCCAUGCCCGGCAUGACCCCCAAGCGCCGCUGUCUGUGCUUGCUCCGCUCCCAUGUGCAACCAGAGGCCACUGCAGCUCCGUCCCUUCGCCCACCCGGCUACUGUCGCGUACUACAGAAUAGCCCGAAAGCGCCGGCCAAGCAGGGCCUACGGUAUUCUGUGUCAUUCCAACCCUGCUAUAGGGAGAAUGGGCUAGAGGCCGCAUCACGACAGCUACCCACCCCCACCUGCGUCACCCAGCGAAUGUCUUGGCCGUCAAUGAGCACGCGGCCCGACUGCGGGUCAUAGAAGCGCAGCAGCAGGCGCAGGAUGGUGGACUUGCCGCUGCCGGUGGCGCCCACAACCGCCAGCGUCUUGCCGCCUGCGGGCAGAGCGCAGCAGGAUCAGUGCCGGUUGUGGCGGAUGCCGGGGCCCAGGGCGGCGGGCACAGCGCGCAUCGCGAAGGCAUGGAGCUAGGCCCUAGGCAGCCAGCUUGGCCGCCAAGAAGGCAAGCAAGGACAAGGCAACGGCGCAGCAACGCUGCGGCUCAAGCAACACCAUCACUGGCCACGCAUUGUUGGCAGCGUGGCCCUCGACCCCACCACCCCCUCCUCCGCAGCGUCCUCUGGCUACUCCCGUACGCACGUUAUAACCCGCACGCACGCACCCGGCACAGCGAACGUGACGCCCUUGAGCACGGGCGUGCCGGUGGGGUUGUACCCGAAGACCACGUGGUCGAAGUCAACGCGGCCCGCCGACACCACCAGGCGGCGCGGCGCGGGCGGGUCCUGCACGCCGGGCACGGUGUCGAGCAGCUCGAACAUGUUCUCCAUGUCGAUCAGUGCCUUCUGGACCUGUGGGGCCGAUGUGUGUUUGUAGGAAUGGGAUGGGGUUGCAAAGAUUGGUACAGAGAAGUGUAGGGGUGAGUGGGGUGGGGGGGGGUUGCAAGGAUGUUUGGAAAAGCGGGGGGUGAGGGGGUAUGCAGGUUAAAGCAGUGGUAACAGGAGAUGAGGGGAAGGAGGGGAAGGAGGGGGAGGAGGCCGGGGGACUCCUAUCCCAAAGGAGGGGCAGCCGUUCAUAGAGAACGGAAUAAUUACAUUACGUUGGUCCGCGUGUGUGCGGCGCGUCUAGGCAGAUGGCUCCGGGAGGCCCGCCCACCAACACCCGCCAACGCCCCUGCCCACUACACAUCAUCAAUUCAUCAUCCCCCCUGCCCCCCCCCCCCCCACACGUCGGCACUUCAAACAUCUGAUGCAGCCACUCCGUCCUCCAUGACCCUUCAAUCCCCCGCCCCCCAAGCGCACCUGUCUGUAGUAGGACCCGAAGAAUGUGAGCGGCACGUACAGCUGGUUCAUCAUGGUCACGAACAGCACGGCGUCGCCCACCGUGAGGCUGGAGCGCACCACGCCGCGCACACACACCACCAUGCCGCUGGCCAGACCCAGCCACACCACUGAGGCCUGUGGGGAGUGGUGGGUGCGUUGGCAAGGACGGAGGGGUUGAGAGGGGUGGGUAGGUGGGGUUACAUUCAUGACUGGUUAAUGAAGUGGUAGACGGUAGACCAUCUUGCGGAACAUCAAGCGUUACCGACGAUGUCGACCAGCGUGGGGGUGAGCAGGUGCUGGCGGGCGGUGACUUGUGGCGCUGGGCGGUGAGUGCAGCCCGCUCCGCCCCAGAAGCUCAUGAGCCGGCCGCCUCUGCACCAAUCCCUCACCGCCAGCAACCCACCCACCCCACCCACUCCGUCUGCCCACCUGUGUGAUGGACAGCAUGGCCAGGAACGCCAUCUGCCAGUACUCGGCGGCCUGCGCGCGUGUGUGUUUGUGUGUGCGUGUGUGUAUUGGGGCGUGUGAGGGCUUGAGGUACCAAGCCGGCAUGGCCCCUGCUACUGGCAAUACGGCACCAACACGAUACUACCCCCAGUGAAACCAACAUGCCCACACCAACGCGCCUGCACCCCGCCCCUCCUCUGCCUGCCUGCCUGCCUGCCUGCCUGCCUGCCUGCCUGCCUGCCUGCCCAUCCGCUCCUCGCCCUCACCUGGUACUGCCUCGUGGCGUUGUCAUACCCGGCCAGCUCAAAGCGCUCAUUGCAAAAGUACUUGACUGCGGGGCGCACCGGCAAGAGGGCCGCGGGAGCAGUGGCGAGAACUUACAAUGUUGGCGAGCUUGGUCACAGUAUGCAAGACCAGCAUGGCUGAGCACUGUCCAUUCCCCACGCCAUUACAUCACCACCUGAUGACUCGCAUCCUGCGGCCCCCGGCGCACACACCUGUCUCGUAGUUGAGCAGCAUGUCUGUGGCCCGGCCCUCGCGCGCGUUGUCCAGGGCGUUCAUGCGCUUGCGGAUGACGCCGCGACGCUCCGUGAUGAUCACCGUCAGCGGCACGUACGACGCCACCUGGCGGGACGGGGCGAAGCAGGGCCAGACUGAGAAGGGGAAGUGGAGUAGUCAGUCUAGGGCCCGCAUGGGGUGGGAGAGGAGGGGCAGGCACCGGAGGUGCCGACUGGGUGCCGGCAUGCCGCCCGCCCCGUCUCCACAUGCGCACACAACCACACCUGCGCCACACCGCCCACGUACACGUGGUUGCAGGGCGACCCGCCGGCCCCGCGCAACGCGCACAGCCGCAGCGCCACACGCCCGCGCAUGACGUACGGCACCGCCCCCGCCUUCCUCCUUGGGAAUGGUGGGAAACACCCCAACCCGACCCGACCCGACCCCGCCCCGACCCCGCCCCGCCCCACCGUGACGAACACGAUGACGGCGGCCCAGGGCUGCAUCUUGAAGGCCAGGUAGGUGCAGGCCACCACGAUGUCGAUGAGCUGCGGGAUGACGUUGAACAGCACGAUGGACACCGUGUCCUGCGGGGCGCAGGGAGGGGAGGGGAAGGCAGGGGAGGUUGUAAGUACCUGCCCAACCCAUUACCAAACCCAAUACAAAAGAGCGAGGAGGAGAGCGUGGCCUAUGCCCGCCCGGCAGGGGAGGAACGGCACAGGUGGGUCCCGGGCAGGCAUGAAGUAGCACGGUGAUACCGGUAGUCAGCCACCACCAUACGCCGUACCACGAAAGCCGGAGUCUAGCCCGCCAUCAACCUCUACACACACGCCCCGCACGCGCCCGCGCCCCCCACACCCCGCACUCCGCCCCGGCCCCACCUGUAUGCUGCUGGUGCCCCUGUCCAGGAUCCUCAUGAUCUGCCCCGUCUUGCGGUGCAGGUGGAAGGCGUGGUCCAGGUCCAGCAGGUGCCCGAACACGUCCAGGCUGAUGCGCCGGAACGCGGCCUGAACGAGGCAGGGAAAGGCAGGGGGCGGGCGGGAGUUGGGGGACGAGGCAUGAAGCAACGGGUGGCUUACGGGUGACACGAACUACGCCUGCUGCUGCCGCCGCCCGCCGCCUCCAAGCCCCGCGCCCCUGCCAGCGCCUGCCCCAUGCUGCACCACACCCCUGCGCUGCAUCCUAACGUCGUGCUUCACUCAUGUUCAACUCCAAAACUCACAUGUUGCCCCUGGCUUCCACCGCUACCAACGCUCUACGCAACCCCCCCUACCCCUAACCUCCGCUCUCACCCACACCUGUGUGAUGGGGAUCCAGAUCAGGUCCCUCAUGUUGGCCAGCAGCCCCUCCAUGCCACUGCCGCCCCGCAGGAAGUAGAAGCCAAGGUAGGCGAACACCCAGGGGUAGAACACACUCCAGAACGUCACGCCCUGGACAGCCUGGGGGCGGAGGCGGCGGUGAAGGAAGCGGCGGUCACAGGAGGUGAGGUGGCGGGACAGCGGUAGGUUUGCCACACUGCUAUUCCCGGAUCCGGCCGCUCAGCCCAUCGCGCACGGACACUUCCGCACCCCACACAACUGUCCGGUACCACCACUCGCCACGCCGUUCCACCGGGCCUACCUUGAGCAGCCCGUGCGCCGCCGCCAGCAACUUGCCGUUCGCCUCGCCCUCCCCUUCAGCGCCCGCGCCCGCCGCCGCCACCGCAGCGCGCAUCAACGCCCGCGUCGCCUCCGACAGCGCGCCCGCGCGCGCGCCGCCCGUGCCCCAGCCCGCCCAGCCUGCCCAGCCUCCGCCUCCCCCGCUGCCUCCGCCCGCCCCGCUGCCUCCGCCUCCACUGUUGUCCGCCACCGCCGCCGCCGCGCUGCCCAGGUCGUCCACCAUGUGCUUGUACAGCACCGGCACCGCCAGGUUGACGCAGCGCUCCGCCAGCACCAGCAGGAAGCAGGCCACCAGGCGCAGCUGCAGCGGGUGGCUCUCGGGCCACACGUAGCGGAAGGCGCGCGCGGUGCGCUGCGCGCGCGAGGCGGGCAGGCGGCCCUGCUGCGCAGCCUUGGCGCGCUUGCCCUCCUCCUUGGCCUUCUCCUUCUCCGUCUGGAGGGUGGUAGUGGUGGCAGGCAGGGGGAGGCGGCGGGGUGGGUGCCACGUGCGGUCGGGGGCCGAGCGGCGGGCGCCGGACUUGCGGAGGGCUGGCGCGGAGUCACAACAGACACCACGCGGUGCUUUCCUCAUAACAAUCCCCUGUGAGCCGCCACCGCAACCCUGCGCUCGUCCUCCUGCCGGCUCUGCGCCCCCGCAACCACCAAUCCACCCUGCUGCUCCUUCUCCUCCUCGGUUUCCCCAAAGUCACAUCACGCUAUCACCACCCCACCCCCUGCCACCCCCUGCCACCCCCAUCCGCGCAGCGCACCUUGUCGAACAGCGGCUCCUCCAGCUCCCCCAGCGGCAGUGAGGCCAUGUGGCCGUACAGCGCCUCAGCCAUACACACGAACAGGACCAGGCCCAGCUGCACCGUGUGAAGCGACACGCUGGGGGAGGGAGGGAGGGAGGAGGGAGGGGCGAGACAGUGGGGCGCGGAGGUGGGCAUGGAAGGUGGGUUAGUGUGGUGGACAGGUUGCGUGCUGUACACGUGGCGGGUGGCUGCUGCGCCACCGCAGCACGCAGCUGCAGGACCGGCCUGCCAGGCCCUGCCUACGGUGUGCACCCUGGACCUACCCGGCCCCCGUCCAACCCCGCCGCGGCUGUAUCGGCCCCUUCCGCUCGGUUGCUUACCGGUAAUCGCAAGUGCCCCACGCACCUUACGAUGCGGUCCUCCUUUGCAAAGUCGGACGUGAUGUCGUGCAGCGUGUCGGCAGCCAUCUGCAGAGCCACCGUUGCCAUGGACGCCAGUACAACCGGCAGAAGUGACACUCCCGCCUGUCGCCUCCACACGGCCAGCAUGGCCACCUGUUUCAUGCGUCCCAGGGUGUCAGCCAUGCGAGUCGGGCGUCCGGCACGCAUUGAGCGCCACUUGUGAACGACUCGGUUUCCGAACCCACCACCGUGAUGGCGUACAGCAUCGUCGUUGCUGCUAGCUGAGCAUCGUAAGCGGCCAACAUAAAUCGGCCCCGGAUAAAUCGCCAUGACGCGUGCGCGACUUGUGUGCACACCAACAACGCAAAGGUCCCCAAACGGAUUUUCUUUAGCGGUGCCAAUCGCCUUUCUUUUCCAGCAUCCCUUUCUGCUGGUCUGAUUGCAUAAAACAGCAAGAACAGGGCAGUGCUGCAAACGCAAAGAGCCCCGCUCGCGAUAAUACGGGUGAAGUCCGUGGCCAUGGUCGUUAUCUAAGCGCCUGCUAGCAGCAUAGUAAUUGGAAAGUACAAUUUCAUGCCGCGCAAAGGUCGAAACCAGCUCUCGUGCUCUAGUGUAUCAGGGCGCCAGGAGUACUAGCUGUUAAUACGAUCAGCAUGAUGAAAAUUUUGUAGUAUUCUGUAGGAAGCAACCGCGUGCCAAGAAGAUUGAGUCGGGACGUCCCAUGACCGGCACGACCGCGUGCCAACGACCCCCCGACUCCCCUUCCUCCAUUUUCAUCCAAUCCCUCCACCCCACGAUCGCGUGGCUUGUCCCCAACAGCAAUCGUUUAAAUACAAUAAUAAACCGUAUACCGCGCUGCUACUGACCACCAGCACCAAGUGACAGCCCAAGCCCCACAAGGGCACCGCGAGGCGUUGCCAACUGGUUGAGGGUGUGAGAAAGUUGGUCCACAUCAGCAAGGAUGCACGUCAGCCACUGGCCCACUUCGCCAUGGGCCGGUGACCUAAGGCCUAAGGUUGCAUCCCUGUUAUACUGCGUGCGCGGCCGAGCAGGCCUUGGACUCAGGGCUUGCACCCUUGGCAAAGGGCACUUAGAUGCAGCGCGUGUACAGAGCGUGCACGACGGCUCACGGCCAGACACCUGGACGGCUGGACGUGGGCAUGAGUACGUGAGCCACCUGCUUUCACAAUGACUACGGUAACCCCGGCGAAAACUCUUUUGGUGGCCUCUGUCCGCAACCCUGCCUCUGUCCAACAGUUCUGAUUCGGCUGUACCGAUAUGAGACCUGGUACCCGUUUGAGGUAUACGGGCUACCGUGUUGAAUGUGCGGGUCCGCCCUGCCGCCGUUAUGUGUGUGCCCACAGUUUCGUCCUUUGCGCAUGAGAGGGUAGUUGCAACCGUCGUGGUUACAGCAGCCUCUUCCGAGAUGCUUUAGGGGAGGCGCAGGGUCUCGUAACCCUGCCCACGGUGCUGGCCGCACUGGCGCUCGACCGCCCCCUUUGCAAACCCUAAACCCAAACACUGCCAAAUGCAUGCCCUGUACAUGACCUACCUGUCUAAGUCCAUGUCUCGCCAACCCUAACCAUCGUGUACCCUAAUCAACGAAGGAUACUGCGUCAAAUCACAGCUCCCGCAUGUCUCGUCUUCGCAAAUGUCGUCUCAACCCCUGCGGCAUCCUCAAUACACAUCACAUGUGCACGAGCCACACUUCAAACGAAAGAGCGUCAGUUAUAUCAAACGCAAGAGGGCAGUACAAUAUAGAAUCAGGUCACUAGUGUGCCCACAGACACAAACAAACCCAUUUGAACCAUGGAUUAAAGGUCAUUUGGCGGUAAUUGCCACUGCGCGGAUCACCAUCCAAAAUGCUCUCGAUAAGACCCCAUGUUGUUGGCAGACCUCUUCAUAUGCAGCACGAUUGGCUUUCUGGCUUCUCAAGACGCCUUAUUGUCUACUAAGCUUCAAGGCAGCAUCACCCACGGCCUGCGGUGGUGGGCAGCUUGCGCAAUGAACGCCGCACCCCGCCACCGCUGGCCCCGACCGCUUCCGCGCCCACGCAGGCGCCUGCCCGCAGCCUUGGUCAGAAUCAUUUAAUCAACAAUUUCUAGGAUUGGGUCAUGAUCCGUGACAGUCAUUGCGUUCAAACCCGCGUCAACAACGCAAGAACCAUUGCCGCACACAACGUCAAGAUUAGUCACACGCCCACGCACAUCGCACAUACCAUGUACGCUGCUGCGCGGCUUCUACCAUAGGCUAAGCCAGCCGCCAGACGCUGUCGCUUCAGGCCGCUUCUAGCUCCUUUAGCUGCUUAGGCGCCCAGGCUGCGGCGGCUGCCGGUCUGCGACUUCUUCCACUCCGACUGCGUGCGCUCGGCGCCAGUGUCCACGACUACGUCGCAGCGCUUGCAGCUGGCCACGCACUUGCCAGGGCGGGCGCGGGUGCCGAUCAUGAAGCUAGCGUUGCGCUCGCACUCGCCCGCCUCAGCCCAGUCAGGGCACAUCUCGUCGCUGUCCUCGCAGCCGGGGGGCAGGUUCUGGGGCUUGACCUUGGGCUGGGGGUGCUGCUCAAUCAUCUCAGCCUGCUCGUUGCCUGUGGAGUGGUAGGGAGGUAGAGGGCGGGGCGAGCGUGAGUUCGUGCCAUGCAAGGGGAUUCUUGGUGGGGUUUAAUCUAGGCAGAACAUCCCCGGCAUACGCCGCCAUUGUCAUGCCUCCGGCCCAAGGCUCAAGAGCCCGGUCCGCUACUCUGCCUACUCACCCAUGGCGUAGUGGCCGACGUGGAUCCACUUGGCGGCAGACCACUUGAUACCCUUGAUCACGGGGCAGGCGGUGUGCAGCGACUUGCGCUCCAGCUCGCCGGUGGGCUUGAUGCUGUGGAAUAGGAUGGCGGUGCCCUUCUUGGGCUUGGCGGCCAGGUGGUAGCGCGCGCACUCGGAGAAGCCCACGUUCUCGCCACCGGGGGCUGCGAUGUUGGGGAACACGGUCUCGCCGCCCUCCUCGGUGUCCACCAGGUACAUGAGUACGGUGGCGUAGCGGUUGCCGCCGUUGGCAAUGCCGUCCUUGCUGCGGGGCGGAUGGGGGGAGGAGGGAAGCAGGGCGAGGGCAGCAGGUAGUCAGCAACAGGUUCCUAGGUGCCGAGGUCAAGUGGAGCGUUGCAGCUGGGGCAGACGAUACACGCACAUGCCUGCCAAAAUCGCCCUGCUGUUAAUCCCGAACUCACUGGAAGAAGUAGUCCCAGUGGGCGUCGUACUUCUGCUCCUUCUGGUAGCGCAGCACUUGCAGGCCCUCGCCGUUGCCGACGGGCAUGAGGGUCAGGGCGGAGAUGCGCUCCUCUACACCCUUGACAACGGGGUCCUCGCCGCGCUCCAGGAAGACGCCGAACGAGGUGCGGAUCUGGGACUCUUCAGAGCCGCCGUUGGUGGCGACGACGCCCGAGCGCUCCAGACGGCGCUCAGAGACUUGGACGAUGUGGUCGGCCUCCUCUGUGGGGGGAGAGGAAAGGGGGGGAGGGGCCAAGGGAGGGGUGAGAAGCCAGGGUGGGGCAACAGCUGCAACACGCUCUAAGGCGUGUCACAGUUGGCUAACUGCGCUAAUCUUCAUAGGAAUGUGUUUAUGUACACAGCAGAGGCUGGCGCUGCUCAAGUCUGUCUGCGCCAUUGGGCGCCGAAAACUCACCGUCGGUAAGGAAGUGCUCAAUCAGAAAAAUGCGGGCAUCAGCAUCAAGAACCUGUGCCCGUUACGGUUCAGGGUAGCGCGGGAAGUCAGCGUUACGUGAUAGUAAAAAGGGCGACCCCCAGACUUCGCCCGGAAUGUUGUCGCGUACCUUCAUCUUGCCAAGGCGGUGGCUGAUCAAGUCGGGCUGGACCACAUCAGGCUUGAAGUCAGUGCCCAUCCAGCCUGCAAAGGGACCGAGCGGGGUCGAGGAGUGAGACAGGUUGCGGAAUCGAGGCCGCAUGUCGGAGUCGCGGGAAGCACCAAACGUGCGCAACGCUCACCAGGAAGGAUGUCCUCAUCGGUGCGAGGAUUGCGCUGAGCCGCAAGCGCGAGCUGACCCAGAUACAACGCAACAGCCGCGACGACAAAGAAACUUGUCUUCAUUUUGUGGGGUUCGGCCGAAAGCCAGAGGCACCAGGUGGUGUGUGCUUCAAUUAUGGAGCGUGCGUGUGCUUCUGAUCAUGUAUUAUGAGCUAGCGGUGGGGUCAAGGGCUUUUAUGGGGGCGCGAUGGGCCGGCCGGCUGUAUGGACGCGUCCUGCCGUCCCGCACUCGUCCCGCGGCGGGCGCGCCAAGCGAGGAAUCGCCCGUUCCUCACAGUGCAUUCCCAGUCGCUAACAGCACAUUGCCUCUUAUUGCAAGCGUGCUCGCUGGCUCUCCAAUCGCGGUUAAUGCAAAUGUCUGUUAAAAUGCCUUACAUUAGCUUCCGUAAUAGGGUUCCUGAGCGCGCCAAGCCGCUCGAGCUGGAAUGCAAUAAGCAGGGGCUGGGUGUGUCUACUCAUCCAUGUGGCUUGCGGAAGCAGCGGUGUGUUCAGAGAGUCUCGAAGCGGUGUCGCUGUAACCCCGCCCAGCCAUUGCCCACGCGUCGAGAGCGCGCGUGUCGGAAGGCGCGCCGGAGGGACCUAUGCACACGCAGGCUGGUUCUGGACGCAGGCUGGCACGCGGUGGUUGAAGCUUCCCCGGGCGGUUCGCCAACCGCAGCCCGUUCCUGGCAACAGUGCGCCACUCCGACGCUGCGCUGCGCCGUGUCCCCCUUCCGUUUUUGGAGAGGAAACCUUGCCCGUGCCCCCUUGCACAUGCAACAGCAUCUUUCGUGUACGUCCGAUUAACGUCGCGCUGAGGAGCGAGGGAGAUUUUGCAUCCGGCACGUGUGCGGCCACCCCACGUCCCCACCUCCGCGACUACCGCAUCAUAUUUACUGACGCCACUCCACCAUCGCCUUGGAGCUCGCACCGGGGCUCAGCCCCCACAGCGGCCCCUCUGGCCUUCACCCUGGCGCACUGCCACGCCCGCGAGCUGCGCACACCAGCCGGGCGGCCUUAGCCUGCAACACGAGGCCCACCCGCACGCUCCCUCACACCACAAUCCGCCCAGGCACCAACAAGGCACUAAGCAAUUACGGUACGGUGUGCAUGGCCUCUCCGUCGCAACCACCACGGCGCACGCUGGAUCCCAGCAGCUCACGCCCCGGUCCACUGGUGAAAUGCUGCACAUGCACCUUCCCUGCCACUGCCGCCUGCAGCCUGCACUACUUGCCGUAGUUCGACCUAUCAUAGCUGAUCCCGUAAUCGAUGAGAAUUUCGGCGCCGGCAGGAAUGUCGCGGCAGGCCACGAAAUGCAGGUCCCCCGCCGCUGACCCGUCCUCCACCGACGCAUUGGUGCCGAGGGAUCCCUGUUGGGGGUGUGGGCAUGGAUGCAUAUUGAAACAGUCCGUCAUACCCGACGUUCCGAACCCAAAGACCGUCCGGUACGCGUUGCGGGUCACGGUUGCGGGUGUUUCGCAACGGCAUUCCUGCACAUAGGCAGCUAAUGGCUGUCGCGUGAGAAAUCACCUGCUGCCAGACUGUGACACCAGCAUCCAGCGCCCCUACAGCAACAUACUAGCCGUCAAAACCCUGCCUCACCUUGGGCGGCUCAUUGGCGAAGCACAGCGACACGUCCGAGGGCAGCGGCCAGAACAAACCCGGCGUCGGGUAGGGGCUGGGCUGGCCGGUGGUGUCGGUGGGGUCCAAGAACGAGCCGUCGCCUGCACGCAUGGGCACGUGCGGGUUGUUAGUGUGCCGCAUGGUUGAGGCAGUGGGGCAUGGGACAUCGAGGAAGCCCAGCCGGUGUCGGCAAGGCACUGGCAAGGCUUCAUCCAGUCAGAGGCCUUAAUCAAUUUGCCACCCCGCAUGCAUCCCUACUACCGUGCCGCCACCGGCUGACCACCUGCCCGGGCCCGCGGCCCCGACCGCAGGCACCGACCGACCCGCCCUGGCCUGGUUUGGUUUAGUUUGGGCUGGUACUUACAAUCCCCACCCACCGCGCGCCCACCCGCACCCCGCAUUGCAGUCCCGCCUGUGCCCCAUACCGGCACGUGUUCACCUGUGCGAAAAGCGUAGGACGAGGCCAUGGGCGCGUACUCGCACUUGGCCAGCAUCUCGGCGCCGCUGCGCAGGCGGCCCGGGUAGGCGCCCAGCACAGUGCCCGAGGGAAUGGACGCAGUGGCAAACAGGCCCUUGCCCGCGAUGGCACUGGCGCGCACCUGCGAGUGAGAGCGGAGAUGCAGGCAAAGGUGGAAAUUUUGGGCGGGGUUGAGCACACGACCAAAGCACGGCAGGUCCGGUGGAUAAGGCAGAGUGGGAGGGUAUUCAGCGACGUCGAUUGCUUGUGCGCCGGGCGCAGGCGUGCCCGAGCACGUGCGCUUUCACCUCAGGCGAACACAUGGGCUGCGGGCGUUGGCUGGCACACGGUGGUUGGAGCUCCACCGGGCUGUUCGCCAGCCGCCGCCCGUGAGUCCCAGUCCUCACCGCAUACCGUACGCACAUACCCGGACACGCACACGCACACACGCACACGCGCUCACGCUCACCUCCAGCAGGUCCUUGCGCGACCAGCCCCGCGGCCGCGACUGAUACGCCGCCAGGGCCGCCGCAGCCACCGCCGCAGCCACGAGCUCCCAUGCCGCCAGCUGCGACCACGAAGACGCGACAUGCACCUUGGCAUUCACAACCACACCGAGCAAUCAAGACCCUCGUGACAGGCUGCAUCCAAGGCCACCAUUGCACCUGCAACCGCGACCGUGCUGGCCCAAUCGCUCGUACCUGCAGCUGCUGCGUGAGCACCUCGGCGCUUAGGCUCGCGCCCGCCCCGGCCCCAGCCGGCGCCACCUCCACCACCGCCGCCUGUAUCUGCUGCGGGCUGCAGCCCAGCCGCCGGUAGUAGGCCAGCAGGCCGUCCAUCUGGGGGCGCGGUGGGGAGGCAGCGAUAGCAGCAGAGGUGGCCGAGAGCGGGGAGACGGGGGCGGGGAACAGUGAGGGCGGAGUUUUGCGGGCGACAACGGCCAAGAGGUUGGGGCGCUGAGUGGCGGGCGCCUCCGCAGUUUGCGCGCCACCGUGCGGGGACGCCAACACCGAACCAUAGCGCCCCGGACGCACAGGCGUCCACACGCGUACACACCUGCACUCCCGAGUCGAAGCCCUCCUGCCGCUCCACAAACUGCCGCAUCAGGCCGGUCAGGGUCUCCGGCUCACAGAAUGACGGCGUGGCUGCGCUGUCCGCGGCACCGGCUGCGCUGCCACUGCCACUGCUACUGCCGCCGUCGGCCUCGGCGUCCGCCGCAGCGGCAGCACUUUGCAAGCCAGAUCCCGGCUCCUGGGCUGACGUCAUCACAGCCGCCGUGUCCGAGAGCCGUGUCUGCUGCUGUCCCGAUGUCUGUGUCUGUUGCUGCUGCUGCUGCUCCUGCAGCUGCCGGAGCCGCUGCGCCAGAGCGAAGUUGCCGCCCUCGCCUGAUGCAGGCGGAGGCACAGGCGGAGCCGGCUCCGUCAGGGACGGCGCCGACACCGCCUGUGAGACAAUGGUCGUGGCGGCAGCGGCUCCUAGGAAGGGGUUCGGCGGCAGUGCCUGCACUGUUGCCACCGCCUCGCCGCGGCGGCGGAAUAGCGGCGGCGGCAGGCGGGCCACGUGCAGCCGGUGGCAGGCAGUGCUCAGCUGGCGUGCCCCGCCGACAACUGCUGCGUGCGCCCGCAGUGAAGUGCUGGAAAGCCCUGGACCUGUCAUUGUUGUGGCUGUGGCCUGCAUGAUGGUGUGUUUACUUAAUGUGUGUCGGCACGCACGUGGAAUGGCUAUCAGCCAGACGAAGGCUGUGGCUUGCCGCUGCGUGGCCCAGAGCUGGCUGGCGCGCCGCUGCUGCGCGCUGAUGGACCAGUGAACCCCCGAGCCCCCUGAUGCGCUGCAGCCCCCCCUGAAUCAACCGUGAGCGGCGUCCUUGCGUCGCCCUCGCCGUAGCGCUUGAACAGCGCGCGGUACUUGGCGAGAAAGACCAGGGCCUCAAGCUCGCGCGCCACGUACUCCCCUCUGCCCAGGGCCUGUUCCAGCGAAGUGUUCUCAGCCAGAGGGCGCUUGAACGCGCUUUGGAGCUUGUUGCGGGCGUCUGUGAGCCCCCGCGGAUAGUCGCGGCCGAGAAAGAUCAAUCUCUUGUAGAGCUGCCGAAUUCUGGGGUCCAUCCACCAGUUUCCAGCGUCUGUACUUGGCGAUAUUGUAGUUGGAAAGCACCUCGUCACUUGUGACAUAUAUUUGCGGGAGGGGGACGUAACCACUCACUAACUUUCGCGUCGUUUCGUCAUUGCGAUCCGGUGUUCUUGACUUCUUCACUCGAUGGGGCCCCUUACCCUGCAAUGCAUACCAAUUUGUGCUUAAUACCUUCAUAAUCCUACUGCAGCACACUUAUAGUCCCUUUCUGAGUUGCAGCGUGCACUUGCAACCUCGUAAAGACCUGUUAACAUUACGGCGUUAUUGAGCUCACAAUCAACCUGUUGAAAUACAACCAGCGUCAAGAGGAGGUCCUGCGUUUUUUAGUGCCACAGUUCUAAACAGUGGCAUUCAACCCCCGGAGUUUGUCUCGGCGGAACCACUUGAACUUUGCGCAACUGACCAAAAUGUGUCUUUAGUAGGUGAGACAUUUGAGCGGUAACCAAACCGCAUGGCGAUGCGGUCCGCGUCCUCUGCUUCUCGCGCACACUUUGGCAAAACGUUGGCCUCAUAUGAUGGGAAUGACACAACCGUGUCCUCUCACAUUGGUGCUGAUCCCGGGCUUGGACGUAUGGGAGCGGGUUGGGCACCCUCGCGACAAGUCACACAGCACGCGCUCCCCCCUCGCCUGCAGGUUGUAUACAACUGACCCCAUGUUCAGGGCGCGGUUCAGGGUCGCCAUGGCCCACCACACACGCAGCCCCUAGCUCACACUGAGCUGCCUCGUGAAGCUACCCAGUCGACACGCGACUCAACCAUGGUCCGCAAGGCUGUUCGCACCUACUCACAGAUCCUCACUGAUUUUGAGAAGUCGGAUGCACAUGACGCCCGCAUCCGGGCCUAUUACGAGCCCGCAACGCCGCCAGGCGGCGGCGGCGGCAACGCAGCUGCUGCUACUGCCGGUGCUACUGCUGCCACUGCUGCCGUCAGCGGCUCUGCCACUGCGACGCGGCAGCGCCCGGCCAGCGCCAGCGCCGCUAGCGUCUCCGGCGGCGGCGCGACCGGGCAGCGGCGGCACCGCUACUCGCACGUCCUGGACUGGAACGACGACAUCACCGCCAUACUCAACAUAGACAAACACGACGGCGGCGUGCGUGCCGCCAGCGCCGCCGGAGGCGCCGCCGCCGCCAGCAGCGGCCGCGCCUCCCGCGCGCUGGCUGCGGCGCUGCAGGGUGCAGUGGAGGCGGCGGCCAGCAUGAAGUUGUCACCGGCGCCCACCUCGCAGCCCGCCAGCAAGCUGGCGGAGCGGCUGCUGCGGGCCACAACCGCGCCGCUGGCGCCGCCGCCGCCGCCAGCGUCAGGGGUAGGAGGGGGAGGCGGCCUGGUGAGCACGGGCUCGCGCAGCGGCACGCCGGCAGCUAUGGGCACCGCCGGCGGCGUUCGGACGGCGUGGGGCGCAGGCACCAGUGCAGGGGAGCAAGGAGCGGCUCCGGGCUCGCCGACCGGGCGGCCGGGCUCGCCCAAACGGACAGCAGGCGGCGUGCUGACCGGCGGCGUGGGAGACCUGCACGGGGUGCCGGCUACUGGGGGCGGGCCACUACUGUCGGCAUCCGCGCGCCUGAUGUACUACGGCCACUCGCGGCAGCGGCCCACCAGCGCAGUCGGCACGGCAGCGGGUGCAGGGGCCGGCGGCGCCGGCGCCCGCGGCGCUGCCGCGGCUGGCAGCACAGGCCGUGGGGUCCGGCCCACCUCGGCACCCAUCCACGCCACCGCGCACCCGGGCGCGACGUUUCCGCUGGGCGCCGGCGCCGCGGCGCGGCCGGCCUGGGCGGUGGCGAGCCUUGGCGCUGUGGUGGGCUCCGCCCCCAACGCGGCGGCGGCGGGUGCGGCCAACACGCUCUCGCCCAAGCGCCGCCGGCCCUUCUCCGCGCGGCCCGCCAGCGGCGCCGCCAACCUGCGCGCCUCCAGCUUCCACUACCCGGGCGCCACCGCACCGGGCGCAGCUGGAGCGGCCGCGGCGGCGGCGAUGGCGGGCGCCGCCGCCUCGCCCUAUGCCGCCUCCAGCGCCGCCUACGUCAGCCGCCGCCGGCCGGCCUCCGCCUACCCAUCGCUCUCCGCCACCGGCACCGCCGCCGCCGACGGGCGCAGCCUCAGCCUCACCAUGCCGCGUGACGCCGGCGGCGGCGGUGCGACUGGCGCCGGCGCCUGGUCGCCUCCUGUGUCGCCGGGGCCCGCGGUGACCAAGUCCGUGGCUCGCAACCUUGGAGUGGACCCGCGCUCGCUAGCACUGACGCAGCCCAAGCGCGGGCCCAGCAACGGUCUGGUGGUGCGGGACCCGGUGGGGCCGCAGCUGGUGCCGGCGCGGCGGCCCGCCUCCGCCUCCGCAUCACGACCCGCGUCGGCGGCGGCCGCACGGCCGAUGUCGGCGGGCCCAGGCGGCGCGGGUGGCGCCGCCGGCGCCGGUUACACCGCUGCGUUUGCUGCAACUGGCGGCGCGGGAGGGAGCGGGCGGCUGGAGGGCAUUGUGGAAGCGGGCGAGGCCUUGAGCAGGACACACCCGCAGCACCAGCAGGGCCUGCGGCCGGAGGAGAGCGCGCUAAGCAGCCGCACAGGCAUGUCGCUCACCUCCUCCGCACCCGGCGGCGGCGUCAGCGGCAGCGGCGCGGCGGCGGCGGCUGCCGACGCCAGCCUGGCGCGGCGCCGGCACGGGGCGCUGUCGGCAGCGCGCAAGACGCUGUGGAACCGGAUCGCGGACGCGGCCGGCCUCGCGCCGUACGAAAUCCAAAGUACGGAUCCCGAGGUGCUGGCGGCGGGCGGGCCGGCGCUGGGCGGCGGCGGCGACCCCACCACGGCGGCGACGGCGGCGGCGCUGGCAGCGGGCGCUCCUGGCGGCUCGGAGUACCUGGCGGCCUAUUUAGCGCAGCAGGCGGCGGCGGGGCCGGCCGGAGGCGGCAGCGGCGCCGGCAGCCGGCUGGGCUCCCGCGGCCCCUCCACCCGCCCCUCCCGCAGCGUCAGCCCCGAGCCCUUUGGCAUGGCCAACGCCCCCAGCAUGCCAAACCGCGGCGCAGGGGCUGCUGCAGGCGCGGCAGCUGGGGUGUGGCCGACGUUUGGGCAGUUCGCGGCGUCACAGCCCUACUCGCACCUACACCCGGAUGCGGCGGCGGCGGGCAGUGGCGGCCGGGCGCAAGCGCAGGUGCAGUUGGGGUCGGGCUUUGGCACCACAGACGUGGAGUUGGUGGCUGGGUCGAGGGUGCGGGGCCCGGCAGGCGCGGCGACGCCCGCACCUGAGCCCGAGGGCGGCGCCCCGGGGGCAGCCGGCGGUCGGGAUGCGGACCCGUCUGCGCUGAUGGCGCAGGCGGCGGCGGCGGCCCGCCGUGAGCUGCUGGUGGAACGGGCGCCGGGUGAGCAGGCAUACGGCCAGGAGGAGGAGCAGGAGGAGGAGCAGGAGGAGGAGCAGGCGGUGGAGGCGAAUGAGGUGGAGGAGGAAUGGCAGCAGGCGCAGGAGGGCGGCGAGGCGGCCGGGGGCUCGGGGGCUCGGCUCCGCAAGGGCUCCGUCGUGCGGCGCCCCAGCACCCGCAACGUCCACGCCGCCGCCGCCUUUCCUGAAGACGAUGACGAUAAGGUGGAUGAGGAGGAGGGCGAGGCCCGGGCUGUGGCGCCGGGUCAGGACCGGUGUAACGGGGAGGGGCUGGCAGAGGGGCAGGCAGCGGAGGAGACGCCUGCGGACGAGGCCGACGAGGCCGAGGACGAGGCCGAGGGCGAGGAGGCAGGCAGCUACGGCAGCUACUCGGACGAGGGCGGCAGCUCGCCCGCUGGCGCCGCCGCCGCCGCGGCCGCCCGCCGCCACGUGCAGUGGGGCGCCAACGUGCACUCGCCGCGGCCCCACAGCCACCAAACCACCGCCAUCACCGCCGCCCCGGCUGCUCCUGCGGCCGCUGCGGCUGCAGCUGCCGGCAGCCACCACCGCCCGGCCUCGCCGACUGGGGGCGGCGCCAGCAGCCUCCGCCGCACCACCAGCAGCACCAGCAGCGGCGGCAGGCAAGGCGCCGCCACCGCCGCACACGGCACCCACGAGCCGCAUGGCCGCCCGCCGCGUCCCCACAGCCAAGCCCAGGGCCACAGCAGCCACGGCCACACACACGGCCGCUCGCCGCCCUCACACCCCAAGCCGGUGCCGCAGUACCCGCACCCCUCACUCAACCAGCACGCCGCCGCCGCCGCCAAGGCGCGCGCCAAGGCCCGGUCCAAGGGCGGCCGCGCGCCGGCCCGCCGCGGGGCCGUCGACGAGCUGCCCUCCGUGGAGGUCACCACCGCCGCGGGCUCCCUGGGCCGCGCGCGGCUGUCAGUGCAGGGCGGGGACCCAGGGGAGGCGGCGGCGGCGGCGGCGGCGCAAGCCGCCGCCGCGGCGGCGGCGCGGCGCGGUAGCGCCGGCGGCGGCAGCGGGCAGCAGCACCCGCAGCAGCGCAGUGUGCAUGACCUGCUGCUGCCGUCCGGUGGCGGUGCGGCUGACGAGCCGGCCUACACGGACAAGGGCUUCUACGAGCUGGUGGCGCGGGUGGAGGAGCCGGCGGAUGUGCAGGUGGGAAGCGUGCCGGGCGGCGGCGGGAGUGUGCCGUACGUGCGUGGCGCAGCCCGUCCCUUUGUUGCACGAGCAACCCGCCCAUGUUGUCCUUCUCCCCUCACCCCUCAGGGCUGGCUCUUCAACGUCUACCUCACGGAGAUAGUGCCCGGCGAGUCCGUCGCGCGCCGUACCUGCGUGGCCGCCUGCGUCUCCGCCGACGCCCACAACCAACUCCUGGUCCCGCAACCCGCACCCCCCGCUCCCCCAUCCACCGCCCCAUCCCCCGCUUCAUCCGCCGCCGACGCCCGGCCCGGCACGGCGCUGCUCUCGCCGCCGCCCCUGCCCGCGCCUCCUGCCGUGGGGCCGCUGAUCAGUCCUGCCGACCUGUUGCCCUGGGUGUCUCGCCCGGAGCAACUGUUCGGGCACUGGCUGCGGCUGGAGGCGUACGCCAUCGCGCCGGUGGCUGAGAAGGUUGUGGACGGCGUGACCUUCAUGGGGUUGCUGGAGGACGCCCAGGACCCGCCGCCGCCGCCCAAGCUGUCCAAGCUGCAGGUGUGGAGGGAGGGAUCGGGAGGGAUAGGGAGGGAGGGAGGGAUAGGGAGGCGUAAGGAGGACGCGAGGGUGGGGAGGACAGGGCUGCAAACCAUGGGUGGGGUAGUUGUGGCCGUGAGCUGCGGGUAGAGCACUGACCGCCCUGUGCUGCCAUGUCUGACCAUGCCUUCGUCGUACCGCUCAACGGCUCACAGGUUGUGGAGGUGCGGCCGGUGGGCAGUGACGCGCCGGGCUCGGGCCGCACCAGCACCAGCGGCCUGGGCGGCGGCGGCGGCGCGGGCGGAGCCGGCGGUGGCGGCGGCGCCAUGCGUUGGAGCGGCAAUGGUGGGGGGUCCGGCAUGGGCAUGGGUGUGGGUGUGGGGGGCGGGCCGUCUUUCCGCAUGAGCAGUAAUGGCGUGGGGGUUAUAACCCCGCCGUUGCGGCUCAGCAAUAGCGGCGUGGGGGCGCUGCCGCUGCCCAUGAGGCUGAGCAGCAGCGGUCAGGGCGCGCGGACCAACAGCAAUGGACUGGCGGCGGCGGCGGCGGGGAUGGUGGGCGGUGGCGUGGGCGCCCCGGCGGCGGGCCUGGCGGGUGGCAGCUUCCGUGGAGGCCGGGCGGCGGACUCGGCAGCGGCGUUUGGGACGGGAGCGGGCGCGGCGGGAGCCGCCGGCGGGGGAGUGCCGGCUCCGCGGGCGAGCAACAGCGGCCGCAGGAUUGCGAUGUGAGCUACGUGCGAGAAGGAUUGAACUUGGGGGGAGGGGUAGUUGUUGGGUGUUUGUGUAUGGGCACCGGACGCCUGUGGCAGAGGCCGCGGCGUGGGUGGCUCGCGCUGUGUGGGGUGUCGGUCGGAAUAAGCAUUGACCAGGAAUUAAUCGGGUGGCUGCAUUGUUUAGUUAGGACUUGUAAAUUGCAUUAGGCUAGGUCGUGUGAAGAGCUCGAGGCUGUGUUGAUUAUAAGGAUUGACGCUCAGGGCAUGGCGCUAAGUGGGACCCCAUGUCACAUGCCACACAGGCGUGCGUGUGGCUGGACAGACAGGCAGGCAGGCAGGGUGAUUGCUCCAUGUGCGCGUGUUACAUAUGCAACACUGUUCCGCUUCCGUGAUGUGCCCCGGCAAGCACCGUGGUCUACACACUUUCUUGUCUGACAGACAUUGGCAGCACGAGUGGAAGCAGGCGGAGGGGGAGACUCGGCCACGACAGCACCACACCACCACAUGCACCAGACUGCACGUAAACCAGACCCGUGCACCCUCUGCACCGCCACCAUGCCACUGCCAUGCACCGCCACCAUGCCACUGCCAACCCCAUCGCCUGCAGCUCUCCCUCUCCUAGCGGCCCAUGCCGGGGCCGUGUGUCCCUUCGCACGCGCCUAGUGCCGCGCCUUGGCCCGGGAGCCCGGCACGGCCUUCACGGUGGCGCCAGACUCCGGGCCGCCCAGGUCACGGAACUGCAGGCAGCACACCAGGAGGGGCAGCGGCGGGAGUGGGGGCAGGGACAGGGGCAGGGGCAGCAGCAGUAGGAGCAGGGGCAGGGCCAGGGGGCGGAAGCAUGAGGAGCAGGGGCAGGAGGAGGGCAGCAGCAGGAGGGCGGCGGGCAGGAGGGGAACCAGAAGGCGCGCGGGCGGGAGCUGAUGAGUUUGGUGGCCUUGCAAAGCACCGGCCACAGUCGCUGCACAAAGCCAUUAACGACACCGAGUCGUUGCCUUCCUCUCAGGGGUCGUAUCUUGUUUUUGGGGUGAUGUCUAGCUCCAGACAAAAACGGCUGGGUGGCUGCCGUCUUUUGUCUGGGCACAUGGCGGUUUGGGGGCUUCCCCAUAGGAACUCGGACAAAACCCGCCCCAAACCCGGGCCAACAAAGUCUUGCUUCAGACAUUAGCCCCCGGGAGGAAUGUCUAGGAAACGGCCAAAAUGGCCGAUUAAUGUCUGGAGACAUUAAGAUAGGAGCCCUGCUUCCUCUCUUUCACAAGUCCCACCAAACCGAGUCCCACUGCCGCUCGUUGCUAUACCCUGCCGGGCCUCCCGCACCGUCACCCGUCGUCAGCUGGCGCCCCUCCACUCUCCUGUCUCCUCCACCAUCAACACGCGGACGCGACGCGCUCAAGGCUCACCUCCUGCUCCUCCCGCUGCCGGCGGCCCUCCGCUGCCGCCUCCUGCUCCGAGUGCACCGCCGGCGCCCCCGCCACGCCCAUCUCGGCCGCCGGCACCUCCGCCAGGGAGCCCAGCUCGCGGUCGUCCUGCAGGUGCGGUGUGAGGGGGAUGUAGGUGGGAGGCGGGCAGACAGACGGCAGCAAGGCAGAACCGAGGGAGGAGUGAGAGGAGGGCCCAAGUCACGCAGCCGCAAGGCCGGGGGGCACGCCGGCAUAGGCAGAGCGGAAUGGCGCAUGCUGGCGAGAGCAGGAUGACACAUGCAGCAGGGCGGGGGGGAGGGCCCCGCCAGUGAAUCGCCCAGGAGCCGCUCCACCCUGCCGCACCACCCUGCCGCCCCCCCUUCUCCGCCACGGCCUCACGGCUUCUCCGCCACGGCCUCACGGCCUCACGGCCUCACCGGGUCGCGCUGCUGGCGCUGCUCCCGGGGCUCCAGCUGCAAGGGGCCGCCCGGCAGCACCCCAGACAUGGCGGCCGCCGCCUGCUGCGCCGCCGCCUGCUGCUGCUCCGGCGGCUGGCCGCGGCCGGGCAUGACGCCACCGCCCAGGCUGGCGCCGCCGGUGGUGGCGCUGCCGGGGCCCACCGCGGUGGCUGGCUGGCUGCGGGGGUCGAGGCGGGGUUCAGCGCGAGCCGCGAGGGGGAUAAGCACAGGCGCCGCGGAACCAGGGAAGGGGCUAGCCACUCAGGCAACAUCGCCGGUCUGGGGCAAUGCAACUGUGAAGCACCGCCACCAUGCCACUGCCAUCCCCCAUCGCCUGCAGCUCUCCCCCUCCUAGUGGUCCAUGCCGGGGCGAUGUGUGCGGCCAGCAUACGGCCCUAGUGCCGAGGAGUGCCGCGCCUUGGCUCGGGAGCCCGCCACGGCCUUCGCGGUGGCGCCAGACUCCGGGCCGCCUAGGUCACGAAACUGCAGGCAGCAGAAUCCGUUGCAGGGCCGGUCUGAGGCGGUAAUGGAACAGAAGCGGCAUCCACUGCACCUUGUGCCCUGGCACGACGUGGGCUGUCCUGAUAGGAGCCCUACGCGGCUGUGGCAGCGCAAUCCCACGCGCUCUGUGGCGUGGGGGUGGGGGCGAGGUGCUGUGUGGCAACCCCGCCUGUUGCAGCCUGGCAGCCGACACGCGCGGCCCGUAGCACCCCUGGUGCCAGUGGCACGGGCGGCGGCCAACGGCGAAUCAAAAUGUGGCUCCAGUGCGGUGUGGUGCGGCACUGUGGUGGCGCCAGGGCCUGCUGGAGCACUGAAUGGAGGCUGGUAGGCGCAUGAGCGCCGCUGGAAACACGGGCUGACCCCUAGCAAUGUCGUGAGACCAAGGAACCCAAAUUCCAUCCAGCCUUACAGCACAAACCAGUGGCUCCCAGCCGGCAGCCUUGCUAGUGGGGUGCCAAGACGCCACACCCACAGCACGAGCUUAAGAACCCAGUUAAGAACCCCUACGUCCGCUGUGCACGCAAUGGCGUGCCCUUCAGCCGACGCACCCCCGGUGACGUCAAGCCCCCAGCAGGAACUCAGUUGCUACAUUCCGGGAACGUCCAAGCCAGUCAAAUGCUCUCUCGCCAUGACGUCCUCCCUCUUUCCUGAUUAGUUGCGCCUCCAGGGGCGCCCACACACAUGUACAGCAUGCACGACCGGCGGUUGCCACCUGGAACCGAAGCCGCACCGCAACGCCCGCCGCUCGCUCGCUCUUGUGCUCCCCCACCCACGCAACCUCCAGCCCCUCCGCCCCUACCUACGUACGCCGCCAGGGCUUUCUUCCACACACCCACGUGACACCCAACCCCACUGCCCCAACCCCACCCGCUCCUCCUCCUCCUCCUCCUCCACGCAUACACCACAACAGGCCGCCCCAUCUUCCAACACCCCAGCACCUCAGCAGCGGCCCCUUACUCUGCCAGCAUGCGCUCGCUGUCCACGUUGUCGUGGUCCUCCACCUCGGGCGCCCCGCCGCGCGGCCCGCUGCCCCUGUCCUUUUUGGACAGGCCGCUCACGAUGUCGUCGAUGCGCAGCAGCAUCUGCGCGCUCUCCACCGCCGUCUUGAUGGUCUGCGCCUUCACCUGGUACGGCUCCCACACGCCCAGCUCCUUCAUGUCCUUCACCUGCGUGUGUGUCAGUGUGUUUUGUGGCGUUUGGGGUCAGGGCGGGUCGGUGUCACCGCGGGUCGAGGCUAGAGGAAGUUUGCGGCUUGGGGAGCAGAUGACUGUGUGGGUGCGUUUGGUGCGGGGUAGUUGUAGACCGCGGCCUCCACAGGUCGCGGUAUGGAAGACGACGCGGUGCGCCUACCCCCACCCAGCCCGCGAGCCUCCCACGGCCUGCUCACCUCGCCCGACUCGCCGUCGAUGCCCCAGCAGCAGGCGGCGCUCUCCGCGUGCUUGGCGCGCAGCUUGGUGAGCGUGCGGAUGACGUUGGCGCCGCAGUUCUGGGCCAGCGUGCGCGGGAUGACCUCCAUGGCCACGCCUGCCCAGUGGCGGGUGGUGGGGGUGGUGACCGGGAUGGUGGACACGCACUUAGCAAUCGGUACACGGCACCAAAGCCGGGUGCCGAGGCGCCCACAGGCCAGAGCAGGCAGACAACCAACCCCCAGCCCAGCCUACCCGCUCUCAGACCUCGCUUCCCCAUGACCUGUACCGCUGCCGCGCCGCGCCGCCCCGCCCGAUCUUCCAGUGGCCUCAACUCACCCACGGCCUUGUAGGGCCAGGACUCCACGCCCUCCACGGUUGCGGCGCGCAUGGCCAGUCCGUGGCUGACCGCCAUCUCGCAGGCGCCGCCGCCCGGCACCAGGCGCGGGUCCAGGCAGAUGUUGCGGGCCACACCCAUGGCGUCAGUCAGGUUGCGCUCCACCUGGAGGAUGGGCGAGGGCGGGGACGAGCCAACCAUGAUUAGCUAGGCGGGGUGUGUGGGUUAGUGGGUUGAGUGCGUGGGGAACAGGGGUGGGAGUUUGGCGACGUGGGUGUUGUGUAGGUGUCACUUCAUGGCCCAGCCUGGCUCAGUGCAUGCGUGAGCUGCGGCUGAAGCGCGCGGACAGCUCAACGGCGCCUGCUGCACACUGGCGGGCGGAGGCGGGGGGUGGCGGCUCUCACCUCGUUGAGGAUGUCCUUGGAGGCGCCGCGCAGCAGCACCGUGCAGGCCUUGGGCGCCCUGGAGGGGGGGGGACGCGGGCGGGGAGGAGCAGGGCACAUACCGUACGGUUCAAGCAGAGCACAUACCGAGCCUUCACCCGGCUGCACACGACACAAACACACCGGCGCCCUUCCCCAUCCUCGCCCGCACGCACUUGCAGUCCACGAUGAAGGUGAAGAACUCGUCACCGAUCUUAACGCACUCAAACAGGCCCGCCCCCGUGCCGAUGUCCGACUCCUUGAUCUCGUCCGUCCUGCGGGGGUUUGCCAGCAAGGAGCGUCGUCAUGGUGUCAAUGUUGUUGUUGGUGGGGACCGCAAUUGGCGCGGCGACGGCAGCCGAACUCGCCCUUUUGUGAAAGGCACGAGCACCGCUCACAUCCAACGCGGGCGGCUUUUGCCAAAAUGCCCGGACAAACGGCGCCCUCCUGCACCACAUCCCCUGUCCUCCCGGGCCCUCACGAUCACCCACCGGUUGACGAUGGUGGCGCCGCACGCGCGCGCGAUGCGGUUGUUGUCGGUCUUGCGCAGGCGGCGGAUGGCGGACACGCCGGCCUUUGUGAGGUAGUGCGCCGCCAGGUCUGACAGGCCCUUCUCCGUGACCACAACGUCCGGCUUGAAGGCCAGGAUGUGCUCGCACUGGCGCUGGAUCUGCUCCUCCUCCUGCUUCAGCAGCGCCGCCCUGUGAAUGUGUGUUUAGAAAGUGCAGGUGCAGCGGCGCGCGCGUGUGUGUGUGCAGGGGUGCGCGAGACCGCAUGAACAUGCACGAGAGGUCCGCAACUGCGCAUCAGCGGCUGCCAAGGUGGAAGGCGCGCGUGACUGCGGUUGCAUCUUGUCCCGCUCUCCUCUGCCGGCCCCGCCCGCCCGCUCCCAGCUGCAAAGCGCCAUAAGCCGCUGCGCAGCUGCCACUACGCAGGUCUGCGGCCUGGCUGGUAGCCGGUGAAGUGGGCCCAGCACCCCCUGCCCCUGCUGCUCCAGUCCCUGGUUGCGCCGUGGCGCACCCCGGGCACUCGGCCGCGCCAGCACAUGCCGGGCCUGCAAGCUCGGGCCCGGCUCGCCAGGACUACUGGCCGUACUCCAGCUGCGUGUCCUCCAGUUGACACGGCCGCCUCUGCUGUAUCGACUGCCGCAGCUGCACGCCUCCGCCGAGCAGGCUGCCGAGCUCCACCAUAGCGGUAAAGCGCGCGCCGUGGCGUAUCAUGGACAUUUCGCGCUGACCCAGCGCUCCCCAGGGCGUAUCUCGUGCGCGUUCGGGUUGCCCCUCCUGGCACCCGCUGCACCCAACCCGCUGCCCGCGCCCCCGCCACCACCACUUCUACCACCGCCUCUUCCAUUCCCCAACCAACCCGCCGCCACCCUCUGCUACCCACGCACCAGUCCUCCUCCUUGCUGAGCUCCACGUUGGUCUGGUUCUCGCCCUUCUUGUACUCCAGCGGGCAGUCCAGCAGCAGGAUGCGCGGGUUCUCAAUGCGCCGCCGCAUGCGGCCCGGCACCACCACGUCCUUGUUGAACAUCACACCUGCCGGGACAGGGGUUGCGAGGUUGCGGCAGAGGGAACAAGGUAAGGGUGGCCCAUGGCGUUAAGGUGUAUGUGUAGCUGUUCAUGGAGAACGGAGUGAUAUAUGGAUGGGAAAGACGGACAACGACACAGAGCCCCGCAUGAGUCAGAGCCCCGCAUGAGCGACAUUGCACGAGUGCUACCGCCCUGCUCACCCACGGCCUGUCCGCUCCUCGCCCGUUGCCUUCAGUGCCUCCACCCCCCCAAAACACACCUCCCACCCAGCCCACUCCAGCACCCACCCUUGAGCACGCGGCAGUCCUCGAUCUGGCCUCCGGGGAUCUUCUCCACCUUGGCGUAGUUCUUGAUGUCGAUCUCCUUGUGGUCGCCGUGGUUGACAGUCACGAUCUCCACCGCGUCUAGAGCCAGCUCCUGCGCGCGGGUGGGACGGGGUAGAGGGGUUCGUGAGGAGGAAGGGGAGAGCGGCGCAGGUGUGGGCGCGUGUGGUCACCGACGUGACGGUGCGGGUCUGGCGGGUGAUGGGGAUGGGGCGGGCGAUUACGGCCCAACGCAGCGCUGACGGGCUGAGAGGCAGGACAGGCGGUGGCUGCGGCCCCGUGCCUCGUCUGGGCGCGACGGUCUGGCACCAGGCCCAAAACAGCUAUGCCGCUGAUGCCGUGCCGCUGAUGCUGACGGGGUGGGCUGCCAUCUCUGCAUGCCAAAACCCAGCCCCGCUCCCUCUUCUGCUGCAACCCGACAGCGGCUGCAGCCAGGGUGUGGCCGCCAGCGCCGGCACCGACCCGACAGCUGACGCCGACCAGCCGCAGCAACACACGCCCGGUGCGCCCGCCCCUGCCUGCCUCUUCCCCUGCUGGCCCCGCUCCCUUGCCGCAUGUGAUGAGGCCGCCGGGCUGCGGGAGGCCCUGAUGAGCCCGGCAGCAGCGGCUGUCACCACCGCACUGUGCUGCCGCAACCGAGCUGCAGUGCAGCCGGGGGCAGUCCGCCGCACUCCAAGGACCCGCCGCCAGCGCCGAAACGACAGCGCCACUCGUGCCGUUCGCCGUGGCCCCAACCUGUGCGUGGGCUCCCAGCUCCACUGCAUGUCUACCGCGUACCGCUGCAUGAUGCGCUGCCUACGCCGCCCGCCCUUCUGCUUGCUCCCUGCCGACUGUGCAGGUGGUCCGCCGCAGUUGCUGCCGAAUCAAGAGCGGUCUGCCGCUGGCGCUACCCCCUCCCCCACAGCUGUGUUGCUGGCCGCCCGGCCGCAUGCGUGGGCGAGGGCACCUCUGCUCCGAUGGCCACUGGCGGGCUUUGGCCUUGUGGUUCAGCAGCUAUGCCACACCCACGAACGCUCGGAAACACAUGUGCGGUGUGCAGCCCCUGCAAACGUGGUGUUCUCCAGUACCGGCAGCACCCUGUCCCGAGUCCCACCCGGCAUCAAACACCCUGUGCAAGCCCAAUGCUCCAGCCGCUUUCCCCUCCUUUGCAAGGGCCGCCCUCGCCCUAACGAGCCACGCAUGCCGCCGAACGCACCGCCAUGAGCGUGCCGAAGCGGUGCGUGAAUUUGGUGCCAAUGCAGCUGUUGACCACGUUCAUCAUGUGCUUCCGGUCGUUGGUGUCGAUGGGGAACGCCAGCUCGUCAAUGAUUUUCACUGAGUCCUCCAGCGCCUUAGCAAAGCCGCGGACAAUCACCGUGGGGUGAAUGUUCUUCUCCAGGAAAGGCUCCGCCAUGUGGAGCAUCUCGCCAGCUGCGAGGAUUUAGGGGGAGUGCGAGAGCCGUAGGGGCGCGGGGGUUGAGGGACGCGGGUGUCGGUGCCGCGCAGCCGAGGGGCCGCCGGGGCCGCGCGAAUUCCCGAUCCCUGACCGUCUCCCGAUAGGCUGCUAUACUUACCUAGGAUGAUGACGGACGUGGUGCCGUCGCCCACCUCCUCGUCUUGCGUCCGGCUCAGCUGGAUCAUCGACUGCGCGCCAAAGAAGACCUUUCAGUGUUGGCCGCGGACCGCCCGCACACACCGGACAUACCUUGGCUGCCGGAUGGGAUACGUCAAUCUCACGAAGGAUGGCGUGGCCAUCGUUUGUGAGCACAAUUCCGCCGUUGGGGUCUAGGAGCAUCUUAAGCAUGGAGCGCGGCCCCAGCGUGGUUCGAAUGAUGUCCGCGACAGCCUGCGAUCAAACCUUUGUUGAAGCUCCGACCUGAAAAGCAGCCUGCCAGGUACCGGCUCCCGCUCUCUGCACACCUUAGCUGCCGCAAUGUUGGCAAACUGGGCCUUCUUGCCCGUUUCGCGCUUCGUGUUAGCAUUGAGCACCGUCACCGGUAGCUGCAUUUUGGCCUAACUGCUUGUCAAAUACAGCACAGGGCAAAGAGAAGAAAGCAAUCUGACUUUGUAGUGUCUCAGCGUUGCGUAGUUCCCUUUGUGACCUGCUAUAUAAGACUGUGCUUACAGAGAAAUGCUCAUCCGAUUAGGUUCAGGAGUCUAUGCCGGGGUGCGAGACGACUCCCGCGACUCUGCAUGGGGCGUGCCAUUCCGCACGGUUUUGGGGUCCGCCUGAUAGUCCCCGUGUUGUUCAGUAUGUUGCACUAGCAUUACUGUGUGUCCCGAAAUGCUCUAGCGGUAACUGGGUAGCAGGGUUGGGCCCAACGAGAUAGAGCGGACGACUUAGCGCUGUGAAAUGGAGAAAUACUUGGACCUUACGGCGAUCGGGUGAGGAUAACUGCAAAUGCAAAACCUUGGGGACCGUUCCUGAAGCUCGGGGCUGUGUAUCCUCGGGAAUUUCGCAGGCAGGGCCAGUAUGGCACAGCCUAUCGUGCCAAGGACAAGUAUGAUAAUCAGCUGUACUGCAUCAAGAGGAUCCCGAUGUCCGCCAAGGUAAGCACGCAGCGCACCGGGUGCCCAUGCACUGUUCUGCCGGCUCUGAGUGUGCUUCUUCUUUCGGGCUCUUUACAGGAUGACCAUGCGGGGGCAUUGCGUGAGGCCCAGCUGCUUGAUUCGCUGGACCACCCAAACAUUAUCAGGUAGGACGCGGUUUGUCCGAGAGGCGGGGCAAUGGACAUGCGGUGGGACUCACCGCCGCACUGAUUGCGCCUGCCCCCUUCCCAUAUUCACUCGUGACACGCCAUUAUGUGAUACAGAUACCGUGAGUCCUUUGUCGACAAGGACGGCUCGCUGUGCAUCGUUACCAGGUCCGUCCUUUUCACGGUCGCGUCAGGGCUUUGCAAUCGUGCGGCACGCUUAUUGUAACAGCAAAGAUUUAACGGUCACUGCGCCGAGGUAACCGUUCGCGCCUGCAAACCGCCACGCAGCUUCUGUGAGGAGGGUGACCUGUUCAACCGCAUCCGCAAGAAGGCAGCGGCUAAGGAGUACUUCACGGAGGACGAGGUCAUGAACAUGUUUGUGCAGGUGCGGGAUGUGGGGUUAGAGGGCGGUGGUGGGGUGGGGGCAAGAACGGCACGCAGGCAGGCCCCUGCGUGUCAGGCCAGGGUGUGGGUGCGAUGCACGUUUGUGCAUGUGUGCUGACACUGAUUCUACGGCCUCGUGCAGAUUGCUUCGGCAAUCAGCUACAUCCACUCCAAGCGCGUGCUGCACCGCGACCUCAAGACCCAGAACAUCUUCAUCGCCAAGGGGGGCAUCAUCAAGCUGGGCGACUUCGGUAUUUCAAAGGUGCUGGAGCGGACGGACUCGUUCGCCACCACAGUGACGGGCACGCCCUACUACAUGGCGCCUGAGAUUUGCACGAACCAGCCGUACACCUACAAAAGUGAUAUCUGGUCGCUGGGCUGCGUGCUGUACGAGCUGUGCACACUCAGGUGGGCACUCUACGCGUCUGCGCGGCGGUGCGGCGGGCGUGCAACUCCACCGCCAAGCGCGCCCUGACAACCGGGGCACCCUGACCGGCUGCAGCUGUGCCGACGUAUGCGCUAAACGGCUCUGAAGGCGUGUGUCCUACACACAAUGUCCCCUUCAUUUGUCUGCAGGCACGCUUUUGCCGCAGACAGCCUGCUGUCGCUGGUGUACCAGAUCGUGCGUGGCAACUUCCCCCCCAUCCCCACCGACCAGUUCAGCAACGGGCUCAGCGACCUCGUAAACCGCCUGCUGUGGCGCGACCCCGCCACACGCCCCUCCCUCAGCGAGGUGCGGAGCCGCUCACGGUCUGCAGCGGCCAUGAGGGCGCCCGGGUGGCUAGGUGCACUAGGCUGGGUGCUGUGGGCUGGGCGGCCUGCUUACAGGGGCUACAAUAACAAGCUCUGACAUCAACACAUCGUGUGUGUGCACGUAUCUGUGUCGCUUGUCUGUGCCUGUCUGCGUGCGCGCGUAGGUGUUUAAGCUGCAGUUUGUGCAAAAGCACCUGGACCGCUUCAAGGGGGAGGAGCAGCGCCGCAACCUCAAACAGUCCACCAGCAUUUCGCGGCGCAAGCAGCUGCUGGACGCGCAGCCGGGGCCCGGCUACUCGGAGGUGCGGCCACAGCAGGGAGCGAGGGAGGCACCUGCGGCGAGGGGUGUGGUGGGAGGAAGGUUGGGGGCAAUGAGGCCAGCGGCACUCAAGGCGGACACAGGGGCAGCCAGAGCGUACAGCUGGAGUGCACCAUGCAAGUAACAUGGAAAGCACGACGCUGCGGAACUGAGGUUGACCAUGUGCCGUGGGACACUCAGCCAACCUCGGCGUUUUGGGGCACAAGCGAGUUAGCAAAGGGCAGCUUUGGAAGGGUUGUGUCGGUGUCAACCUGGUUGCUGACCGGCGCGGGGUCGGUUUUUCAUGCUGCCACCGCAGUACGACGGGAACCUGACGCCGAAGCAGAAGCUGGAACGCAAGAAGCAGGUGGACCGCGAGCGGCGCGAGCUGGAGAUGCGGGUGGCGGCCAUGUCAGCCAACAAGAACCGGGAGCAGGUGGGGGGCGGGGAAGGGGGGGGGGGCAGCACCUUGGCAUGGGCAAGGUCGGCCUCUGGGGAUACCCAAUGGGCGCCUGCCCGCCGUCACGUCGUCAUGCCCCGUCCUUCAGCACAGCGCCACGCGCCUCCCUGCCAAACGUUGUACCCACCGACUGAACAUGUCUGCACCCCAAACCCGCGGCAUGCGCAGGUGGCGGCGCGCAAGAAGGAGAUGAUCUACGGCUCCAACGUGGGGCUGCCGGGCGCGCAGGUGCAUCACCAGCCGCCGCCGCAGGAGCGGGGCUUCGAGGACGACGACAUGCCCAACUUGGGCUCCGUGCGCAUCGACGACGGCCCGCGCGCCGCCGCGCCGCCCACGCGCCCCGGCAACCGCAGCAUCUGGGACGUGGAUGUGCCGGAGCCGGGGCCGUCGGUGAACCCCUACGCCGCGACGCUGCCGUCGCAGGCGCGGCAGCAGCAGCAACAGCAGGCGGCGCGGCCGCAGACGUCGCAGCAGGGCGCUCGGGCGUCGCCGGCGGGGAGCGCUGGGCGGCCAGGGGCUGGGGCGCCGCUGCAGCGGCCGGCCACGACGCAGGGCGGCUCACGGGGGACGCCUGGGGCGUACGGCGGCGGCAUGUGGGACGACAGCGAUGACGUGCUGCAGGGGAGCGUGCGGGGGACGCAGCGCACCGUGCGGGCAGGGCUUCAAGGUGCGUGGGGUUGCUUGCGGGAUGCUCUGGGCCAUGGCCGGGCUGCUGCGCCUGGGUGGAGAUGGGCCAGAGCGCCGUGGUAGUCAAGGACGGGUGGGACGGGACGGGAUGACGUAGGGGCGGGACGGCAUGAUGGGUGGGUUGGGACAAACGUACCGUACGCCAAGUGUCCAGGGUCAUAUCUCCUAAACUUGCGCUGGGGGCACACCAAUGCGUCCUACUGACGCCGCAGCCAUGCAUGCGCUCGCAGGCACGGCCAGUGCGAUGGAUGCGGGCGGUGGCGGCGGCGGCAACAACGGCUGGACGUAUGGGCGCAAUGACGACAUGCCCAACAUGGGCACCGUGCAGUUCACGCAGGGGCCGGGCUCCUCGGCCUUCGGCGUGGGCGCUCGCGGCUCGCCGGCGCGGCCGCUGGAGUACACGGCCGGCAACCGCACCGGCGCCUCCGACAGCCCCCUGAUGGGCUCGGUGGUGCUGGGCAACACACGGACCAUGGGGGGCGUGGGCGCGGGCGCGGGCGCCAGCGCGGGCCGGCCAGGCAGCGCCCACAGCCGCGGCGGGCCGGGCGGGAGCAUCCUGUCCGCCGGGCCGGAGCGGCCGGCGUCGCCGUACACCGGCGGCGCGCCGCCGUACGGCCAUGCCCGCCAGUCGCCGGCACCGGAUGCGCGGCGUCCGGCGGCGCAGUAUGGCACGCCACCGGGCGGGAGAGCGGGCGGCGGGUACGGGGCGGCGGCGGGCGGCAGCCACCACGGGCACGGGCAUCACGGCUCUCAUGGCCACGACGACGAGGACGGCUACAGCGAUGACUUCGAGGAGGACGACGACGACGAGGGCGUGGUGCAGCAGCGCAACCGCAUCAUCGCCAAUGUAGAAGGUGGGCCGGCGGGCCGGUGGGCAGGUGGUGCGGAUUGCGUAGUUGUAGCAGCAGAUACGUGACCACAGUGUGCAGUGCGCACGGAAGACGGCAACCUGCCCUAGCAGCCACCUUCGCGGCCCCUGAGCUGCUUUGCUUGACCGCGUGCCUCCGUACAGCCACGCGACACUGAUCCAUUCCUCCCGAUUCUACCGCCACGUCCGCAGACAUGGCGAACCGCGGGUACGACGGGCGCGACGGCAUUGCGGCGGUGCAGGAGCGUGUGCUCAACACGGGCGCCAAGCACGACAAGGCGCGCAUGCUGCGGGCAAACUGCGAGCGCGACCUGGGGUCCAAGUUCAGUGCGGUGUACGACUACCUCAGCCGAGUGCGCAGCCAGAACCCGCCGCCGGAGGAGCGGGAGGUGCAGCGGCGGCUGUUGGAGAUCGUGGGCGACAAAAGCAAGAUGAACGGCACGUUCCAGGUGGACCAGCUGGUAUUCACGGAGCAGAUGUAUCGCGAUAGCUGAAGAGGGGGAGGGGGACGAGGAGCACAAUAACGAGCGUGUGUGUCGGCAUGCAUCUUGAGCAGCGGCUGAAACUAGGUGGUGUUUGUGGGGCAGUGCUGGCAGCGACAUAACCGACUAUGCAAAUAGGAGUGACGUGAGGUGGUGGAGCCGGGAGGCGGGUGGAUAGGGUGGGUGGGUGCGGUGAAGCGCGCGUGUGCACCAGCGCGAGUUCGGAACAUGCAGUCGUAGUCUGGUGGAGCUGGUGGGUGCAUUGUAGGGCGGAUUUCUGCUGGGUGAGGUACUGGUGCUGCGGGAGACUGCAUUCACCGAAGGAUGGAAUGGGCUCGAAUGUGGUGGAAUGCUGCAGGAUGCUGAAUUCAUGAGCAACGGAGCUCUAUCUGACGCGGUACAGUGUGGCAAGCACGGGUUCCUAUGGUGCCAAGACUUGUCACGUAGCAAGCUCACCGCAACGGGUAAAAUCUCAGGGAACUAGGGAACGCUACACCUAUACACCAAUAUGCCUGCUCUCCAAGGCAGUGCCGCUGGGCGUACUGGUUGGUUUUGCCUGGGGCCCCGGGCCUGCAGCGCACAGAACUUCUAGGUGCAGGUGUUUGGGCGUGACGGCCAGGGGAGUCGCAGAGGGUCGCAGGCACAGGCAAGUCCGCGAGUGUAAAAGGGCACGCAUGCAUGGAUCCCAUGGCCCAAACUUGGCCAUUCGCCUGCUGCAGAGCCUUAACACAUUCAUGCUGCCUGCAUAGGCUUCCAAGCCUCUCUCACCGCCAAACCAAGCUGAUGAAUGUAAUAGCGAAUUUUCUUUUCGCUGGACUUUUUUACCGCGGGUCGCAACGCUGAUACCAGUGAUCUAUAUGAACCUGACCUAGAGAACUGUCACAGUUGCGAGGAUGGCAGAGCGGGAAGGAGGAUUCGGGCAAAAUGUGCUCGGCAAGCUCAAGCUGGUCGGGGGCAAGGUGGUGGACUUGGGAGGAACCUUUGCUGGCAAAGUCGUGGAUGUGGGAGGCACCGUGGGAGGCAAGCUGGGCGACAUCGGUGGAAGAAUUGGUUCUCAGAUAGCCAGCUUGGCUGAGACGGACUUUGAGCGCAUGCGGCAGCUCAACCAGAUUGCUAAACAGCAGCAGGACCUGCGACGCAAGUACACGGAGGAGGAGCUGCAAGCGGUGGAGAAGCGGGCAGACCUGGUCCUCGGGCAGCUCUACUCUGGGUAUUUCGAGGCCAACUUUGACCCGGUGGCGUAUGAGCUGUCAAAGCUCAACGACCACGAUAACCAGGACCAUAUCGACGAGCUGGUGGAGCGCCUGACGCUCGGCGUGGAGGUGAGCGACUCCCCAAGGCCGAAGGGUGGCACGGCCACAGGCGUGCCGAUGGGCCUGGUGGACCAGGCAUAGCAGAGCUUGGCUUGGCUAAAUACCGACACUUUUGGUAGGGCCGGGCCCUUUGCGAUAGGGUUCGGGGUAGGGGCAGCGCUAGGCAACGGUGCCUGGCAGAGCGGGGUCCCCUCCCUGCUGCUAUGCCUGCCCCAACACGUUGCGUUGACUGGCGCAGACCGUCAGCGGGCGGCUGUCGCGGCACGUGAACAAGAAGCGCGAUGUGCUGCUGGCGGGCAUUGACCGAGUCGCCGAGGUGGGUGGGCGAUGGGGGUGGGGUAAGCGACUAAGGGCGGGAGCACGGGGCGAGGGUCCGGCUGGCAGAGCUCCAGUGUCGUCCGUCCGGGCAGAGGCUAUGUGUGGCAGUCCUUGGGGCCAGCGCUGUGGGACUCGCGUGAUAUCCCGUGUAUACAUGCCAGCAACUGGUCCAAGCCUCCUCGCUCUAUUGCACUGGGUUUGGUUUGGGCUAGGAUCUGCAACCUACUCAACCCCGUGUCUCAAAACCCCUGAAGGUUGAGGACGACCUGAAGGCCGCCUACCACAUCUCCCGCUCCAGCCGCGCCAGCCUCAAGGCGGCGGCGGAGGAGGUGCAGCGCAACAUGCGCGUGGUGGGGCAGACGCGGCGCAAGCAGGCGUUCAUGGAGAUGAUGGAGGUGGUCAGCAAGAUCAAGCGGGCCCGGGACCUGCAGCACCUGCUCAAGUGAGACGAGGGGGAGCCAGGGAGGGAGGAGGGAGGAGGCGAUGGCCGGGCGCAUGGCUGCGUGGAGUGUAGGGAUGCCGCUGGAGACGCUGUGUGCGGCUGUACGGCUGGCCGACCUCAUGUUCGCUUUUGCUUUGGCUGACCUGAGAUCUGGGCCCUUCCGCGCUCGCAGGAAGUCCCAGGAGCUGGGCGAGUACGGCGACGCCAUCCUGACAUGCGUGCAGUGCUUCCAGGGAAUGGACUCGCUGAGGCAGCUGGCAGUGAGUGCGGGGCGGGGAGGGGGCAGAGGGCAAGACGGGGAUGAGUGCUGGGCGCGGCUUGGGCCAGCUUCGGCGUGGUGGGUGGCUUGUGGACGGCCGCCCAGGUCUGGCCACGGGCCGGAACCUUGCGCUGCCGGACCAUGCUGGGUGGCAUAUACGUUGCCACGGCAUGUCGUUGAGGGGCAAUGAGGCUUUUGCGCGCACGGCCGUGUGUCGCACAGGUGUCCGGCGACCUGCGCGCCAGUGUGCAGCGGGCGUAUGUGGACACGCUGCGGCGCAUGGAUGGCGCGCUCACCAACAUCUGCUCCGAGUUCGACCCCGACAAGUACACCAAGGUGCGCGGGCGCGGGCGUGGGGUGCAGACGCCGCUUCGCCGGCUUGUGCUGGAAAGCUACUGCUGAAGGGCAGCUGCCUGCCCCUUUGACCUCCCCUCCCCGCCAUCCGUCACCGCCAUCGCCACCCAUGACGGCCAUCGCCUAUGCUAAGUAUUCACACCCCGCAACCACCCAUCACCAUCAUCGUGAUCCUACUUAUACCUGGCACCCCCGCCCCCGAGAUUGCCUACCGUAUACUAUUUCCUCACCUAAUCGUGAAUGCAACCCGCACCUGCAUUCACAGAUCCUGGAGGGCUACCUGCUCCAGGGCAUUGACGGCAAAGCGCUGGCGGACAAGGUGCUGCAGUGCUUCACCGACGCCAUCCACGACGUCACCACGCGCGUCGUGCGCUCGCUGCUGCUCACCAAGCCCAAGUGAGCCCGUGGCGCGGGCCUGGGGGAUGGCGUUGCGGGGCGCAGCGAGACGAGACGGGUGCGAAAGUUGCUAAGGGUGCUGUGCUCAUGCCCGCACGGCCACACCAUACUAUCAAGUACUGAUACACCUGCCACCCGCCUCCCCCCUGCCCUCGGCCCCGUGUGCACUGCCAGACUGGCCGACAAGUUGGCGGCGGGCGGCGCGGCGGCCAUGGCCCUGGGCUACGGCGAGCUGCUGCGGGCGCUGCCCACCGACCUGCUGCGGCCCUGCCUCAUGCGCAUCCUGGAGGUGCGUCUGCACGGCAGCAACGCGCAACCUGCAAUCGCCGGGUGCUGGCCACCUCAGCCCUUGUGGCUGCUCUUGCCUGGCCGGCAUGCAAGCCCCGGCACGCGUGUUUCCUGACUGACGUACCGGUAUUUCCUUGAACUGCCGCGCCUGCACCCACCCACGCACCCACCUGCUCCUCGGCUGCUGCCAGGUGGUGUUCGACAUCCUGGCCUCCUACCACGUGAUGGCGCACUGGCACGUGAUGGCAGUGGCCAAGCAGGGCCAGAUGGAGGCGGCGGCGCAGGGUGAGCGCGGAGAGGGGCCUGGCCGGGCAAUGCGAUGGACGAUUUGGCGGAAACACCAGCUUUACGCGCUUCAUGUUCGCCGCCCCUCCCCACAGGCAUGAACGAGGAGGCGCGGCGCGCGCAGGCCGCCACCGCCAGCUUCCUGACUUCCGUCAAUGACAUGCUCAAGGUGGGGAUGUUUCGUGCACACAAGCAACCCUGCCGUUGCUACGUCCUCACGACUAGCAUGCCCUUGCCCGCUGACACACUCUCUUCGACCACUCGAUCACCACUGGCAUACUCUCCCCACCAUACCCUCGUGCGCCCCCUGGACGCCACUUUGCACUUGAUGACUGCGUGUGUUCCAUGAUUAUUCACCUCCCUCUAACCUCCCCCGCCCCUCUGUUUCUCCCAGGCUUCCCGCGUGGAGGUGCUGGAGGUGGCGGCCAGGCGGGUGCGCGACCUGCUGGGGCUGGACAACCUGUUCAAGGGCGAGGACUUCCUGCAGGUGGGGGCGGCUGUGUGUGUGUGUGGGUGGGUGGGGGGGGUGAGGGGGUUACAGUCAUGAUUAUCUAAGAAGUGAAGGCGUAGCCAGGGACAGUAGUACAGGGGGGAGUUGUAGCUGCCAGCCCCAACUAAACCGAACCCAAUGUAAGAGAGCGAGGAGGAAAGCGUUGCAUAUGCUUGGGCAAGGGGUCAGGUGGGGGGCGGGGGCGGGGCAGGAUGCGAUGUGGGGGCUGUGGGACCUGGGGCCGGGCGGCCAGGUGUUGGGUGCUGGGCAAAGGCUGCAAAUGUAGUAGGAAGGUACAGCGCCGCGUUACCGGGGCUCUUCGCUAGCGUUGACGCGCGCUGCGCAAGCCCCACAAGUACCCAACCUCUGUCGCCCCUGGUGUGUUUCUUGCCCCUGGCCAGGCCGUGGACUGGUGCGGCAAGUUCGGCGGCUGCUGCGAGGCCUUCCUCAGCGGCCCCACCGAGCUGCGCCCCGCCGUCAUGGCCAGCUGCGCGCGCUUCCUGCCCGCCUACCACCGCUCCAACCUGGAGUCCCUCACCACCUGCCUCAACAACGAGGCAUGGCAGGUGCGCCCGCGCGGCAGAGGCGCUGGUAGCGGUCAGGGCGGGCCGUGACGGCUAUGCGGGAGGGGGGGGGGGAAGGGUGGGGGAAUGCGGUGGCCGGUGGGACGGAUAGAGCAUUGCGCCUUUGCAUGCUCGCGGUUGCAUGGCGUAUGGAGGCAGUCGCAGAACACCAAAUACAAAAGGAAUGUUACUGCACCGCAUGUACGUUACGGUCUCACAGUUACCGACUCGCCCUUUCCUUUUUCCGUCUUAUUUAUUUGCUCUCCGACCCGCGCAGGACAUCGGCGCGGUGACGGGCGCUGCGGGCGCUGUGACGCUGGAGCUGGAGGAGGCCAUCCGCGACUCGCCCUACUACGUGCCCGCCUGGGGCGAGCCCGGCGCCGUGCAGUCGUUCGACAAGUGGAUGGUGGAAGGCAACCCCUUCAAACGAGGGUGCGUGGGCGUGCACGCCAAUCUUUCGGGGGAGGAGGGCGUCGGGGCGGCGCAGGCACAUGAUGGGUGCCUGUAGAGGGCCGGGCGGCAUGGAGCUCAUGGGUGGGAGUGCCGAGGGGACCUGCAGGGCCAUGCGGUGUGCGUGCCGGGUACCGGGGGCCUGUGCGUGUGUGCCUGCACUAGGCGUGCUGGGCCCCGCUGGCACCGGGUCUGAGACACAUGCCCGCUUUCUGCCCACCUGCCGCCUGCCGCCCCGCAGUCUGGGCCAGGGCAACGCGCCCGAGGGCAAGCAGAAGUCGCUGGUGGACCUGCUGCAGAAGACCACGGCGGAGGGCAAGGAGCUGUCGCGCAACAACAGCCAGCACACCAACCUGGCGGCCGCGGAGUCGGGGGCAGGCGGAGGCGCAGAGGAGGGCGGCAGCGGCAGUGAGCGGCAAUCUAGCAGUGGCGCAGCAGAGGCAUCGGCCGGCACAAGCGGGACAGGCGACGCGCAUGCGACGCCGUCGACGCCGGCGCCUGCCGGGUCGGGGGCAGCGGCAGCAGGGGCGGGCACGCCUGGGGCGGCGGACCGGGGCGCGGCGGGCCCGGCUGGGUCAAGCGGCCAGCCGCGCACGCCCGCCAUGCUGACCAUCUCGUCGCAACAGGCCCUCAAGUACAUAAGACACUAUGGCCAGAUAAUGAAGUAAGUGCAUGGCAGGGGCAGGAAUGGGGAGCCGGGGACGGAGGUCGGGUAAGGGCGUGCUGUUCUUCUGCAGAUAUCGGCUGGAUACUGGGUCUGAGCAGACGGCGACCGCACGCACGAAUCCACCAGACCUUUUGCCUUCGCCUUCCCUCUACCCCUCACAUUGUGGCUCCAUUACACCUCCCAGCCCCACCUAGCGUUCCAUAACGCCUUCUCACUGCGACCAACUCUGCGACGCACCCUCCCAUGCACCCUUCCCCCGCAUCCUCCAUCCCCCAGGCCGCUUCAGGGCAACAGCGAGGCGCUGUGGCGGCACCUGAGCGAGCUGUUCGACCUGUACCUGCUCUACUGCUUCUCCGCGUUCGGCGGCAUGGGGCUGGAGGACCUGGUGUGGCGCGACGACCUGGUCAGCCCGAGGCUCAAGGGCGCGCUGCUGCGCAUCCUCACCGCGGAGGGGUCGAGGUACCGCACGCUGGUGGGUGCCGCUGGGCGCUGCCUUAUGGAGGAGCGGGAGGGUGGGAGAGGUGGGAAGGAAACAUAAAGCUCAGUGGAUGGCAGGUACCUGUCCGUGUCUUCCCAUGCCCUUGUUCCUACGCUGGUGCAUGCCCGCCUCCGCCUGGGACAUCUGCCCGUCCCGCUCCCUUACUAUUGUUCCUGGCUACGCCUUUACUUUUUAUAUAAUUAUGAAUGUAACCCUACAGGUCGAGGAGCUCGUCCGCAACCGGCCGCUCAACAGCCGCGGCGCGCCCAUCGCCUCCACGGGGCUGGGCCUGCUGGACCGCUUCGGCGACAGGAUGGAGAGCUUCGCCGACUCCAUGGAGCGCAGCGUCAGCCGCAUGGCCGUCAAGCUGGGGGACAGCAAGCUGGCGCAGGUGCGUGAGGGGGCCUGGAGGUGCUAAUGGCGAGGAAGGAAGUGGGUGGAGGAGGAAGGGAUAGGGUUGGAGGGGCAGCCGGCGCUGUGCUGCCGGCUGCAACGUGGUACGGCACGAAGCACGCACGCGAUGCCGGCCACGCAUGGCCUGCCGCCUGCCCUGCACGCACACGUCCCACUUGGCGCGGUCAACAAAGUGCACCGUACUGGCUGACGUCAACACAGCAUGAAAUGACUGGAAACAUCUUCCACGCCGCAGGUCAUGGGCGGCGCGGAGGGCAGCGGGCACGGCGCGGGCGGUGUGCAGGUCAGCGGCGCCUCCAUGGUGGGGCUGUCGGCGGGCUCGCAGCACGCACUGCCCAGCGCCAACACAGGCAUGCUCACGCCCGUGGCGGCACCGCGGCCCAGCGGCGGCAGCGGCACGGGGGGCGGCGCCAUGGAUGGGACCGGCGGCGGCGCAAGCGGCAGCCCGGGCAACGGCGGCGCGGGGGCUGGCGCUUCUCAGUGGGGGCUGCGGGAGCGUGUGGUGGCGGUGGAGUCCCUCAUGUACAUGGCGACGGAGCUACGGGCAGCCAAGAACGCCAUCAUUGUGAGUGGCAAUGGCGGCAGAGUCAGUGUGUGUGUCUGUGUGUUAAAAAACAAGACGAAGCCCGCCCGUGGUGUGUGUGUUGUGCUGCACGGCGUUGUGCGGGUUGGACAGGGCAGUGCACGUAUGUAGAUGGGUGACCCCAGCCGCGUUCGACGUACGUUGAUGGCCUUGCGGGGCACGCGUGUCGUCACUCACGCCAUUUCCUCGCUCAUGCAAACCCACACGCCCGCCCCCCUCCGCCUGCACAGCUGGCGCUGCCGGGCCGCUGCAGCCGCGACGUUGAGACCUACUUCGCCCGCACCGUGGAGGCGGCGGCGGACCUGAAGGAGCACCUGUUCCGGGCCGCCACCCGCGUCAUGAUGCAGGUGCGCCACUGCCAAUGCGCGUGCCACGGCACGUGUUGUUGUUGCGGCUAGGACCUGGUGCCGGCACAGGGCAACGGGCGGGCAUGGAGACUAUACAUGCGAGCGUGCGUUGACGGCCCUUACUGACGCUCCCGAAUUAUGCCUUGCUCUUCGCCGCUCCCUCUUGCACUCGCCUUUCUGCACUUUUUCGCCGCUGUGUAUCGCGCUGACUAUUCCACCCUUUGAACCACCCUUUGAGCCCCCAGGGUGUGUGGGACGGCGAGCGCGGGAUCCCGGCCGCCAUCGGCGUCACCAACUACAACGUGCGCGAGCCCGCCGUCCGGCAGAGCCCCUGGGCCGACUUCAGCGUUCGCGCGCUGCAGACGUUCAGGUGAGCUGGACACGCGACCAGCAGCCGCGCCCGUCCGUUGGCUGGGCUGCCUGCCGCCACGCGUCGCUCUCCCGGGCGUCUGCACCCCCAUUGUUGUGGAGUCUGUGCAACUGUGCAACGCUGCGCCUGUUCAGCAUCGUGUCCAGCAUCGUCGUUCUCAUGUCGUGCCUGGGAUCGCCGCUGCAGGGAGCGGGUGCUGGCGGCGCGGCUGCCGAUGCCGCUGAUCGCGUCGCUGUGGGAGUACGCGGCGGGCGUGGUGGCGGAGGGCAUCCUGACGGGGCUGGCGGGCGUGCGCAAGUGCAGCCUGGAGGGCCGAGCCAACAUGUCCCUGGACCUCAGCCACGUGGAACGCCAGGUGGGACGAGGCGGGGCGGGCGGGGCGGGGCGGGUCGGGCGUUGAAGCAGGUGUUGGGUAUGUGGUGCGGCUCUGGCGGCAGGCGGUGUUGAGGAGGCGCCAUUCGUACUUGGGGCCAGGGGUCCACUAUGGUGCGGUCGUGUCUUGGCCCUUGGUGCUGCAUUGCCGGUCUGCCUGGCUCCCGCGCAACGCCACCCCCCAUACCCCACAUGCAGAUGCGUGCCAUGGGUCCGCCCGGCUUCAAGCCCGCGGCGCUGGCCGCUGUGGACGCCUACAUCAAGGCCUUCUACCUGCCCUGGGACGACCUGCCGAAGUGGUGCCAGGUGAGGUCCGAAAGCGGCGGCAUGAGCAAGCAGUUAUUCAUAUCACGCGUACCAUACACAUUCACACAUAAAAUACACAGACUCGCAAAUACACGGCUGCAGCAACCGGCAAGGGCAUAUACACAUAUCCACAACCGUCCGCAUAGGUCGCAGUCCUGAAAUCCCAGAACCGUCUACAUUCCGUAAGCCGCAGCAUCCCGGCCCACACACUAAUCCUUCCCCCUCCCCAUGCCUGCACCCCCAUCUCCCACCUUCCAGACGCACAUUUCCGAGUACGGCAAGCAGCGGCUGUUUACUCUGGUGGAGGUGGCUGCGGAGUUCAACAAGGUCAAGCGGGGGCAGAAGAACGACGUGCUGGAGGCCAUUGAGGAGGCAGCGGACGCCACUGGCAGGGCUUUCUGAAGCGGCGGUGGAUGAGGGGUGGCUGGUGCUGGCGGGCGGGAUUUAGGGGGAGGUUCGAUUUGGGCUGGGGCUUUCGGCUUGCCACCUGGCGUUGGGCAGGGAUUGUGAAACCUGAGGGGUGAUCGCUGUUCCGGUUUUGGGGGUGGGGCGCUGUAGCAGGGCGUGCGGGUGCGCGCGUGAUGAUGGAAAGCCCGGCCCUUCAAAGGGAGGUGGAUAGGACUGAGGACUACGUUAAAAUGCAAACGUGUGUCGGAGACGAGUACGAGUAAACCAGUAAAUGCACUAAAUGGUGAAGAAUUGAUCUGCAUGCGGAACGCACGAGCGCAAGGACCCGCACAGCUCUGACUACGCUGCGGUUGCUUGGCUACCUACAUUUCACUGGAGGUUACCUCUCCAUGUUGUGUUCGGAUCUGAUGCAGAGAGGAAUGAAGAAUGCACGCCAAUCCGGCUUCAAGCUCAGUGCCAUGAGCACCACAUCGCGCUCCCCUUAACCGGCAAGCGCCCACCCGCUGCACCCCGCAACCCCCUGCCGCCGACCAGUUACGAAGUCUGUCUGUCUGUCUGUCAGCGGCGAGCUGCUAGAGCGCAUCCGGGCGUCCGGGAACCUAGAGGCGGUUGCUAGCACGAGUGGGACGUCGGUGAGCGGACGCUAUGUCCGUGCGUGGCAAUCGGCAGGGCGGGAGGUGUGGAACGUGGUGGUGGUGGUGACGCCCCAGGAACGCAGCGCACUCAGUGCUCGUAUAUUCCUUCUUGUCGACAGAAAUUUGCCUAAUAAUGCCUCCGGCGGAAGAAUUUUUUGAUUCUUGUGGCCAAAAAUCUGUGGAACCGCUUCAGGUUUGGAGGGGUCUUUCUGAGAUUCGCAGAAGACAUUUUAGGGCGUUUCUGUCACUGGUCCGGGCCCAAGGCAAGGGUGAGGUUCCCCAGGAAACUCUAUCUACGGCCGUGUCCUGCUGGCACCGUGGGGGCACACCAAGAUAGGGCAGCCUUCUACUAGGGGAGUCAUUACGUGGGUGGGUGAGCGUGAUGAGCGUGGGAGAGGGCGUUGGGGUUUGGCGUGGGGAUGGGCCACGUUUUGCCAUGGAGCCAUAGAGCCGGUGCGUUGUCAGCAACGAAGGCAACAGACCCCGCACGCUGUAACAGGGGCACAUCCCGUGCGGCGGAAUAUUUUGCUGUGCCGGAGCCGAAACGUGGGCUGGGGGCAACAGCAACCUCACCCCGCAUGCUGUAACAGGGGCACAUGCGGUGCGGCGAUAUAUUUUGCUGUGUCAGAGCCGGAACGUGGGCUGGGGGCAACAGCAACCUUACCCCGCACGCUGUAACAGGACAAGCUUGUUUGCACCAGAUGCCCAGUACCAGCCAUGUGUACCAAGCUGUGUGUUUGUGUGGUGUUUCUGUUUUGAGAUGGAUGCACGGCACGAAUGGGAGAUUGAGAGAUUGCUGACACGGCCUGCCACACCCCUGGCUUGACACGAACCGUGCAAAGGUCGGGGGCGGAGCCCCCGGAAAAUUUUUGGCAUGAAAGACGGCAGCGGGUUUCUGAAAGUUAAAGAUGCCCUAUUUCGGAAAUCUGUCACUGGCGCCGCACCUGCCUUCUUAAGAUACGAGCACUGAGCGCACUGGUUAGGGCCGCACCCCUGGUCCGCAGCACAGGUGUGGUGGUGGCGCCUUACCUGACGUCCGUAGGGUAUGCACUGCGCAAGGAGCAACUUGGAGCUUUCGAAGGGUUUCGAGCAGCAGGGCUGAAGCCCCGAUGGAAGGGAGGGGCGGGCAUUCGGUGCCAAGGCACCUAAUCAC